GCUACCCAAAAAUUGUUCAGAAAAUUCAAAAAGUACAAGUUUCAAAGAAAAUAAAACCAAAAACCGAAAAAAGAAAAUUGUUCCUAAAAAUACAAAAUUUUAUUCCCAACAAGUUCAGCUCUUCUUCUUCACAUUGGGAUCUCCAUCAUCCCACCAGCUCACUUUUCUUCGGUCCACCUUUUGGUCACUUUUGAAUAUGGUCUUUGAAUCUCCACCAUUCCUUUUUCCUUCAACUCCUUUAUUAUCCAUAGCUUCUUUUUAAACCUCACUUUGCUUCCCGGUAGGAGUGAAUCUUCUUUUGGUUCUGGGUGAAUGGUUCUUCUCCCUUUAUCCUCAGGUACCUGCAAAACACAACAACUGUCACACUGAAAAUUAAUACCUGUGGAUUUGUCUUCCUCUGCAGCUUCACUUCUGGCUCUUUUAUAUUUGACUUUUUUAACUACCCUCUGUACAGUUUCUUUAGAGCCAUAAAGCAGUACUCGAUCAUAAUCCUUUAACUUUAUUCCUCCAUCAUGGAUACGUAUAACCAUCUUGGAGGUUUGCAUGAACAGUCUUCCCAGGAUUAAUGAAUUUUUUCCUUCAUUAGCCAUAUCCACAACUAUAAAGUCAAUAAAAAACUCCAACUCAUCAAUCCGCACAAUUGCAUCCUCUACCAUCCCAACAGGUUUCUUCAUAGAUCCAUCUGUUAUUGUCAAGAUCACCUUGGUAGGCUUCAAUUUUACUCCUUUUAUCUUCUUGAAAUCACUGAGAGGCAUCAAGUUAAUGCUUGAUCCUGAAUCAAUCAAAGCCUCUCCUAGAUCCACAUUAUUGAUAACACAAGGAAGGGUCAAAGCUCCUGAAUCCUCUAGUUUCUGUGGAUGAUUCUUCUUCUUGGGUUUCGCCCACUGCUCCUGAUUUUCUUCAUAACCUAAAUCAAGUAACCUUUCCAGAUAGUAUUUGAUCUUGUCAUCACCCUCAAGAGUUUGUGAAGAUGUUAAAGGAUUAAGAGGUGCCUCCUUAAGAAGUUGGCGGAGUGACUCUCUAAUGUCUUCCUUCUCCUUUUCUCUUUCUGAUUUCUUCCUUUCGCUUCUCUUAUGUGUAUUACUCAUCCUUUCCUCCUCUUCGUCAUUGUUGCUGCCAAUCUCACUUAUUUCUUCUUCUAGUUUCCACUUUGCUCCUGUUGCAACAACUUUGCAUUCAUCUUUUGGGUUAACAACAAUAUUAGCCCGAAAUUGAUGCUUUUUUGUGGUUUCAACCCUCUUAGACAACUGUCCUAUUUGUGUCUCUAGUGAUCUAAAAGUUGCCUGAUCACUUGCUUGUUGAGAUUCAUAGACCUUCAAAAAUUUAUCAAACCUGUCAGUCAAUUCUCUGACUGUCUCAGUCAAGCUGCUUAAUUGUUGCCAUAAGGGAGAAGGUUGCUGCCGGAAGUUUCCCCCUUGUCCAGAAGAAGCAUGUUGGCUUUGCCCAAUACUUAGAUGAUUUUUCCAACCUUGGUUAGAGUUACCUUGGUUGUAAUUUCCCUGUUUGUACGGAAAUUGGGCCCCCAUAUAAUUCACGUCCUGCUGCAUCUCUUCUGUUAACACACAUUGACCAUUAAUAUGGUCACCCCCACAUAAAUCGCAAAGUUGUUGUGCCUCGGAAACAUUUCUAAGCCCCCUAGGAAGUUCAGAGACCACCUUUAGCAACUUAUCCAAUUUCUGACUGAGGAGGUGAUUUUGUGCUGCUGCUGCAUCUUCAGUGGGGAGAUGUAAAAGUCCUCCUUUUUGCGUGCCUCUUUCAUUCUGCGACACUUCAUUGAGAGCCAUCUCUUCAAUUAAGUUAUACGCCUCAUCCUCUGUCUUUCUGUUAAUACUGCCUCCAGUCGAGGCAUCUAUCAUCAUUNNNNNNNNNNNNNNNNNNNNNNNNNNNNNNNNNNNNNNNNNNNNNNNNNNNNNNNNNNNNNNNNNNNNNNNNNNNNNNNNNNNNNNNNNNNNNNNNNNNNNNNNNNNNNNNNNNNNNNNNNNNNNNNNNNNNNNNNNNNNNNNNNNNNNNNNNNNNNNNNNNNNNNNNNNNNNNNNNNNNNNNNNNNNNNNNNNNNNNNNNNNNNNNNNNNNNNNNNNNNNNNNNNNNNNNNNNNNNNNNNNNNNNNNNNNNNNNNNNNNNNNNNNNNNNNNNNNNNNNNNNNNNNNNNNNNNNNNNNNNNNNNNNNNNNNNNNNNNNNNNNNNNNNNNNNNNNNNNNNNNNNNNNNNNNNNNNNNNNNNNNNNNNNNNNNNNNNNNNNNNNNNNNNNNNNNNNNNNNNNNNNNNNNNNNNNNNNNNNNNNNNNNNNNNNNNNNNNNNNNNNNNNNNNNNNNNNNNNNNNNNNNNNNNNNNNNNNNNNNNNNNNNNNNNNNNNNNNNNNNNNNNNNNNNNNNNNNNNNNNNNNNNNNNNNNNNNNNNNNNNNNNNNNNNNNNNNNNNNNNNNNNNNNNNNNNNNNNNNNNNNNNNNNNNNNNNNNNNNNNNNNNNNNNNNNNNNNNNNNNNNNNNNNNNNNNNNNNNNNNNNNNNNNNNNNNNNNNNNNNNNNNNNNNNNNNNNNNNNNNNNNNNNNNNNNNNNNNNNNNNNNNNNNNNNNNNNNNNNNNNNNNNNNNNNNNNNNNNNNNNNNNNNNNNNNNNNNNNNNNNNNNNNNNNNNNNNNNNNNNNNNNNNNNNNNNNNNNNNNNNNNNNNNNNNNNNNNNNNNNNNNNNNNNNNNNNNNNNNNNNNNNNNNNNNNNNNNNNNNNNNNNNNNNNNNNNNNNNNNNNNNNNNNNNNNNNNNNNNNNNNNNNNNNNNNNNNNNNNNNNNNNNNNNNNNNNNNNNNNNNNNNNNNNNNNNNNNNNNNNNNNNNNNNNNNNNNNNNNNNNNNNNNNNNNNNNNNNNNNNNNNNNNNNNNNNNNNNNNNNNNNNNNNNNNNNNNNNNNNNNNNNNNNNNNNNNNNNNNNNNNNNNNNNNNNNNNNNNNNNNNNNNNNNNNNNNNNNNNNNNNNNNNNNNNNNNNNNNNNNNNNNNNNNNNNNNNNNNNNNNNNNNNNNNNNNNNNNNNNNNNNNNNNNNNNNNNNNNNNNNNNNNNNNNNNNNNNNNNNNNNNNNNNNNNNNNNNNNNNNNNNNNNNNNNNNNNNNNNNNNNNNNNNNNNNNNNNNNNNNNNNNNNNNNNNNNNNNNNNNNNNNNNNNNNNNNNNNNNNNNNNNNNNNNNNNNNNNNNNNNNNNNNNNNNNNNNNNNNNNNNNNNNNNNNNNNNNNNNNNNNNNNNNNNNNNNNNNNNNNNNNNNNNNNNNNNNNNNNNNNNNNNNNNNNNNNNNNNNNNNNNNNNNNNNNNNNNNNNNNNNNNNNNNNNNNNNNNNNNNNNNNNNNNNNNNNNNNNNNNNNNNNNNNNNNNNNNNNNNNNNNNNNNNNNNNNNNNNNNNNNNNNNNNNNNNNNNNNNNNNNNNNNNNNNNNNNNNNNNNNNNNNNNNNNNNNNNNNNNNNNNNNGACAUGGUGAAACUAGAUGAAAAAUGGAAGAAGAAUGAAAGAGCAAACCCUAGAAAAGAUGAAAAGGAGCCUAAGCAUCCAAGAGAUCCUCUCCAGAGAGCAAAAUUAGGUCUGGUCGUCUUCCCCUGUCAAAAGAAUGACUCUGAAUUCGUAGUAAGGGCAUUUAUAGGUGAGGAGUGCGUCAAAAUCAGGCCCUAGUCCAGCUUGCUACCGCCGGGCGGUUUAAGUGUGCCGCCCGAUGGUUUGCCACAACCUGCCGCCAGCGCCCGGCGGCAAUCGCCAGCGCCCGGCGGUUUCUGUCAGCGUGAAAUGUUGCCUACUCCUCGUCCUGGACCGCUCGGCGGUUUAAGUGUGCCGCUGGGCGGUACGUCGACCCUUCAAAACUCAACUUUUCUGCUCUUUUCUUGAGUCAACGACCUGUAUCUUCAACUCCAUUCUUACUUUUCUCAAAUUAGCUACAAAACAAUGCAAAAUAAGCAUAAAAUCGCUAAAAACAACUUUUGACUCUCUCCAGACUCAUUUAUUGAGUUUUCCUUGAUUCUAAGCUCGUUCCAAGUAGUGAAGGGUGUAAUUUGGUCCAAAUUGACAUAUGAAAAUCACUGUUUUUCAACCUUCAUCAAAAGAACAUUGCUUUUACGUUUCACCAGUUCACCCCCCUCUUGGUGUGAGAAACUAAGCCAUUCUAUUUUAACAAGUUCAAACAUUAAUGUGUAGGUAUCUUAAGCAUGGUGUCAUACUAGUGUUUGUGUAGGCUUCUUCAACUUAAUCAGACGCUUCUGCCUUUUUGAAUAGGUUUCAUCUAGGUUUAGAUGAUUUUUCUCAAAGUACUUGUUCUUGCGUCACUCUCAUCAGGUGCUUAUUUAUGGGGCUCUAGAUAUUGUUUCAAUUAAUCUCAUGAUCUGUUUUUGUUUUGAGCUAGUUUAUUUAUACUUGUUUUUUAUUUAGGUUUUCCUUGUCUAGAUUCAAUUCACCCAGGUGAAUAUUAUCUCAGACCAUGUUCUUUCUUUCUAAGGAAUAUUAAGUACUUUUGUUAAACAUUAAAACUUCAAGUUGCUAGACGGUCUAGUCUUUUUAGAUGAACUUGUCUCAAUAAGGGUAAAACUAGAGAAAGGGGAAAAUUUGAGCUUUUCACUAGGAGUGGGAUGGAUUUACGUAAAUGGAAUAGAUGUAGUGAUUUCACAAUGCCAUUAUUUUCACAUUGGUAAAAUGGACUUGGAGGUUGGCCUACCCCACCUUGUCCAAGCUUGCUCAGAUUACGAGUUAUGCAAGUCAAUUUUUAGCUAGUUAAUGGGCUCAAAACCUCAGUCCGCCCAUCAUUUUUCACUAUGGGCCUACGGGUCGUCCCACGUGGCUUGUCCUUCAUUGCCACCCAGACUAGUAGGAUUUGUAGUUUUCUUCUUUAGAUUUGGUUGCUCAAUUGUUUUCUUAAAGUAAUUAAAGUGGAUAUCAUUACUACAAUUACUCAAAUGAUUUAGAGGAUUUGAAAUCAUAGUAGAUUUCAAGGUUCAAUUGCGUUUUCCUUUGUUAUUUUUCAAAUUAAAGAGUCAGUGUGUAUGAUUGGGAACUUCAAAAGAAUCUAAAACACAUUUGAGUGAUACUAUUUAUGAUUUUUUUUGUGCUAAAAUUUUUAAUAUUCAAACUAGGAAAGGUAAAUGAUUUCAUUUAUGGACAUAAUAGGACAGGUUCCAUAUGUUAAUUUGCUUCAAGGUGAAUAUUGAUGGUGUGACUAGGAGUUGUUUUUGUUUGACUUUAUGUGCGAGUAUUCUUAGAGGAAAUCGAUCAGGGUGAAUAUAUUGGUAAUAUUAAUUUUUAUGUUUUUUUUAGGGAAUAUACUUUUUUAUGCUGAGUUGUGAUGGUCAUUUAUGCUUUGGAGCAUACUUGAAUUUCAUGAUUUUUUUAUGAUAACAAGUGGUUGUUUGAAGUCUUAAAAGGGAGAUAAUGUUGGUGUUUAUAUUUUUGUGUUCUAUGUAAUUUAAAGUUUCUCAUAUUUUUCAUGAAGGGGUUCACUAUUUUAAUAAGUUAGCCAAUUUAACUUUUAUUUAUAGAGAAUCAUAUAAUUGGUUUAAUAUUUUAUCUCUAUGUAUUUAUUUAUAUGUUUUUUAUAAUAUAUAUAAUUUGUCUAUUUGAUGUUUAAUUUUUAUGAUGAAUUUAGUGUAAUCUCUCAUGCUUUAUAUUCUUUUAUUAUUAUUUAAUAAACCUUCGUGUGAUGACAAACUAGUGAUUAUUUUUGAAGUAUCAACAUUGAGAUGUUAAUAUUAUUUUAUGAAUAUAUUAUGUGAUAAGAAACAUAUACUCAAUCGUUAUCUUAAAGUAAAAGUAAACUUUUCUAUAACAUAAUUAACCAGAAAAACAAGAAAUAAAUGAUGAUAAUGUUUAAAAUUUAAAACAAAAUUAAUAGUUAAAAUAAUUAAUUAAUUCUACCUUUUAUAUAUAACAUUUCUCGUUAUUAGAAGUAAAUUAGUUUCAGUGAUAUAAAUAUUUAUCAUAAAAAUUUACAAAUUUGAUCCUGUUUACAUUUAAUGACAAUAUUAAAUUGUUAUUGUUACUAUUUAUUACUAUACUUGUAACAUUAUUGUAAGUCAUCACAUCGUAAAUAUAUUGUAGGUAAUAUUAAUAGUGAAAAUGAUGAUGGAUUAAUUGUCAUUUUUAUUAAUUUGUAAUAAUAAUUAUCAUCAUUUUACUAUUAAACUUAUAGUGAAAAUAAAUAAUUUUUUAUUAUUAUAAACAUUCUUUUCUUCAUAUUAUUAGACAUUAUUUUGAUGUAUAAAUGUCACAAAUGAUUUCCAUGCCAUAAAUAAAUAUUAAUUAAAAUAAAUAAACAUUAAAAUAUAAAUGAUCUAUUGAAUUUUCAAUGUAAAAAAUAAAUAAUAAAUUCAAAGUUAUAUUCGAAACGUCAUAACAUUUAAAUUAAAGAAGUAUUUAAAAAAUAACGGUAAAUGAUAUUAUCUUUAAGAAUUUUGAUCCUGCAAAUUAAAUAGCAAUACUAUUAAUAAAAACAAAAGCAAUUAAUAAUAUUUUAAAAAUAUAAAGAUACAAUAUUAUAGAAAUAUAAAAGACAAAAUUAAAUAAUAAAAUAAAGUGAUGUACUUGAAAAAUAAUAAAUUUUAUGUUAAUUAACAUUUCAUCACUCUUCAAAUAUCUUGCUUCAUUAUUUUAGUCUUUACAUUUUAUAUUAUGUUGUUAAACUUUAUCUUAAUAAAGUUGGGAUUAUAAUUAAUUUUGAGUUUUUUUUUUUCAUGUAAUUAGAGCUAGUCUAAGAAUUAUGUUUUGUGGGUGUUUUUGAGUUAAUGAAAGUUGAAAAAUUAUAAUAGAACUAUCGGAGUUGUCUUUUUGUCAUGAAGCAUGGUUUAAUUGAUAGUAUAAUUGAUUAUUGAAGUGAUAUAUUGAGAUAGUUAGAAUCUUGAAUGUAAUAUAUUGUUUUAAAACUAUUUUGUAUGAUAUAAAACUAGUACACAUAAUCUAAAUCAGUGGGUCUUGAUCUCAUAAUGCGAUAAAGUGGAAUUAUUUAAGACAUUGUGGACCUAUGAAAUGCUUUUUUAAUCAGAGAAAGGAAACAAAAGGCUUUAAUUAUAUCAUUGAUAGCCUGAUAUAUCAUAUUUGUACAUGCAAAUUAUGUAAAAUUGCUAAAUGAAUGAGUUGGUGGAUGAAAGUGUUUUUCAUGAAAGUUAAGUUUACCGUUAUCUCUGACGUAACUUUGAUACUAAAUGUACCUUUUUUGAUUUAUAAAUUUGUUUGAAAUCAUAUUUUUUUUAUUAAGUUGUGUUAAUAAGAGAGUUGAGGUUGAACUUAAUGAUUUUAUCACUGAAUUCCUCUAAUUUUGUAGGUUAUUGAUAUGAUUUGGAAGAAGAGCAAAAAUAUCGAGGAGCUGGAACGUAAGAGGGACGAACAAAACAACAAAAUAGAGAUUGUUGAAAUGUUGCCACUGGCAUUGAGCGACAGUUUGUACAACUGAGCGGUGGAACCUAGAAAAAGGUAGUGUUGAGCGACAGUUUGUACCGUUGAGCGAUAGAAUUUGUGAUGUCCACCGCUCGGGCGCCCCUUCGGGGUGCCUGAGUAUCGGGUCACGAAGCCUGGGCACCCAGAUUGAAGGCUCAAGCCCUACAUGAGGACCGUCCACCGCCCGGGCACCCUCCUUGGGCGCCCGAGCGUCAAGUUUCACGGGUUAGGCCCAGUUUUGCUCUAUUUCGACUCUAUUGGACCAUGCCCUGUUUCUACUCUCCUCCGACUUUAUUUAAAGGACCUUGACGCUCUAGGUUUUGUACCUUUGGUAGAGAGAAGCACAACAACACACUCUUUCCCCAAUUCUUAGGGUUUCUCUAUCUCAUUCUCUUCCAUUGUUCAUAUAGUUUCUCCAUGUCUAUGGGGAACUAAUUUCUAUUUAUUAUUAGGGGAUGAUGUAACCUUUUGAGCUCUCAUGUAUUUGAAUUGAUUCUCAAUAAUAUAUGCUUUUUAAUUAAUUGUUAGAGUAAUUCAUCUUUUUCAAUGCUUGUUGUGUUUAACUCAUUCAUUAGCAUGAUUUAUGAAUUGCAUGAGUGUCAGGAGGUUCCUUACAAUUCAGGUUCUUGUUGAAUUACUCCCAAGAGUAAUAUUGCUCAGGGAUGAGGGUAUGAGUCUUGGUCAUCUUAAGAUCUUGAUCUUCACAUCUUAUUACUAGGAAUGCUAGGAAUUGUAUGAACUGAUAAUUUGGGACAAACUUAUUCGUUGAGGGAUCGAGUUUAGGUGAUUUAGUGAGUGACAUUAAUAUUAAUGCAUAAAGAAGAAUUCUUACAUACAUGAGAGGGAACUUGGUGAAAUCUAACCCCAACAACAUAUUCAUCUCAUAUUAAACAACACUCAUUCAUCUCUAUGCUAUUCUGCUAUUGAUCCAAUUGCAUUCAUAUUUAAUUUUCUGUUCUCGCAUUUGAAACCAAUGAUCUCUUUUUAUUUAAGUCUUAAUUAAUCUUGUUAUUACACGACUAUCUAGCGCCAAGAGUCUUUUGGGAUACAAUACUUGGUCUUACCAUUUUAUAUUACUUGUGCAACUCGGUACACUUGCCGAUCCGUUCCAACAAUAAACAAGGAUGAUUUUAUGGGGCAAGUUUGUGAAAUAAGUUCCCAAAGGCUUAUUCGUUGAGCGAGCGAGAUACUAGCUAAACAAAAGGUUUUAAUUUAAAAUCUAAUGAGCUCAAGGGAACCGAGGUUAUUGAAUGAAUUUUGUGGAUUUGCUCUCAAUAUUUGCUUGCUAGACAAGCUAAGAUACCAUUGAGUGAAAAUGUCAUUGAAAAGCAAAAUGCUCUUAUGGUAUGAUUUCGUUCGCCAAGUCAUAUUGCUUCUUGAGUGAGCUCCCUUAGAGGAAGGUCUCACUAGGUGAGUCCAGAGGCACUAAGUGAAAAUUAAAUUGUAUAAGGUUUAUAACUUCAAUUUGAUACUCUUAAUUUCAUCUUUAUGUAAAUGUUUGAGAUGAAAUAUGAAAUGAAUGAACUGUUGUGUGAAAGAACGAUGGUACAACGACUUCCGAGGAGGAAGUAUUAUACUGAGUUGGGUUCAAGAUGUAUUGAAUUUUGAUUUGAUGAAAUUAUGUUGACUCUACUAAUAUCUAACUCAUUUAGAGAAAUAUAUUUAAUUAUGAAAGUCGAGGAAAGUUUUUAUAUGUUAUAUUAAUUAUUAUACUAACUUACCUUAUGUUUGGUUUAGUUUGAUUUGUGAUUUGUUAAUCUACAAAUAAUCGUAUGUUAUACAUGAAUAAAUGAUAAUAUAGGUGCAUGUGAUGGAUAAUAACAAGUCUCCUAGUAGAUUAUUUAAGAAUAAUACAUGUUCUAUUUAUAUAAUUGUGUUUUGUACCUUUCUCUUAAUAUAUAAAGAUUAUAAAUUUUGUAAAAUAAUAUAUAUAUAUAUAUAUAUUUAUAUAUUUAUAUGUUUAAUAUCAAUAUGUAAUGAUCUAAGUGUGGUCAUAAUAUAUAAUAUAGGGUGUUACAAAAUUACCUACGUCUAUAUCAAUCAUGUAAUUAAACAAUUUGUUUUCUUACAGGUAAAAUUUUCAACAAAAAAUAGUUAUGAAUUAUUUUAUUUUAUAAGUUUAUAUAUAUAUAUAUAUAUAUAUAUAUAUAUAUAUAUAUAUAUAUAUAUAUAUAUAUAUAUAUAUAUAUAUGGGUUUGCUAACUUAUGUACGCUUGUUUUUCAGUUGGUACAUUUUAGCAAUGUAUACCGGGUUUCAGUAGACAAAAAUACCCUUAUAUCAUGAAUUCUAAGUUUUAAGGUUAAGGAUAUUUUAAUAAUUUUCAUUCUUAAAAUUAAAAAAAUAAAAAAANAAACCCCCAAACCCUUACCNANCUCUUUCAUUCCUAACCCUUACUCUUUCAUCUCUUUCACUCAGACUUUCUCUCUGUCAUCCCUGCUCUAGCCCCAAUUGAAAAAAUCAAGAACAUUUGUCUUAUUUUAAUAAUUUUCAUUUUUAAAACUAAAAAAAAAAAACCAAACCCUUACUCACUUCCUUCAUUCCUCUCAACCCUUUCUCUUUCAUCUCUCACUCAAACAUUUUCUCUGUCAUCUCUGCACUAGCCUCAACUAAAAAAACACUCAUUAUUAAAUAAAAUGGUUAGAGAAAAAAAAUACUUACAUUAAUAAAAAAAAUUAAAGCACCUAAUUUUUUCUUUAUAUAAUUUUAAAUAAAAUUUCAAGAUUUAGAAUUUUUAUUGUUUGAUUUUAUCGUUGAGAAUGUUAUUGUAUUUUGAUUUGUUUUUUCUUUAGUAAAGGAAAACAAGUUAAUGAAUUUCUACCAAAAAAAAAUUAAAUGGCCACAGAGCAAUGUUACGUAGUGUCUCAGAACGUAAAGGAAGGAUGCUCAUAAGUCUUGGUGCAAGUUGUGCCAGUCGGCUGUAAUAUAUAUAGUGAAGAUAAUGAAAUUAAAGAGAUUAUGAAUGAACUUUUUUCGGAAGGUGAAUAUGCCAAUGACUCAACUCUUUACAAAAGUAAAUUGUUUAAUAAUGAGUGUUUUUUUAGUUGGAGCUAGUGUAGAGAUGAUAGAGAAAAUGUUUGAGUUUGAGAGAUGAAGGAGAAAGGGUUGAGAGGAAUGAAAGAGGUGAGUAAGGGUUUGAGGUUUCUUUUUUCAGUUUUGAGAAUGAAAAUUUUUAAAAUAAGGAAAGUGUUUGAUUUUUUUCAAUUGGAGCUAGAGUAGGGAUGACAGAGAAAAGGUUGGAGUGAAAGAGAUGAAAGAGGAAUGGUUGUGGGAGAUGAGAGAGGUGGGUAAGGGUUUGGAGGGUUUCUUUUUUUAUUUUUUUAAUUUUGAAAAUGAAAAUUAUUAAAAUAUCCUUAACCUUAAAACUUAAUUCAUGAUAUAUAAGGGUAUUUUUNNNNNNNNNNNNNNNNNNNNNNNNNNNNNNNNNNNNNNNNNNNNNNNNNNNNNNNNNNNNNNNNNNNNNNNNNNNNNNNNNNNNNNNNNNNNNNNNNNNNNNNNNNNNNNNNNNNNNNNNNNNNNNNNNNNNNNNNNNNNNNNNNNNNNNNNNNNNNNNNNNNNNNNNNNNNNNNNNNNNNNNNNNNNNNNNNNNNNNNNNNNNNNNNNNNNNNNNNNNNNNNNNNNNNNNNNNNNNNNNNNNNNUAUAUAUAUAUAUAUAUAUAUAUAUAUAUAUAUAGGGGUUUGCUAACUUGCGUACGCCUGUUUUUCAGUUGGUACAUUUUAGCAAUGUGUACUGGAUUAUAGUAGAUAAAAAUACCCUCAUAUAUUAUGGAUUUUAAGUUUUAAAGUCAAGGAUAUUUAAAUAAUUUUCAUUCUCACAACUAAAAAGAAAACCCAAACCCUUACUCACCCCUCUCAUUCCUCUCAAUCCUUUCUCUUUCAUCUCUCUCACUCCAACAUUUUCUCUUACAUCUCUACUAUAGCCCCAAUUAAAAAAAAUUAGAAAUGUUGACUGUUAAGCAAUUUCUUACAAAAAAUUGAUUUUAUAAUGAGUUUUCAUUUUAUAACUUUUGUCUUAUAUAAUUUUAUCUAAUUUUCACAAGCAUAAUGACAUAUGAAGGAAUUGAUAAUUUGCUUGGAAAAAAUCAGAAACACUCGCUAUUAAACAAUUUCUUACAAAAAAUGAUUUUAUAAUGAGUUUUCAUUUUAUAAUUUUUGUCUUAUCUAAUUUUAUCUAAUUUUCACAAGCAUAAUGACACCAGAAGGAAUUGGUAAUUGGCCUGAAGGUUUUUUAAGAGAUGACGAUUCAACAUCUGUAGAUGAUGAAAUUAGAGAGGUUAGUGAAGAUGAUGAAAUUGAAGAGAUCUUGAAUGAACCUUUGUCUGAAAGAGAAUAUGCCAAUGACUAAACUCUUUACAAAGGUAAAUUGUUUAACGAUGAGUAUUUCUAUUUUUUUUUUCAGUUGGAUCUACAUAAGAUGAUAGAGAAAAGGUUGGAGUGAGAGAGAUGAAGGAGAAAGGAUUGAGAAGGAUGAGAGAGGUGAGUAAGGGUUUCGGGGUUUCUUUUUUUUUUUUUUUAGUUUUGAGAAUGAAUAUUAUUUAAAUAUCCUUGACUUUAAAACUUAGAAUCCAUAAUAUAUAAGGGUAUUUUUGUCUACUAUAAUCCGGUACACAUUGUUAAAAUAUACCAACUAAAAAACAGGCGUACGCACGUUAACAAACCCCAUAUAUAUAUAUAAUAUUUUCUGCUUAAAGGCAAUUUUUUUUUUCGUGAAACUAUGAGAAUUUUCUUGUAAGAAAGUUUUUGCCAAAAGUUUUGUUAAUAAUUGUAAAAUUAUCUACCUAUAAUAUCUUAAUUUUUAUGAUUAUUAUUGUGACAUCCCAAUAAUAUACGGCAUGCAUAUAUAGUCUAGACGUCAUCAAUUAUAAUAAAGGAAAGCAGUAAGAGAUAUUAGGAUUAUAAUCAUCCUUAGAAUAGUGUGGAAAUGGAAAAUAGAGUACAAGAGUUUCUCCUUAGAAAUUACGGAGAAUUUAUAACUUUAAAUGCACUAAAGUUCUUCAAAAUAAUGAGUUCAUGGAAAUAAAAGCUAGCAAAUCUAGGCUGCAACACUUUUCAUCAAAAGCUAUUUCCAAAGUAUCUUCCUCGCCAUCUGCUCCCAUCCAAGUGGAUGAUCAUCGCAAAGGGAAAUACAUACAAAUGGAACAAACACAAGCAAGCAAGGGUGAGCUAAUUAUAUAAAAAGCAUGCCUCAUGUCAAACAUAGAAUAUACAAGAGUUAAUUUAAUUCAAACAAGAUAAAACAUCCAUCCUAACAUGUUGAAUACUAGACUUGACUCGUCCGGACUUUAGAAAUGAGAGUCGAGCUAUGACGGGUCAUGCACCCGUGGUGGCUUAUGAAACUUGGGUUCCCCACCCUGCCACAAUCACGAGGUUAGCCUAUUUCGCACCUUAGAGCAUACUGGAAGCCUCCAAGACUAAGAGCUCCUGCUACUUCUCACCAAGUGAUCUAAUUCUCUCUACGUGAGAAGAAAGGCCAUUGGAGCGUCAGGAAGACCCCCAAGACUAAGCUCCUAGUUUCAUUCUAAAACACUAAGAACCUCGUUGAGAGAUUAUACACAUUUGGUACUUGGUUUACUACUUGAAUCAUACUUUAUCACUUCAUACUCAUGUACAUUUCACCACAAACCACACACUUCUGUUACCACAAUAAACAUUCAUAAUAUUGUAAAGCAUACUCCCAAACAUGUUUCACAAACCAAACAGGUUCAGCUUAAACAACCAAAGCAAACCCAAAAGAAGCACAUAAGGAACAACGCUUUUCGCAAAGCGCACAACCCUCGCAUAACGAAUCCAGGCUGAUUCGCAUAGCGCACACACACAUCUCGCCUUGCGAAUUAAUCUGGCAGAGAUCCCAGACCCGUGUUUCUCGAAUAGCGCACCAGUUCGCAUAGCGAGAGACCCCAAAUAGAGAGCACUCCUUUGGAGCGACUCGCUAUGCGAGACAAUCCGCAUAGCGAGUCUGCAUGAUCUGCAGAACGCCAAUUCUGCAGAAUCAUGCAACUCAUGCCCCUUUAACCAUUUUUAACCAUCCAACCUAACUUCUAACACCUCAAACACGUGAUAUAGACCUAUUUAAACUUUCCUAACUGGUUCUACACAUUCUUAUAGUGAUCUUAAAGUGAUUUAGGCUCGCAUCUAACUCUAAUUUACCAAUUCCCAUAACUUAGGGACUCUAUUUCAAAUCUACCAAUUCUAGCAGGUUUUGGUUCAAUUUUAUAUGCUUAACAAGUCUAAAUAGACUUACCUAAACUGCCUAAACAGACCAAGUGCACCUAAUACCCCAAUUGCACAAAAUCCCCUACUCACUUCUCUUCAAACCACUCAAAAUGCUUCCCUAAUUGUUAGAAUACCUUCUAAUUUACUUAAUACCACAAGAUGCUUAUUCCCAACCUCACCUCACUACCCAAUUGGUCACCGGAGAGGGUCUAAAUGUCUGAACGCAUCAGACUCACCUUCGGCACUAGCACAUAUGACUAGUCACAACUGGCUGGACCAAGCUAGGGUUGCUCUAUGAUUAGGGAUGUGCCAACUCAGGCUUUUAAGUCCCCUUUAUCCUACCAACAAAAUGAUCUCACGAAUCCCAUUUGUUUUAUCUGAGAUAUCUACACUGUCCUAUUAUGCUCUAAACCUCAAAUGCCCAAUUUCACUACCCAACUUACCAUAGAUAGAACCUAAUUUCUACCCAACACCAAGUUCUCAACCCCAGUACUGACUUCAACAGAAUCCCCUUUUUCAACCACCCCAAUCAAGGAUCAGUUCAGCAUAUCAAGUUCAAUAGAGACAACUUAUAAACAUCAAAUUCCACAUGCACCGGUUCAAUGUUAAAGCACAAACUAGUUAUGCACAACAACAUAAUUUACAAGCCCAAUCAACAUGCAUAUAUUUCAGAUCUUAGCCUACCAUCAUAUUAUACAAAUAAAUUAAGUCAUAUAAUCAACUCCCCUUACCUGGAAAGCUUAAUAAUAACUUGUCAAGAAUGCCCUAGGAUCGUACCCACACCGCGUUGAACCUAUAGAACCUACAAAUCACCAAAUUGGUGAUAGAACAUAGCUCUCAAAGCUCAAAUGGGCAGAGAAUGGAAGGAAAAAUAUACAAAGCACAUGAACCCAACAAAGUUGCAUGCCCUAGCUCAAGAACAAUGAAGAGAAAAGGGGAAAAUGACUUACCUGCUGAAACGAACAACUGUUCGGUUUGAAUCGAAGACCUCUACGCCAGGAGUGAUUUGACAGCACCCAAUCAAGAUUUGAACGGUUCAAAGUUCUGGAAUUUUAGAGAGAAGUCAAAGAAAUGUUAGGGCACAAGGGUUUUAGAGAGAGAAUGACUUUCUAUGAAAUGAAUCAGAAUAAAGGGGAAGCUCCCUUCUUCUAAGACUAUGCUGACCUUUGCCUUAUGGGCCUGACAGCCUCACUUAAGACCCAAUGACCCAGUCUCACUUAAGGCCCAAUGACCCUAAGCUUAUUUUUAAGUCCUGACAAUUACCAUUGAAAAAUAAAUUCCCAAAAAAUCUAUUAGAAAUUAUAAAUUAUUUUUAGAGAUAUUUUUCUUAAUAUAAAUUUGCAGAUAGUAACAUUAUAAUAAGUGAAAAAAAUUAAAUAAUUAUUCAAAUUCGUGUUAACUUUCUGCAAAUUAAUUUAUGCAGAAAAAUAACAUAAAAUAAUAUUUUAAUUUAUUAUAUUUAGAAUGCAAGCUAACUGAUAAAACUAUCACAGUUAAAUUUGAUAGAAAUAAAAAUAUUAUUCAAUUUUUUUAUAUUUAAAGAACAUUACAAAAAUUUACAAACAAAUAAUAAUUUUGAUUUGUUUCACUUCCUCAAGUCCUCUAACCCUGUUCGCAACAUCAAAAUCCUCACUUCAUCUUCACAUUUCCCUUUAGUCUGAUAUUAUCUAUUCUUUACAAUUUUAUUUCGGUUAAGUAGUUAAGUGACAUUAUUAAAAAUAGGAAUUAGUUUGAUCGAGCGAAUGUUUUUGCUUAAUUUAUAUAUGUUGAAUGAAGGUUAUGAAUGUAUGAGUUGCACUUAUUAUUUCUUUUUGUCAUUUUUGUGUUGAUCCGACAUGGGUGGUAGACUAAUUUUGCACAGUAAUGACUCGUGAAUAAAAAAACAAUUGAGUAUAUUAAGGUGUAUUCAUAAAUAAGAUAAUCAUGCAGUAGUUGAAAUAAAUCUAGAAAGUUGCUCUUAAAACAUUUUAAAUGCUACAAAACAAAAGAUAAGGUUGUGGUUAAUAAGGUUUGAAAUAGAAAUGAGUUUAAUGUCAAUAUAGGUACACUUCAACUGUGCUUGUUCAUGAAAACAUGGAUUUACAUUGAUAAAGUCGAAAUAGCAUGAAAUUUAUCAUAAUCAUUUUGGCUUUUCUUGAUUUGUAAUUUUUUCAAAAUAUAGAAAGGUAAGUUAAGUUCAAGUAAUUGGUAAAACAGUUGAAUCCAUUUAGUUCGGUUCAUUAGACUAGGAAGAGUCCUUACUUUAGUGGAAGCAUAGACUUAAAUAGGAAUACCCAAAUAUUCUUGCAAACAUAAUGAAAAAUUGCUUUAUCUGGUUUAAUGUUUAUAAUAUUUAUUUACGUUUUGAAUAUAAAAAGUUACAAACAGUUUGUAUUAAAGGAUAAUAUAGUGUGAUUCAGACGUUAUUAUGCAUUAAAUUAAAGUUAUAAAUGGUUAUGACCAAUUAAAAUUUUAAAUAUAUUCAUGUUAGCAUCGUUUAUGAAGAUUUUAUUAAAAAAAUAAAAAUGUAAAAAAAAAUAUAUUAUCAGGCUGACAGUCUAUUUAUCAGAAUGAAUGAAAUAUGUGAAAAUAAAAUAUUAGCAAAAAAUGACAAAAAUAUACAGUGAUACUUUUGUAAAAAAUUGAACUUUAUGUCAGACAGUGAGGACGAACGUAAAACUUGAUAAUUACGUCGUUGAAUUUAUAUCGAAUCCCUAAUAAUCUGACAUAAAUAAUGAUUCUCAAUUUCUUCAUGAUGUCUUCUCCUUCUCUUCUCAUUUCUUUGUUCGGGAUGAGCAACAUGAGUGUUUAAGAGAUUAUUUUUGUGCUUUGAACAGGUGGGUUUUCGUGGUGGAUAUUUCUCUUUGAUUGCUUUGGAGUUUUUUUUUUUUUUCUUAUUUAAGUGCAUUAGUAAGAUAAGUGCAUUAUAUAUAUUUAUUGAAUUAUGAUUGAUUUUAGAUCCAAUCAGUAAAAUGUAUGAAUAUUUAUUUGAAUUGUUUACCAUUUCCCAUAUCAUACAAUUUAGUUGUAUUGUUGUUUAUUUUUGUAUUUUUCAAAGUUAUCCAAAUUGUCAUGUAAAGUUAGAUAUAAUGUUUCCUCUAAAUCAAAUGUAAGAGAAUCAUAUAAAUGAUUUUUUCUAAAAAAAUUAACAACAUCAUAUACCAUGUCUUUUAAAUGAUUAUAUGUAAUAUAUUCUCCGUGAUGUUUUAAGCUUGUAUAAUACUUUUCAAUGUUAGGUCCAAAUUGUAUAACUCAAAGAGAUUGCAUAUUGAGUAUAUUGCAAGAACUCAGAAGUUCCCUUCUCAUACUUUUCACUAUUGCAACUAUCAUUUAUCCAUACUAUCUUCAUAACAAACUCCAUUAAUAUCAAAUUUUUAAUAAGGCCCUACCCAUUAAAUAAAACUAUUUUUCAUAAUUUGCUAACACAUAUAGGAAGAAGUCUAAUAUUAUAAAUUUAAUAAAAUUUCAACAGAAUUUUGAAUUGGUUUUCGAAAUACAAAACAUGAAAGUGAUCACUCAUGAGCACAAUCAACUUUGCAUAUGGAAAACCAUACAAAAUGGUCUCAACCGAAAUUUUAUUAAAUUUAUGCAUAAACUUCAAUGUACACGUUAUAUCGAAUUAUGAAAAACUACAAUUAUUUAAACAUACAACAUCCAAUAAAUCUAAAAUUAAUCAAUUAUCUAGUAUAAACUAAAUAUAUAAUUUAAUUAAUCACCUAAUAAUUAUUCAAGCAUCAUCAAUAUUCAUUUUAAGACUUAAAUAAAACUAAAUUUGAUUACUAUUACAAAAAAGGACUUUGACAUCUAUUAUUUUCGACCUUUAACGUCUAAAAUAAAACUAACAUCAUAUCAGGAUUCGUUAAUUGACAUCGAAAAAUAAUAUAGAUGUCCUUUGACGUCAAAAAACAUAGCCAUCGUGUCCUAUAGCAUUGAGCGAAUCCCCUUCGUGCUUAGUGGAGGUCUAUGGGAUACUCUGUAAUUCGAAGGGGUCAAUUUGACAUCCUUAAGGUAUGUCUUUUGACAUCAAUCUUGUUGGCCCACAUUCCUUCUCGCUAAGAGAAACUUUUCUCUUGAAAGACCUUGUAAGGUCUUUGACGUUAGAAAAUGCACUUUUUGACGUUAAUUAACGUUAGAAAUUUCAAUUUCAAUGUCAAUGGACGUCGAAAAGUGCAUUUUCCGACAUCAAAUUAGUGGUUUUUUUAUAUAAAAGUUUCAUUUUUACAAUUUUACCAAACCUGAAAUUCAGAAAACCAGUUUUGCAUUUUAUGUAUCCAGAAUUCAUAUGAACAAAGAUUGUACUAUUCACAAUUCAAACUAUAACUAAAGCGAUGACAAAUGAAACUAAAAGCUAAAUCUAUCAAUAUCAAAACACAAAAAUUUGAAACUAAAAGCCUGAUUGCAUCUCAAAAAAAGAUAUAUUGUUCAUUUCUGUCGUAACUUCAUGAUUGUGGCCUUUGUUAAUAUGGAUGGAUUAUGGAACCACUACAAAAAUAGGAAAACUUUCUUGAAUUUGCAUUCUAAUGUUCAAAGUUGAAUGUAGUUUGUAAGAUGUGAAAGAUAUAUUAUUACCUCAGUCCAAUAAUCUUUAAUUCCUGCUUGGAUGAUGGUCUUGAUCCAUGACAUGAUGUAGUAUCCCAUACCUUAGAACCUGACUACUUGUUACACUAAACAUGGCAAAUAAAAUAAUCAAAUAUGAUGGUCUAAAUUUCACAUACAAAAAUUAACAACUUAAAGAUCAAUGAAGGCCAACUUUUUGAUAGAUUAUUUCAAUUUGUUGUGCUUUAGGCUGACCCACAACUCUAAUUAAAUUUGAAAAAAAGUUUCAUAUAUUAAUAUUGGUUUAAACCUCUUUUUGGUCCCUAAGUUAUAAGCUGGUGUUCAGUUUAGUCCCCGCUUUUAAAAAUGUCAACCUUUGAUCCCUAAGUUAUAAAAAAUGUUUCAAAUCAGUCCCUACCGUUAAAUAUCCACUAACGGAGUUAAUUUUUUUUUCUCUCUCUUUUGCUCCUCUGAAUUUCUGUGAAGAUAACAGUUUUUUCUUUCUCUCUCUUAUGCUCCUCCUCUGAAUUUAUCUGAAAACAAUAGCUUUUGCAGACAAUAUUUUUUCUAAAAUUUUUUUGAAGAUGCACAACCCCAGAACGUUACUCCAUUUUUUAGCGAGUCCAAAUUCAUUGUUUUGACAGCUGAAUCCAAGAAAAGUGAAGACGGAAGGUUGAACUUCGUUGGGAACCAGAGGGAGGGGAUUGACUUGCAAGACCUGCUAAGGGCCUCGGCUGAGGUUCUGGGGAGUGGCAACUUUGGAUCCACUUACAAGGCCAUGCUUCUGAACGGGCCAUUGGUGGUGGUGAAUGUUAUAAGAAAAGUAAGGAUUUAAGGUUUAAGGAUCUAAGCAACACUUUUUUUCUUGUUCAUUUUAUGAGUUUUCAUUAUCUUCUUCUCAUCUCAUAUGCCAAAGCCAAGAGUGAAGAAGCAAAGGUAAGAUUCAACUACACUCAAUCCAAUGCUGGCACUGAUUCCGUAUUUUUCUCUUCUCUCAUGCCCCUUCUUCUCCAUCUCUCUGUCAUUUUCAUUUCCCUCAUCUUCUCUCUCACAACAUUGCUUUUUUCCUCCUUAUGGCUCCCUCUUCAGAUAUCAACCAUCUUUCUCAUCCAUGCAUAUACGGUAUCAUCAUUCUUUUCUCUCUAUCUUUCUCUUUCACUACUAUUCAGCAAAAUCUGAGCUUCAUCAUCCCCAUCUAUUCAAAGCGGUUGCUUUACAAAUAUUUACGUGAAAGAAAGAAAAAAAAACGGAUUUUGCAGAAGCGUGAACCACCCCAUGAAACUGUUGUUUGAACUUUAAACUUUUUCUGUUGAUUUUACUAAAUGGGUAUUCUCAAAGUUUCGGAAUUUACUUUUCACGUGGUUCCAAUAAGUUAUCUAGACCAUGGUGCUUUUUUUUUAGAGCUUGAAUUUUCACUUCUUCUGGUUCUUACUAAACUUGAUAUACAUGGUGGAAUUUUGGUGGGAUGCAGGGGAUUAUAUUUCUCCUCACUCAGAGAGAAAGUCUGGUUUCAUGAAAUGGCUCAGUAAACUUUUCAGAGGUGGGUCUAUUAGAGGAAGGGGUGGUCGUCAUCUGCAUGAGCCACUAGAGGAAAGCAUAGUUUGGGGAGCUCCAUCAAUAGCGUUGGUAAAAACUGUUGUUUUCAGAUAAAUUCAGAGGAGGAGUAUAAGAGAGAGAAAGAAAAAGUUGUUAUCUUCACAGAAAUUCAGAGGAGCAGAAGAGAGAGAAAAAAAAUUAACUCCGUUAGUGGAUAUUUAAUGGUAGGGACUGAUUUGAAACAUUUUUUAUAACUUAGGGAUCAAAGGUUGACAUUUUUAAAAGCAGGGACUAAACUGAACACCAACUUAUAACUUAGGGACCAAAAAGAGGUUUAAACCAUUAAUAUUAUAAUGAAUUAAUAUGAAAGAAUGUAAUACUUACAUUUGCAACAAGGAUUUAAGGUCUGAUUUCAUCUUCCAAUGUAGGGAACAAAACCAUACAACUUGGCAUUGUACCACAUCACUUUAGCAGGUGGACUAUUAUUGUCUUCAUCUUCCAUUAACUUUCUUCUUAAACUGGGAUAAACCACAUGUUGGACACACCUUGAGGGAAUCGUACUCAUCUUUAUACAAUACACAAUCAUUGAGGGCAUGCAUGUAUCUUCUAGUAUUCCAAAUCCAUUGGACAUAAAAUUUCCAACACCUCGUGAUUAUGGAUAAGUAACGUGUUAUUUUCUAGAAGAAUCUCCUUUACAAAUUAAAACAAUUUUGUGAAACUUUUAUCAAUUCAUCUAUUCCUUGCUUUUAAAAAAAACAAUUUUAAAGUUGUCGACAACUAUGUAAAGUUGGUGCAUCCUGGAUACAACUCUUCCUUUAAAUUGUUCUUAUAAGGAUCAUAGAAAUGAGUUCUUCCAAAUUUUUCUUCACCAGCAUCACGUACCAUGUCCUCUAAAUGACCACUUAUCCAUUCGUCCGCAUAAAUUGUUCCUCUUGACUUUGUAUGAUGUUGUAAUACUUCUCCAUGCCAAGUCCAAACAGUAUAACUCCUCAUUAUUCCAUACAUGAAUAGAUGAUCACGAAUACUUUCCAAGUCUUAAAAUAUUUUUUUAAGACAACAAACACAUAGACAAAAAUAUGUCUCAUUCAAUGGAUUUGCGUAUUCUUGAACAUAUUUUAAGAACAUCUGUUGGGAAAUAUUUGAUUAUGUGAAUUGAAUUGGAUUGAAAGCAUGGAUGCAUCUUGAUUAGAUUCCCCUGAUAAUCUGAAUUGAAUCAUAACUUGUCAUGAGGAAAAUGAGUUUUGAAAAUAUUGAGCUAUUUGAUGAAGAAGUGGAAAGCCAAGUUUUGUCUUGUUUGCUUGAGAGGACAAGCAAAGUUCUAAGUUUGGGGUUGUGAUAACGGUCUAAAAACCAUUAUUUUCAUGCUUAAAUAUCAUAUCAAAACACACACUUUGUGGCUUAGAAUGAGCUUAAUAUCUAACAAAACACUUAGUUGAGUCAUUGGAGAGUCAAAAGUUGGUUUAAGAGAUAUUAUGCUUGUUUUUGCAUUGUUUUGUGGGGUUUUGAUGAGAAUUGCAGAUGGAAGUGAAUUAGGACGAAUUUAGACUCAAGAAGGAAGAAGAAAAAGGAAGAAAAGAAGAGUCUAUGAAUCGCUUAGCGGUCAAAACCAGCGUUGAGUGGCCAGAGCGAUUAGAGGCAAACCGCUCAGCGGUAAAACUGACCGCUGAGCGGUGGCGUGGCUAAGAGGGAAACCGCGGAGCGGUUUAGUUAGGCGCUGAGCGGUUAUCUAUUCUUAUUUGGCUUAGAUUUUGUUAUCUUUUUGGUCUAUAAAUAGACCCAGUGCGAUUCAAAUUGGCCAGCAGACACGUCCAGAGCUAUUCUGCACACCUUGGAGGAGGUUCCUUGGAUCCUUAGGCUUCAAUCUACCAAAUUUAGGGUUUAUUCUUCCAUUCUUUCAUUAUUUUUCAUCUAGAUUCACCAUGUCAAUGGUGAACUAAACCCUAGGUUGUUGGGGAACAAUGUAAUAUUUUGAAACUCUCUUAUAUCAAAAUUCUUAUCUUCUUUAUAUGCUUGCAUAUGCUUCCUUUAUCAAUUUUUGGGUUCCUUACCUUUGCUUAAUUCUUUUAUUAUUUAACUCAUUCGGUAAAUGUUGUUUGUCUUUAUUGAUACGGAGACGUACAAUAAUGUCAUGAACUUGGGGGAAUUCCUUGAUUAUGCUAAUACCGCCUAGAGACAGGGGUAGGACGAUUAAUUGUAUUUUACUUCCGUUUAUCAUGCAUUAUUAGUUACUGGGGGAGGCUAGAGAUAGCAAGCCAGUAAUUGGUAAUAGGAUCUUUUCGCCAAGAGAUUGGGUUUAGGGUAGACUAAGAAAGUUUGGAUGACAAUAUGAUAAAUAAGCGAAUUAAAUAAGAAGAGUAGAUAUAAGAGGGUGGAUAAGAUGAAAUUGUAAACCCCAACAACUUCAUUCAUCCAUAGUCUUUUCUAGUCAAUUGAUUCACUGCAUUUUGCAUAUUUACUUUUGUUCUUUGCAUUCAAAACCCUAAAACUAAUUUCUUGUUAAGUCUUAUGCGAUUGGUUUACAUGAAAGUUAAGGCCUAAGACUCUUUUGGGAAACGAUACUCGGACUUACUCGUUUUAUAUUACUUGAUAACAAUCUGGUACACUUGCCAAGGACUUAACAAUUAUUCAAUUUAUUUUUUAUAAAAGUCCCUUUUUCAACCCAAACUCUACGAGUUCUCCUAGUUUUAGACUUUUUGUUUUGAUUCUUGUUUGUGUGCCUAACAUUUCUUCUACCAAAAUCUAAUUUAGCAUGUGAUUUAGGCUUUGUUUCCUUUGCAAGUAAAUUUUCAAGAAUGUUAAUGUCAAACAUAUGACUCUUACAUGACAAACAUUCAACAGGUUCACCAAUUGCAAUUGAAUCAGACAAUUUUCUUUCUAAAUUGAUAACUUUGUUUCUUAAAACAAUUUCUUCAUCAAGCAAUUUAUCAUAUUUCGAUUUUAAUUAAUUAAUUCAAAGAAGGCUUUUUGUAAGUCUAACUCAUUAGAUUCAAAACUAUAAACACUUACUUGGCUUCCAACAUCUUCUGAACGAGCCAUUAAGCACAAAUUUGCUUCUUAAUCUGAAUCACUUGAGUUUGAAGAGUUAGAUGUAUUGUCUUCCCAAGCUAUGUAAGCUUUCUUCUUCUUUGGAAGCUUUAUUUCCUUCUUUUCUUCACUUAUCCUAUUUUUAGGACAUUCGGUCUUCAUAUGUCCUCUUUCUCCACAUCUGUAGCAUUUAACACUUGAAGGAGAUUCUUCAUUUUCUCUCCUUUCUCCAUGGAAUUUAUUCUUACCUUUUGCUCUCAUGAAUUUUGCAAACUUUUUAAUCAUGAGACUCAUGUUCUCCUCAUCAUCAUCGGAAUCACCAUCUGCAAUCCUUUUAGAACUCUUCCCUUUAGAGAUUUCGGAUUUGAAGGCAAGUUUUUUCUUUUACCUUGAUCCUCUUCUACAAUCAAUCUUUUCAACUCAAGCUCGUGCUCACAAAGUUUUCCAAAAAGAAUGGGCAUCGACAUUUGAGUGAGGUUUUGUGACUCCGAGAUGGCAGUCACCUUUGGUUGCCAAGACCUGUCUAAUGAUUUCAAAAUUUUAACAUUUAAUUCAUCAGUAUCAAAGGUCUUACCCAACCCUGACAAAUGGUUCACUAUGUGAGUGAAACGCUUCUGAACAUCGGAAAUAGUUUCUCCAGGUUGCAUUAUGAACAUCUCAUACUCCUGGAUGAGCGUGUUCUUCCUUGCACGUUUCACGUCCUCUGUACCCUCAUGUGUGACUUUGAGGACUUCCCACAUUUCUUGUGCUAUCUUACAUACUGAAACUGUAUAAAAUUCAUCAAGUACAACAAUAGAUGAUAUAAUAUUACGAGCUUUAAUAUCAAACUGAGCUCGUCUAUUUUCUUCAUUAGUCCAGUCAAAAAAUGGGUUUUCUACUUCUACACCUUCAACUGUACUUUUAGGAAUAUAAGGUCCAUUUUGUACUUCUUUCCAUAUGCCUCUGUCAACAGACCCCAUAAAAAUUUUCAUUCUGACUUUCCAAAACACAUAAUUAUCACCAGUAAAAAGUUGUGGUCUGUUAAUAGAAGCACCCUCGGCAUAUACAAGAUUUUGAUGACCAGCCAUUUUCGAAAAUUUUGAAAGAAUGUCAAAACAAGCUUUGAUACCAAUUGUUGGUUGGUAUCAAUCAGAGAAUAACGCAGCGGAAUAAAAUUUAUAAAGCGGAAAGUGUGUUCGGUCACAAGUUUAAAUUAAAAUGAUACGUUUUAAAAGUAAAUUUUCUAACAAAAAAUUUAUUAAACAGUUGAUGUGCACAAAACAGUAAAGAGUGUAGGGAGUAGAAAAAUCACACAGAUAAUUUUUAUACUGGUUCAAUUCAAAAGAAUCUAUGUCCAUUCGUUAAUCACUAUAAAAAGUGAUUAACGGUUUCACUAAAAAUAGUUUCACAGUUUUACAAUAAGUGAAUGGAAAUAAGAGAUAAAAGAACCUUCCUUCAACAAAUGAACUGGAAGUGAACUACUUUGUUAACUCGAAGAGAACCGCUUCGACUUUCGACAAACGAAACACGAGCUCUCCUAUUCACGAGACCAGGCAAAGCACCUUACCAACUCAAAGAGAAUCGUUUUGACUAUCGACACACGAAACGUGAGCUUCUCCUAUUCACGAGACCAAGCAAGGGAACUGAACUAGCUUUUGAGAACUUCCUCAGACAAACUAUAUUCUACAAAAGCUCUUUGUUCAAAAGUUAUUUUCUGAAGUUCUCAAAACACCUAUUUAUAGGCAGUUAGUCUGAAUAUGAAAGGUCAUGUUACAACUGCUAGUAAUAAUCGAUUAUUGUAAGUGAUAAUCGAUUAUUCAAGUCUGUUACAGGUUUUUCAAAAUAACUUGGGUAGUUUUCAAAACAGACCUGUGAUAAUUGAUUAUUUGGAGUGAUAAUCGAUUAUGCCAUAGCAACAUGGUUUUUCAGAAAAGCUCAGAAUAAUUGAUUAUUGUUCUUCAUAAUUGAUUAAAUACGUAACAAUACCAAAAAUACGAGUUUUACAUAUUUAAAGACAUUCCUAAUACAUUUGUAUUCUACAAAGUGUUUUUAAAAUAAUUUAUAAUAUCUUCUUCAAGUUAAACUCCUUGUAACAUCAUCAAAAUCAUCUUGAAAUACCAAUGUUCCUCAUUUGUAACAAUAUUUACACCAAAUUCGAAUCAUAAUAUGUGAGAAAACAUUGAAAGAAUUUGUAAGAAAAUAACAAUAUUUUAUUACUAAUUGAUUAGAAAUUUGUAUUUAAUUAGGAUUUAUUUUCUCACAAAUCUUUAGUCAAUCCCCAUUAUUCACACUCUCUAUAUACUUUUAUUUAUGAAGAAUGUGAAAAGAAUAUGUGAAGGAAUAAUCCUAACUAAUUUGAAAAUUUCUUGUACCUCGUUGACUUUUUAUGUGGGUUCAUAAUCAACAAACAAAUUGUAUACUUUUUAAUUGUCUUAUACAACGUUGAUUCUAAACUUGAUGUCAUAUACUUUCUAAAACUGACCUAGUUGGAUAUAUUUACGCAAAUAUAUAUUUUUAUUAAGAAAUUAAUGAUAAUAAUAUUAAUAUCCAUGCAUUUGUGAUUUUGGGAGCUACCACCUUUUUUGGGUUGAAUGAGCUAUUUGCAGUAAUUAGCAUAAAUAUAAAGGAUAUUGAAUUUAUGGCAUUCAGAUAUGAUCAGUAGAAGUAUCUCCCAUCUUGAAAGUUGUUGCUAAAUUGUGUGCAACAUCAUAAAUGCAUCCUUCAAACGUUUCGACAUAUGAUUGAAUGAGAAGUUUCAUGUUGUCUAUGGAGAAAUACCAGACAACUCUUCCAGCACAUUAAUUUUCUAUAAUUAGAUAUAUGCAACUUCAUCAACUCAGUGUGGCAAACUAAAUAUUACAUUUUUUAAAUAGCGGUUACACAUAUUUUUGUCCUGAGAAAAUCCUAUUAAUUGAGUGGAUAAUGUAUAUAUUUAUUUAUAUAUAGAUAAUUCCUUUUAAAGUAAUUACAUAGCACUCAUUUUUUUUUAAGUUUUCGUAGUAUCAAUUUUAUUAUUGAUUAUAAUUUUUAUUAGAGAAUGUAACUAAUACUUAUGAUAAAAUAUCUUCUUCCAAUAAUCAAUAUUUUACAAAGACUUAAACUUAAACCUUACUGUAUCCCGUCUUCUCAAAAGAUAACCCAAAUCAAUGUAGAAAAAUAAAAUGCAUUUGAAUGGAGAAUAUUUCAUGAUAAAAUAUUUUGUUUGACUAGAUUUUUUUAACAUUUUAAAUUUUAUGUAAAUAAUGUAAUUACUUCAAUUAGGAAAUUUUAACUUUUUUAGUUUUUCUUUUCUUACACAUCAAUAUCUUUCUUCUUCAUAGUCCUUCACUGUCUCCAUUAAUACAUCAUUAUUUUAGUUAUGCCAGAUCAACUUUUAGUUGAAAAAUUACCGUCUCGAUUAAUACCAAGACGUUGGUCCUUGACUCGACAACAUUCUUUAACAUGUUUUAACAAAAUUUCUUUUAAAAUAUAAUAAAAUCAAAUCAUUAAUUAUUUGUUAAGACAAAAUUGUUUAAGUAAAUUUUGUUUUAAAAUUCAAUCCAGAAAUGAAUUAAAAUACUUGUAAGUUUAACUCAAUGGAGUUAAAAGUUCUAGUGAGUUGGACUAGUGUUAUAUCACGAGUGAUGAAACUCGUCUAACCAGUUGGGUUAGUUGUAAAAUCAAAAGUGGUUAAACUCGUUGUAAUAUUUAAAAGAUUAGUUAAUGUACCAGCCUAGAAUAUGGCAUUUUAGAAGUGGUGGUGGUGUAAAAAUAGUAAGACUUGAUUAUUUUAAUAUAAAAUGAUUUUAAUAUAAAUAGUUCGUUAUAAUCGAGUUUCAUUAUUUUAAAAUAGAUCAUCUCUCUAGAAACCACUUUUCUAGAGUUCUUUGGCUUCUCUCUAAGUGUUCUUCUUCUCUAUUCAUUUUAUUAAAGAACUGAGACCGUAGGAGUGAUCCUAACAUUGAGCUCUUCAAUUUAGACCGAUUAGUUUCUCCAUCUAAGUAUGUUAAGUUUUGACCCCUUUUCUUUGGUCCUUUCUUUAUCUGCUACAUGUGGGCCCCGCUUAACUUGCAUGUGUCAUUUGAGUUUUCUGUUUAAGUCUUUGUUGAUUAGUGGUUCUAACGGUGUUCCCUGAUCGUCUUUCUGUUGCUCAUAGGAGUAGAUAGAUCUUUUUGUGUGUUUGAGAUGUUUUAGGUCUUCUAGAGCUAUUUGGUCUUCUGUUAAGUAAGGGGAGCUAGUGUUUAUGCUUAAAUUGGUGAAAUUUAUAUAUGAUUAAUGAACUGCUAUGAUAAGAUGAUGAUUUAGUUGAAAUUGAGAUGAGUGACUUAUUGAUAAAUGAGUUUGAUUGGGUAAAUUCAGUAAUAUGAUGCUUGAUGCCUUCUAUGAAUUUGUGUUGGAUUGUGAUAGCCUUGUAAAUGAUGUUUUGGUGCAAUGGUGGUGUUAUAUUUGGUUGAAUUGUUUGUUAAGACAAAAUUGUCUAUACGUCUAAACGCUCUCAUGUUUUGAAGUUUAACCGAAUAACAUUAAACAAAACAAGAAUAUGAAAAUACCAUUGGUAGAAACAUAUGCAUUAGGUUUAAGAAACACAAAAACACCUAAGUCAAAAUACCCAAACGCAAUACUAAAUGACUAGUAUGUCAAAAACAUAUAAGAGAGUUAUGUUAAACGCUGAAUCUAUAUUGUACCCAAGGGUAUUCACUUGGACUCUCGGAAAACAAAAAGUAUGUCAAGACUAUGUCUUUUACAAAAACACCCAAAAAAGAUUAAACAAAAAACAUAAAAGAAAAUGUGACCUACUAAACGCUCUUGGUCCAAAAUAGGCAAUAUCACCAAAAGUGUUUACAUGAAUCUAGAUGAUACCAUGAGCAAAAAAUGUUUCUUUGUCCAAAGAUGAAGUUCUUACUCAAUAAUUAGUAUCUUUAGAGAAAAGCUCAAUUUAUAAACACUACCUCAACGGUAGAAAAUGUAAAAAAUACUUUGCUAUCACUAGUGGAAAAAUGUUGUUUAACGUCACCUCAUAGACGUCGGUUAGAAGUGCACUGACGUAAUAUGAUGACCAGUGGCAAAUCCAUAAAUAACUCAAACGAGGUGACGUCGGUUACCUGGCUAACCGAUGUCUCAAACACUACAGACGUCGGGCACACUGCACAUAGACGUCUAAAAGGUCUGCAGGAAGGUGAAUAGUCACCAUAUGGACUUCUAAUACGACCACACCGACGUCUACACUCGUCUUUAGACGUCGCCUGGGAACAAGAGACGUCUUUAGUUCUGCCAGGAAGGUCAAUAGUCGCCACGUAGACAUCGGUUAGCUGAGCGUUGAUGUCUCUAUCCUGACAGGUUGGUGCAUGUAAUUAAUGUUCCGCCAUAUAGACGUUGGUGUCCCUUGAGAACUGAAGUUUAUAGCCUGACAGUUAGGUGAAUUGUAAUAAUUUUCCGCCAUAUAGAUGUCGGCCAAACAGUUGGUGACGUCUAUAACAUUGUAGACGUCAGGCCGCCAUGCAAUGGACGCCUAAAAUCUGCGCCAUUAAUAGUAUUUAAAUCAUAAAGAGGUCAAAUUAGUGAGAGCACCGACGUCUAUAGCAUUAUAGAUGUCGGUGGACAAAUGUAACCGACGUCUGUAGUACUUUAUACUACAUAACGCGAAUCCGCAAGUAGUUACCAUUAUUCAUCGUCUUCUUCCUCGCGCUUUUCUCUUGCGGCAUUGUUUUCUAGGUUGAUUUUCUCUCUUUUGGACUGUUUAAAUUCAGUUUUACUCCGAUUAAGUUACUCUUUGAUGAAAUAUCUUCCAUUUGAACCGAUUAAAAUUUGUUUUCAUUGCGUUUUGGUGCAAUUUGUGACGUGUUCUUGGGCGACAUUUUUUACCCUUUUUGGCCUACAUUUUUGGGCGUACAAUCCUCCAUUUUUCUCCAUUGUUGUUUUAAUCUGCUAAAAAGAUUAGCUUAUUUGUUGAAAACUUUUAUUGUAUGUGUGUUAUUGUCUUUUGUGUAUGCAUGUUAUUGGCUUUUGUGUUUGCAUGCUUUUGGCUUUUAGGUAUGCAUGUGUUAUCGGCUAUUGAAUAUGCAUGUGAUAAAGUUUAGUUGUGUUAUUAUAAUUGGCAUGUUAGAUUAUAAGUAUCAAAUCAUUGAGUGAAACUUAGUUCCCGUUUGAAAUUUAAUACAAACGAUAAAUUUUUUAAUCGUUUGUAUUAAAUUUUGAAUUGUCUGAUUGGACAGUUUGGGAAAAUUAUUUUUCAUAAAUUUGCUAUAACAUGUACGUUGGAGAUUAUGCAUAAGAUUGAUGAAAUUUCGGUUCAUUAUUUGUGUUGUUUUGUCAUUCACAUGUUCCUUGUUAUAAACAGCUAAAAUUUGAUGUUCCAAACACACUUGACAUGAGGAAGAAAGUCUUAUCGCAGAUAUGUAAGAGAUGGAGGGAUUUCAAGACAAGGCUGACACGUCUGUAUGUGUUUGGAGACAGACAACAUGAGAAUCCAUCUCAGCAUUAUUCCUUCACAGAAGAAGAAUGGAUGCAGUUUCGUCAAUCUAGAGAGACUGAGCAUUAUCGUUUAACUUAUUCGGUAAAAAGAUAUUUGCCUUUGUCGAUACGGGAAUGUACGGGGAAGUCAUGAACUGAUAGAGAAUUCCUUUAUUAAGCAAUACUGCCUAGAGAUAGGGGUAGGAUGAUCAAUUGUAUUUUGCUUCAGUGUUCAAUGCAUUAUUAAUUAGUCAGGGAGACUAGAGAUAGUAAACUAGUAAUUAAUAGUAGGCUCUUUUCGCCAAGGAAUUGGGUUUAGGAUGGGCCAAGAAAGUGUGCAUGACAAUUAGAUAAUAAAGCGAAUUAAAUAAGAAAAGUAGAUAUAAGAGGAUGGAUAAGAUGAAAUUGUAAACCCCAACAACCCCAUUCAUCCAUAUCUUUUCCUUGUCAAUUGAUUCACUUGCAUUUGCAUGUUUAUUUUCUGUUUUGCAUUCAUACUACAAAUUCAUUCCUUUUCAAGUCUUAUAAGAUUAACUUACAUGAAAGAUAAGGCCUAAGAGUCCUUUGGGAGAACGAUACUCGGACUUACUGUUUAUAUUACUUGGUAACGAUCUGGUACACUUGCCAGGGGCUUAACAACCACCCCCCCCCCCUCUUCUAGUAUUUUUCAAGUACUUCAUUGUUGAAUGGUAUUGUAUUUCUCAAAUUUAGGAUUGCUGAUAGGGGGCAAUAUGAAUGCUUAACCCAAUUCCUUAUGCGGUUUUUGAUGAUGACAACACAUGUUUUGUUUUUUGAUGAUGAUAAUACAUAUGUUUCCAUGACUGCAACAUAUAUUGAUUAAAUUGGUUUAUUUGCAUACUUGUUAUGAUCAUACAUGUGUUUACAUCUACUAUAUGCAUACUCAUAUUUUAACAUGUGAAAACCACUUGUACGAUGCACUAUUUGUAUGAAGUAAUCUAUUACAGUGGUUAUGUAAUCAAUUAGAUUCAUCAGAUAGCUAUUGCUUGAAUUGUGGCAAGCUAUAAGUUUUAACCGAUUACAUUAUAUGUAUAAUCAAUUAAAACUUGUGCCUUUGCAAAACACCCUUCUGCAAUGUGCUGUGAUGAGUUUUAGAAAAAAAAAUUUUCAAAAUUAUCUAAGUGUAGUACUUAACCGAUUACAUUAAGUUUGUUAAACAUUGAAAACUAUUUUGAUGAUAAGUUUUAACUGUAAUAACGGUUAUAUUUUCAUAUCUUUUGACUUACAUGUUAUGUGCAAUCAAUUACAUUAUAUGCUUAAUUAGUUAAGUCUAUUUGAAUGUAAUUAUAGUGUAAUCGAUUAGAAUGUGUCUGACAUGAGAAAAUUACAUAAUGUCGCACUACACUCUGCAAUAAAGACUUUUGAUCAUUUUAAACUUUUAAAUAUGAUAUUAGUAAGUCAAGAAAAGAACUACAGGUGCAUUGAGUUGCUUUAAGAAUACAGAUACAAAGAAGUUGAUAUUCUUGAAGGAUUCUUGAAGGACAAAUUUAAACAUUUUACUUUCUGAUCAACUAAUGAACAAUUAAGUUGUUUUCUUUCUUGAUCAAAACUUUAGUUUGCAAUCAAGAGAUUGUGGUUUCCCUGUGCGUGUGUCCAAGAAGAAGAACGUGUGGUUCUUGUGACUUUAAGAAGGGUCUCAAAGGGGUAUUGUAGGGAAGAGGAUUAUUCUUUCUGUAGGGUGUGAUUGUUGUCUAUAUUAGAUUACUGAGUUAGAAAGGUGGUUACAUUUGAGAGGUGUUCUCUGUAAAGCCUUGUUGUAAAAACUCAAAUCUUUAUAGUGCAUUGGCUUUCAAUCUAAGGUUCAUUAGAAGGACACUGGAUGUAGGCAUUGAGGCCGAAAUAGUAUAAAAAUUUGUCUUUGUGUUUCUAUCCUUAUCUUUUUUACUUUCAUUGUUUUCUUUUAUUCCUGGUGAUUGAAGAUAGAUUAAAGAUCAUUCAAAGUUUCCAAAAUGAGAGAAAAAGAAAGCAUUUUUUAUUCAUUACUAAUUCACCCCUCCCCCUCUUGGUAAGGGAAUCAUACAUGCUUUUUCUUACAAGGAUUAUUUUGGUCAAAAUGGGUGGUGUUGGUAGUUGACUUAUGGAAGAAAUGGUAAAAUGGAAGAAAUGAGAAUUUGGGAUGUUUGGUAGUGUCAUUUGGGAUUAGUUUGGAUGAUGAUUGGACAUGUAGAUGGUUUAGAUUUGCAUAGUAGAUGAUGGGUUGUGUUUUUCAUUGACUUUUAAAGUGUAUUUUGAGGUUUUGAGAUGUGAAAUUUGAAGUAGAAGGUUUUAGGUAAAAUAGAGAGUUGGGGUUUGCUUUUGAGUCAAAUUGGGCUUGUUUAGACCCCUAAGUUAUUUAACCAAGAGUGAAAAUCGGUAUACUUGAGUUCUGGUCCAUAAACUAAGCUUUGAGUUUAUUUUUAGUUGAAAUUUCAUAGUAGAAGGAGUCAACACUGGUUUAGAUUGGAAUAUAUAUGUAUAUACAGGUUGGUUAUAGGUUUGAUUAUCAUUUACAAGUGUUAGAAGCUGGUAGAAAUGCAUGGGAGAAGACAUGAGAGGUUGGAGUGGUGUUCUUGGAAGUUUGGAAGGUUGUUGGUUUAUACAAAGGGUCUGGGCUAGCAAACUGCUCGUUGGGCAAGUUCUAGAGGGUUUUGGCAAUGGGUUUCAUAAGCUAGGCGAGCCAGCUUGCUAGGAUUAUGGAGCUCACUGUUUCUGCUAUUGCUGGGCAAGUGGUUAAGCUCGUUGUGCAAGUUUUGGGGGUCUUGGGUAGUGACUUUUAGGCGCUAGGCGAGCUCCCUUGUUGGGCUUGAGGAGCCCCCUAUUUGUGCUAUUAGAGGUAGAGGAGAGAAUGACACACCCUUAUACACUAGUGUGCUUGAGUGAAAACACUUUUUCUAGUGAGGAUUGGUUCCUUUGGUUGAUCAAUGAAAAUAUCUUUGCCAUGAUUGUUAAUCUCUCAUAAAGCAUGUACAUUCAUUCUUGUAAUAUUUGCAUUGUGAGCACCAUAGCUAAGGAUUUACAACGUUACACAUAUUCUCUUUGGAUUGGUAUUGAAAGAAGAGCACUCAUGAAUGUUAUCUAAUUUGAUUGUGUGAACUUGUUUCCUAGUUAUUUGACUUUUGUUGAGUAGAUGUUUUUCUUAGCCAAGUUACCUCUUGCUUGAGGACAAGCAAGGUUUUAAGUGUGAGGGAGUGAUAACAAUUGAUUUAACAUGUUUGUGUGUGUAUAUUUUGUGAACAAAUCAACUCCUUCAUAACUUUUACCUUGUUUUAUCCUCAAGUUUAGUGCGUUUCCUAGUUUUCUUGUGUUUUAUUUAGUAUAUGCUUGUUUUUACCUCUAAUAUCUUUGUUUGAGUGUGUGAAAUAAAUGAAUAGGAAGCAAUUCUAGUUUAGGAAAACAAGCAAGAACUCAAGGGAACAUGUUUUGGGACAAUAAAAGAUUAAUUUGAAGCAAACACCCAUGUUAGACACCUUUGGAAUUGCACAAGAACUUAAUUUUAGAAUGUUGUCAAAACAGCCUGUAGUUGAGCUGUAGCUGAGCUAUAUGUCUCUGGAAUGUUGCAGCUGAGGUGCAGCUGAACGCCCUACUCUCUGGAAUGCUAGCGCUGGGGUGCAGUUAGGGUGCAGCUGAGCUCUCUGUCACUGGAAAUCUGCCGCUAGGGUGUAGCUGGGGUGCAGCUGAGCGCCCUACUCUUUGGAAUGUUGCAGCUGGGGUGCAGCUGAGCGGUGACGAUGUUGAUGUGUCAAAAUAGGUUAUUUAAACAUGGGUCUCGCGAUUUUUUUGGCAUUCUUCUCCUCCUACACUUCAUUCUUCACCUAGAGAGAUUGGGAGAGACCCUUUGAGGCUAUUUGGGGUGUUGGGAAGCUCUCCCACUCCUCCUUGGGUCUUCAAGCUUCAUCAAUGGUGAUUUUGCCCCUUUUGGGUUGAGGAAGAAGAUGGGUCACAAAUUGGAGAUGGAGAUGCGAAGGGGAGAUGCAAAUGGAGCAUAGAGCAACUGCCAAGAACCUUAGAAAAGGCUUUGCAUCUUCUCUUUGGUUCCAAUUUCUUCCCUAUCUCUUCAAUUUUGUGAACCCUAAGUUCUCCACCAUGGAGAGUUUUUCCUAUUUGUUGGGAUUAGAUGUAAUAAACUGAAUCUUGUGUAUUUUGUGAUGUUAAUGCAUAUGCUUUUCCAUUUCAAUGUUAGUAUUUGAUUUCUAUGCUUAAUGCUUGCUUUGGAUUGAUCACCCAUGCAUGAAUUAUGGUUCUUGAUGUACUGGAAAAUAUGACUUGAACUUAGAACUGAAAUUGAACACCUAAUUGAUGAAAUUGAGUUGUUUGUAAAUGCAUGAGAAUGAAGUGGAUGAACUCUAGUCUUGACAAAUUGUAAAUACACUAUGUUAAAUUCCUUGCACAACAACUGUUUGAUAAAAUACCAAAAAGAGUCUCUUGUGUUGUUUUGUGCACUUUGAUGUCUAAUUUAGUUUUAAAAGGAAGAAUUGUUAUGUGAUGCACAAGUCUCUUGGGAGAGAACGAUAUUUAUCACUUGCUACGCUGCGACCGAUGCACUUGCCGUUGGUUUUGCAGCCAACAAGUUUGAUUGUCAAUAAUUUUAGCCAUAGAUGUUUAUGAAUUAACCUUAGAGUGUGGUGAUCAUUGUUAAGGAAGAUGUUGUUAUUCCAACUCAAAGGCAGGACCCCUAUAUUUCAAUAUCACUACAUGUAUCCAGAUAGUCAAGUCUAAAAAAAAAACUUUUUAUGACUUAGGAUUGAUUAUUUUAUCUCUACUAUAUCUUUAGUUCCAUAAACAUGAUUUAUAAUUAUUUUGAUACAUUAACUUACCCUUUCUUCUCUGUGUUGUUAAUUUGUUGUAUUUCUUCUAUUUUACAAUAAUCACAUUAUAAUAUAUAUAUAUAUAUAUAUAUAUAUAUAUAUAUAUAUAUAUAUAUAUAUAUGUGUGUGUGUGUGUGUGUGUGUGUGUGUGUGUGUGAAAAGUUUUUAACAACUUCAUUCAACUCUACCUUCUGCCCUUCCCCUCUCUCCCCUUUCUAGAAUUUUUCUUAUGUUUCAGUAUUGUUAUCCAAGUAAAUCUUCAACAUCAAUGGUAACUUUAAGCUAGUGUCAAACAUGAUUUUGUUUUGUUAAUGUUAAUCAGGUUUACUUUUAGUUUAUGUUAGCUAAGCUUUUCUUGGCCAACGUUUAACAAAAAUAUUUUUUGAUCAAUGUUGGUUGAAGUUUAUUAAUCAAUGUUAGUUAAAGAAUUUGUUAUCAACAUUAAUAUGACUAUUGAUUAAUAUAUGUCGAAUCAUUAUGACAUCAAAGAAAAAAUAACAUUGAUUUAAGUGAAUCAAGAAAAACUCUUGUUAUUAAUUAAAAGAGUCUAGCAAACCAACUUUAAAAAAGAACUUCAAUCAACAUCUACUACAAAAAAAAAUAUAUAUUAAUCUGGUAUUAUUGUCAGUCAAUAUUUGUCAAUAAUAAGUGAAAUUUGUCGGUAACAAGUGUUUUUAGGCGGAAUAUUGACUACACAAAGUUCAUUUUUAGUUUGCUUGUCUAUAAAAAUUCUUGAUGGAUUUAGAAAUCCCUUAAUAAUUAUCGACAACAUAUGUAUUGGUAAUUGUAUUAUAUACAAUCAGAGUAGAGUUCUUUAGUAUUUGCACCUAAACAAAACUUGCUAACAUAAUAUACACAGCUGAAUAAAUUAUAAAUUGUUGAACUAAUAAUAUUAUAUAAUGAAAACUCCUAUACAAUGAAAACUCCAAACAAAGUAAACUCUUAACAAAGAAAACUCUUAUACCAUUAAAAUUCAUAAUAAUGAAAGGAUUGGACAUUUUAACAUCUUAAAUCCAAUAAUGACAAUUCAAGUGUGUACUUGAUUAAAUGUUUUUAAUCUUUUCUAAAUAACUGCAGUAGUUUGACUUAUAUUGAGCUCCAAUCAGCUCAAUAUCACCUUCUUCCAAUAGAGUUUGAAAAGAGUAAUAUAUAGUAUAGAUCUUUUAAUCUUUAGUAGAUUACCAACUACCAAAGUAUCUUCGACAUUUGCUUAUGAGCAUGUGCUAUGUGCACUUUGAACUUAAGUUCAAAAACUUCUCGUUGGGCAAUGUGUGUUUGCAAUGUGAGUUCAAUGAGAAAUUGUGUAACUUGAGUUCCAAGUGCACAUAGCACAUGCUCGGAAGCCAAUGUUCGAAGGCAUUGCAAAAAGAUCUUUAUGAAUAAAGGAAUUGGAUGUCCUCUUUUGGUAAUUGGUAAUUUACUAAAGAUUAAAAUAUUUAAACUAUAAGCUACUCUUUUUAGACUUUGAUGCAAUAAGGUGAUAUUGAGUUUAUUGGAGUUCAAUAAGAGUCAAACUAUUGCAUUUAUUUGGAAAAGAGAGAAAAACAUUUACUUAAGUACAUGCAUUGUGAACUUGAAAUGUCAUUCGUAUUAGGUUUAAGAUGUUAAUAUGUCCAAUCCUUUUAUUAUUUGAAAUUUUUAUUGUACAGAAGUUUUCUUUGUUACAACUUUUCUUUGUUAGGAGUUUUCAUUUUUAGGGGUUUUCUUUGUUAGGGGUUUUCAUUUUUUAAGGGUUUUCUUUGUUAGGAGUUUUCAUUUUUAGGAGUUUUCAAGGAGGGUACUCUACCAAUCUCAAUCUCUGACACUGUUGGGGCAAAUUGGAAAGUGUACCGAGUCGCACAAGUAAUAUAAAAUGGUAAGACCAAGUAUCGUAUCCCAGAGGACUCUCGACGCUAAACAGUUGUAUGAAAACAAGAUUAAUUAAGACUGAAAAUAAAAGAGAUCAUGGAUUGUAUUGCAAAAAUAAUAAAAUAAAACAAAACAAAAUUGAUCAGUGGCAAAAGAGCUCAGAGAUGAAUGAAGGUUGAUUUAUAUGAGAUGAGUAUGUUGUUGGGGUUAGAUUUCACCAAGUUCCCUCUCAUGUAUAUAAGAAUUCUUCUUUAUUCCUUAAUGCCAACGCCCCUCACUAAAACACUUAAACCCGAUCCCUCGGUAAAUAAGUUUGUCCCUAAUUACCAGAUCAUACAAUUCCUAGCAUUCCUGGUAAAAAGAUGUGAAGAUCAAGAGGUUAAGACGACUAAGAUUCAUACCCUCAUCCCUGAGCAAUAUAACCCUUAGGAGUAAUUCAACAAGGACCUGAAUUGAAAGGAACCUCCCAGCACUCAUGCAACUCAUAGAUCAUGUUAUUGUAUAAGAAUAAAAAUAGAUUAAUUACUCUAACAAUUAAUGAAAAAGCAUAUGAAAUUAAAAAUCAAUUCAAAUACAUGAGAGUUCACAAGGUUACAUCAUUCCCUAACAACAAAUAGAGAUUAGUUCCCCAUAGACAUGGGGGAACCUAUGAACAAUGGAAGCAAAGAAAGAAUGAAAAGACUAAGAAUUGGCUAGGAGUGUAUUGUUAUGCUCUCUUCUGCUAGGGAUGCAAAACCUAGAGCCCCAAGGUCCUUUAAAUAGUGUCAGAUGCGUCCCAAAGUGCGGUCUGGUAAAAAAGAAUCAAAUCAUAGCAGAAUCAGGGCCCGAUCCACGUGAAAUCACGCUCAAGCGUCGCAGGGAGCUCGCUCAGGCGUGACAUGUUGGGCUUGGGCGUCAGUUUUGGAUGCCCAAGCUCGAGCGUCCGUCGCCCGGGCGUCGGGGCCGUCGCACGGGCGACCAGCGGUGAUCUUGGAUGCGCUGUUUUUCGUUCCUGUCGCCUGGGCUUCGGGUUUUCCCCCUUCUUGGUGCCUUUUUGACCCCUUUUGUGCUCCAUCUUCUUGGCUUUUCACUUCUUCUUCCAGUAUUGCUUCAAUCUCUGUCAAAACAAGGGGAAUUUGUUAUAAAAUUUUUAAAAUCAACCUCAACUCUCUUAUUCACACAAUUUAUUGAAAACACAUGAGUCUAAGAAAGUUUCUAAGUGAAAAAGGGUGCUUUUAGUAUCAAAAUCACAUAGCAAAUAACGGUGUUUCAACCCGUUAUCAGACACCCAUCAUAUGCAAGGAGAAUCUUGAUUCCAAAGAACUCAAAUCAUGAGUUUAUAAAAUGAUGACCAUGCAAAGAGGACACAUGUAUUGAACUGCAAAGUCCAAUACAAUUUCUUUUUCAAAUCAGCAAAAACAUAAACUCUUGAAGGAAAACUAGGGAUGAAACUAAGGAAAAUUGUAAACUAAUUAUCAAAUAUGGUUGCUAAGGUACAAAAGCACAAACUCUAGAAUCUUCCUAUCAGUUAAUUAGCAUCAACGUGAAACCUUGCUUGGUGGAUAUAAUCUCACACCUAGAAAAUUGCAGUAGAAAGGAAACUAAGGAUGAAACUAAAAAAAAUAAUUCCAAACUAACUAUCAAAGGUUGCUAAGGAUAAAACAAUAAAAGACGACCUACACAUGAACAAUACAGUUUUCAUAUUUUUCAUAUAGGCAAAGUGUAAAACUUUUAGGACUACUUAUACUUAAGUAAAGCAUGCAAAGGUCAACACAAGAAAUGAAAGAAUAAAAUACCUAAUCUACCAGUAACACAAAAAUGACUUUUAACAUUUGUUAUUUUAGGCUUUUGACCUCUGCUAAAAGUUUGAUGUUAUAGUUCGAGUCGUCAAAUUAGUGUUUCUUGUCCUUGAAUAAAUGUCAAUUAACGUUUUUUUGCAUUCAUAACAUUUAGAAAUAAAGUGCCUUGUUUCUCAACACCAAGAGGGGGGGGGGGGGGCUGAAUUGGUGAACAAUAAAAACAAUGCUUUUUAAAUCUUUUCGCAAACUCAGAAUGUUCUUUAAUCUUUCUUGUAAUCUAAGUAAUGCGCAUAUGCAAUGAAAGUAAAAGAGAUAAUGAAAGACAUACAAACAAAGGAUUUAUACUGGUUCGGCCUCAAUGCCUAUAUCCAGUUUCCCUUCCAAGAACCCCUUGUUCUUCUUCCUAUCACGCACGAACAGGACAGCACAAUCCAAGAUUGCAGAUAUAAAUUUCUGAUCAACGUAGAAACACCUCAGUUAUGUAGAGAAUGACCAACCAAUACGUACACAAAGUUCCUUUGAAGAAUCCUUCAAGUUUCUUCCAAUUCUUUGAAUCUUGAUUCUUGGAGCAUCUCAACAACCUCUAAUAAUUUUCCCAAAUCAAAGAAAUCAGAUAUGAAAGUUUACAAAUGAUCAAAAGUUACAGAGUUGUGUGUAAUUCUUCAAUGUAUAGUUUUCAUCAUGACAGGCGAAAAACAAUCGAUUAGGUUAGUAAUUUAAUCGGUUACAUUAAAACCAUAUGUAACAGAAUUACAACUAACACGAUUCUAAUUGAAUGCACAAUUAAUGUAAUCGAUUUGAAAUAAAUGUUAGUCAAAAGUUACAGAGUUGUGUGUAAUUCUUCAAUGUAUAGUUUUCAUCAUGACAGGCGAAAAACAAUCGAUUAGGUUAGUAAUUUAAUCGGUUACAUUAAAACCAUAUGUAACAGAAUUACAACUAACACGAUUAUAAUUGAAUGCACAAUUAAUGUAAUCGAUUUGAAAUAAAUGUUAGUCAAACAUAUCUAAAAAUAUGACUGUUAUAAUUGUUAUGACAUAGCUUGAAAACAAUUUUCAAAUAAUAACACACUUAACUGAUUACAUAAACAGUGUAAUCGAUUAAGCUCUUCGCUUAAACAGAUUUUGAAAAAAUUUUCUCUUUAAAACUCAUUACAGCACAUUUCAACAAGAUGUUUGCAAAGACAUGGGUUUUAAUCGAUUUAACACUUAAUGUAGUCGAUUCAAAACUUGUUGUUUUGCCACAGUUUAAAACAUAAGUUUUAUGAUGAACUUAAUUGAUUACAACAUGACUGUAAUCGAUUAUUUCAUACAAAUUUGCUCUGUGUUUAUGGUUUUAACACACAAAAACAUUCAACAUGCAUACAGAGAUAUAAACACAUCAUGAUCGCAAUAGUAUGCAAACUAAACAACAUAUCAACAUAUAUAUUAAUCAACAAUAAACAUUUACAUAGAAACAUAUGUAUCAAUCACAAAUACACAUUUCUGUUGUGCCAUGACAACAUCUAUGUGUUGUUACAAUCAAUGCAUUGUCAUCAUCAAAAAUAAACACUCCAGGGAUUGGGUUCAGCACUCAUAUUGCUCCCCUAUCAACAAUAGACGUUAAUUAACAUAUGUUGUAGGAAACACAGACACUAAUUUGUGAGGUUAUUAUUUUAAAAUUUUUCAUCAAUAUUUUCCUCCACUGAAACUAUGGAAAGUCAGUACACAAUACAAGAAUACACAACAAAAAUUUUAUAGUAUGGACAUCUAAAAUAAUGUGUAAGACAUAGAAAAAUUGGUGAAAAUAGGAAAAAAAAUAAAAUAUAUAUAUACCGUAAAUGAUGAAAUUUUUGAAAUUCCAAAGCUCUAAUCUCCUUCAAUUAUUGUCCGACGCCUUUGUCACCCCAUAUACAACAUUUUUCCUUUUUUAGAGCAUCUCCACUCAAGAUUUGUAGUAAAAGUUAUGACCAUUUGAAGUUUUUAACCACUAAAUCUUGACAACUCUGAAUUAGUGACCAAUAUUUCACAUUUGAACACUUUACAUUUGAAUACAACUAAAGAAAAGUUACCACAACCAAAUUUGAGUCAAAAAUAAUUUUCUAGCUAUUUUUAGUGAAUUAUAAAAACUCGAGAUUAAGCUAAAAACACAACAUUUAGGACACACAACAAUGGCCAGUGAAUGAAAAUAUCAACCUUAAUGUGAAAUGAAACUAGGGAAACAAAAACUUCAGCCCAAAUAAGUACAACGACAAGAUGGAGUGAAAUGGGUUGAAGAAUUUACUUCUAUGAGUUUGGCAUUAUCGUUACACUUCGGUGGGAGGUUUUGCGAAAACGUGACAGAGAAAAGUGAGGGCGCUGACACUGUUUUUGAAAUUUUAAAAGGCAAAUUGACGUUUGUUGUGACUGGCUCCGACAUCAAUUUGGACAAAAUAUUUACAAAAAUGUCAUAUCUCAAUCUUAACGUCGAAUUUUUCUAUUUACAAGAAAAACAUGGUGAAAUUAUAAGCUCUUUUUACACUAGUGUACAUGUUUCAAAUGUAAUACCAAUCAAGUUACCGUUUUUUGAAUCUUCUUUCAACUAUAUUAGUAUUAACAUGAAACCGUACUUGGAGGAUCUGAUCUCACACUUAGAAAAUUACAAACCGAACAACAAUAUUAAUGAAGAUUUCAAUUAGUCAAUUAUCAUAAAUAUAAAAAACACAAUGCAUAGGUAUUAUUGGUCAACCUACAAGACCCAAAACUUUGUUACAUGACUAUGAGAAAGAUUGAAAACCAUAAACUCAAGGAAAGUUUAGGCUAAUCAAAUACAGCCACAAAAAAGAGUAGGCUACAGUGUGAAACACAAAGUUUGUAUGAAUUCUCGUUUGAUAUACAUUUUACAUAAACAAGCUCAUAAAUCAAAAUGUUAAACUCUAAGAGAAAACCCAAUACCAAAAUGAACAACAUAGUUAUCCCUAAACCCUAAAUGAAAAACAAAAUAAGAACAUCUUUAUACCUCAAACCAAAAUGUCUUCGAUGAGGAAUCUUAAAUCGGGACAACCUUGACAAAAUUUCCUCCCUAGGAUGAUGCUCCAAUGAAUGAUCAGGUGGUGAAACAUUGUGAAUUGAUUAAUCAAUUAGGAAUACUAACAAAAAACUCCAACGAAAAUUAAUUUUUUUUUUCAAUAAGUAUGUAUAUUAUUAGUUUUUAAAUUAAAUUAUUUUAAUUAUUUUUUAUGUAGAUAUAUGUAAAAAUAUUUUUCAAUUAACUUUGGUUAAGAAUUUUUUAUAUUGAUUGUUGUUUUUUAAAAAAAAAAUCGAUUAGAGAUUUGAGUUCAACAAUGUUGAUAUCAUCUUUUAAUUGAAAAUUGGAUGUAUUUUUUCAAUUGUCAUUACGGUUAUUUGUCAAAAUUUAACUAAUCUUUUUCUAACAUAGAUUUAAAAAAAAUCUUACUAAUAUUAAUAGAAAAGUUGAAAAAAAUUGAUUUAAAAAUAUUACCAACCAACACAAAGUAAAAUAAUAAAAAGAAAACUCUUGACAAAACUUGAUUUAGAAGUAAUCUCUAUCAACAUUAAAAAAAAAAAAACUUAGACAUAGUAUUUUAAAAUGUUAAAUAUUAUGUAAUAUCAGAAAAGUUAUAUUAAACAAUAAAACCUUGUAUUGAAAUUUAAUAAAUUUAAAUUAAAAACAAUUCAAAUUGAAUAUAUCUUAAUAAUUAUUUUGAAUUUGUCCAGUUUCCUAUAAUUAAAGUUUAUAACUUCCAUUUGGUAUGAGUUUUGAUUAAGAGAACCAUAAUGGUGAUUCAUGACAUCUCAUUCUAUGAAGUCGAUUUGGACCACUUUGGUGUCUCAGUCUCAUCCUCUUUCAAUUCCACCAAGUUUUCCAUGGAUAGUGCUUCAAUGAAACUAUCUAUGGUGAGGGAGAAAGAUGGAUUAAUUGUGGUGUGGGGACAUGCAUGUUAUGAGGAGAGGAAUCCAUCAUUGUUCCAACAGUUGGAUGACAAAGAUGAAUUUAAUCACCUUAAUUAGCUUGUUUGCUUGCUUUUGGAACUUUGACCCACAUACAUACUUUAACAUGUCAACUCCCAUCCCAAAAUUUCAACUCAAUCUAUAUAAAUUAAAUGUCAAAAUAAAAAUACCCUCGUGUUGUUUUUUUUUUUUCAGAAUUACUUUAUUUAUAUUAGAAUUUUAUACACAUUUAAAAAUUCAUAAAAAGUUAGAAUAUUAGCAAUACAAAAGUAGUUUAAUUCAAUAUUUUUUUUUAAAAAUUUGGGUAGGAUUUCUUAGUAUUUCAAGAUUGUUAAAAAAAAAUUACAUCAUUUUAACUAUUAUUAAAAAACUAAAGAAUAGUGUGUAGUUUUUUUUUUUGUGCUGUGCAGUUAUGUGCUUAUAUUUGCUAAGUUACUCUUGGAGGGGGUUUUCUAGGGUUUAGGGUUUUUGCUUUCUUAUUAUUUCUCCCUCACUAAUUACUCUUCAUCAUUCUUCUUUCUUCUUUCCCUUUUUUUAUAAUAAGAAGGUAUAUUUAGUUUUAAGUCUCAUUCAGAAUAGUCUAAGAUAAAAUAAAAUGUAUAUAUAUAUAUAUAUAUAUAUAUAUAUAUAUAUAUAUUUAAAAUGCAUUUAAUAGUAUUAAUUGAGUUAACUAAAUUUUUAAUCUCUUUAAAUUAAUUAAAUUAUUAAUUAGUUGUAACAAAGCAAAGAACAAGCAAAGCUAUGCCAAAGUUUUCUUAAGAUGCAACUUAACAAUUAAUAUAUUUUAUUAAAAAUCACUCAUUUGAUCCUUAAUAUCAUUAGUGCAUUCUAAAUAUGAAUUCUAUAACAAAUAAUUAAAAAAAAAAAAACUAUUACUUUGAAUGUCUUAAUUCUUGAAGACACAAACCCUAAAAACAUAGACUACUAUAGUAUUUAAAACAUUUAAAGAUGUUCUGUUGUAAGGGCUGACACAGCUCAAAGCUAAAUUCACAGUGCGGUUAUAGGUCGUGUUUGGAUGUUAUGGUCCCAAAAGCAAUAUUGGUGGAAGAAACGGUGAAUGAAGAAGCUUUGUUCAUAGUAAGAAAUAAAAGGAGACAGAGUUUAUAGUUAUUGAGGAGUACUCUAAUUCCGAAUCCAAUCAUGAUGCUUCUGAGAACCAGAAUCUAACAGCAUUGACACCAUUUCUCAGCAUCUCUGCUUUUUCUUCACGAAAAUCCAAGUGUUACUGAUAAGCUUCCCUUUCAUACGAGACCAUUUUAAUGCAGAUAAACGCUUUUUCUCAUCGGAUUCCAUCUUUCUCUCUGCACUUCAUCUCAUUGGAUCUAUGUAUGUGUGCCCAGUUGCUUGGUGACAACUCUCGUAUACCAGUAUCAUGCUUUUUCCUAUGAGGGUUUUCCGAAAACAUCAUGCAGCAACAACAAUGUUUUUGUGUCUUCUCUAAUUAAGAUUGUCAACACUACUUUAAAUUUCUCAACGGCUACAAAAAUUUACUUUUAAUGUUGUAUUUUUUAUUAAAUAAAAUUGUGUUAAUAACUCUUUCUGCUGUAAACUCUAACCCUAAACUUAUCUCAGCCGUGUUUGAAAAUUUUAAUUUCAUUUGGACAUUUUUCAAUUUAAAAAUGCAUUAAAAUUAAAAUCUUUAUUUAUAUUCCUCAUAGAUUCUCUUAGAAAACCAAAAAUUAAGCCACAUUAAAAUGGGGUGAAUUAAUUUGAUAGAUAAAUUAAAUUUUCUUGAAUGGAUAAAAAUGAAUAUAGGUCGCUAUAUUCAAGAACUUUUUUGAUUAAUUGUUUGUCCAUAGGCUGUCUUUCAUAGUGCAACUAAAAUCAUGUUAUAUUUGAAAAUAAGAAAUAUUAUUGUAUAAGUUAUAAUUUUUUUUUCUAAAAUAAUUUAUGCAUCUUUACAACAAUAACAAUAAAAGUAAUGAAAUUUUAUUAUUUUUAUGUGAUAUUAAAAAUAAAGAACAAUCUCAAACAUCUUUAAAGCAAGAUUAUCUUAAAACAAGAUACUUUGCAACAAAAAAAAAAUGAAAUAAAAUGAACAAAAAAUAUAUUUUUUAAUUUUUUUGUAUAUUUGAAAAUAUAUUGAAAAUGACAUGUUUAAAGUAACUAGAUUAAAUAUAUUUAAAUAAGAUUUAAUGGGCUAUCCUUACUUUUACUGAUCAUUUAAAAAAUGUCCAAGUUAGUAUAUCUAAAUAUAUAUUUUGUUGAAACAUCCCCUUAUUUUUAUGUUGAAACUAAAUAAUAUUUAGAGUUUGAAUGAAAUUGUUUGAUGAAAGCUUUCUAAAGGAACUCAAAAUUCAUAGGAAAAUAAAAUUUUAACACCAUUUUUUAACACCAUUUUGACACUGCACACGUGUCAAAAUGUGGUUGGAUGAUUUCAAAUUAAUAAGACAAACUUUGGUUUUUUUCUUCCAAACAUAUCCCUGUCUCAACUUUUUUAAUUUGAAAUUGUCUAAUCACAUUUUGACACGUGUGCAAUGUCAAAAUAGUGUCAAAAAAUGGUGUUAAAAUAUCGUUUUCCAAAUUCAUAAUAUCUGAAUUUAGUUUUUAGGGUAAACUUAAGAAGUUAUACUGUAAAUAUUUUAAGAAACUCAUAAAUUCAAGUUUCAAGUUUAAUUAAUAAAUAAAUUCUUGUUAAAGUAAAGUUGCCUGAUAUGAUGACAUGAGUUAAGAUAUAAUUUUAUAAUAGAAUAUUUUUAAGUCAUGAGUUAUUAAAUUUUUAUAAAUAUAAAUAAAAAAUCAUAAAAAAUAGAUUUUUAUAAAAUUUUGUGAUUGACUAGCAGAAACAUUAUGUACAAACUCACAAUGAAUGAAACCUUACCAAUAAAAAAUAACAAAUCUGUCACAUGAAAAUUAUUUCAACUUUUAUCAGAACAUGAACAAUAGGAAAUCAAUGGGUUUGACACACCCGACAAAGCAAAUUCAAGAGACCGAAUUGUGCCAAAAUACAAAUAGUAACUAAUCUAUUGGUGAGAACCUAACUAGAACGUUAUAGGAUCAAUACUUCAUAUCAAAAAGGAUUCUUGUCUCCUCUAACCCUUGUCCUCUUCUUCAGGGUCAAACAAAAAAUAAGUUAUUUUUUAAAAACUAAAAUUAAUGUGUCUAUGAGUAAAAAAUUAAUGACAUUUUUUUCAUAUUAAUUUAUAUAAAGAGUAAACUUUAUGAAUAAACUUCCUCUGAUUUUAUUUUUAAUUCAUUCUUCUAUUAUUGUAUAUAUGGUUUAUCUUAUUUCAUUUAUCAGCCUGAGUGUUUUAUGAAAAUGAUAACUACACCAUAUUGUUCAUGAAAUCCUUCAACUUGAUAUAUUUUUUCUAUGAACCUUUAAUAAAGAGAGAUUUGAUUUUUUCUUACAAAAGGAAACAAUAAUAGUUGAGGAUUAGUCUUGUAAUUUACAAAUAAAUUAUCAAUUAUAAAAACUGUUGAAAGUCUCUCACCGACUAGAAAUAAAGCAAAUUUAUGAUAUAUAUAUAUAUAUAUAUAUAUAUAUAUAUAUAAACUUUAUCUUACAAGUUGGUUUUGUAAAAUUGAGUUAAAUUUAAAUCCAUUUCUUAACAUCGUAUUAUCCCAAUGAUAUUUGUUGUUUGUUAGGCAUAUUGUAUUCAAGUCUUUAACAAAAUCGUAAUUAUAAAUAUAAUGGUUUUGAUUCCUCCCAAAAGAUCAAUAAACAAACUUAUUUAUUUUCAAUUUUAUUACAUUUUAUAUUUUGGUUCCUCAAUUUUAUAUAUAUCUAUAAAAUAAAGUUUUGAAACUCUCAAAAUUUGUAUAAAGAUCCAUUGAUCAAACAGAUAUAAAUGACAUAUAUAAUUGAAUCUUACUAGAAAUACAAGUAUGAGUUUAAAUAAGUCUUAUUUUGAAUAAAGUUUAAAUCUAAAUCUUACAUUAAAUAAAAAUGAUGAAGUUGAUAUAAAAAAUAAUAUUCAUAAGUCUAUUAUCUUAAGGUUGAGUUGAAGGUUGUGUCAUUCUUUUGUAUUAAAUAUAUUCAUGUUUUAUUGGUGUUGAAUCUUCACGUUAAUUAUUCUUCAAAUCAAAUCCAAUUACAAUUAUAUAUAGAUGUAUUGAAUAACUUAGUGAAUAAUUUUUUCAUUUUACUUAUGUUUAGUAUAUACCAAUAAAUUAUGUCAAAUAUAAUAUUUGUCCACCAUAGCAUAUGAAAGUCUCUUGCAUUAACAUAAAUAACACAAAUAUAUAUUUACUGAUAAAACAAGUAAUUUAGAGAUAUACAUGGUGACAAUAAAAGAAGUACAGGUGGAUUUAGCAUUCCAAAUUAUUCAUCAUCUUCUUAAUGUAUUUAUAAUGAUAAAAGAAAAGAUCAAUUUAGGUAAAUUGAAUUGGUGCCAAAUAACAACUCUAGUUAUUGAAUUUUUGAGUUGUUUUCAGAUGCAACGAAUGUAGGUUAUCCACACAAAAGUAGAUAGAUCUAUGAAUCAUCUUUUACCUUUCUAUAAUAGACACAUGGAUAAUAUUAUCUUCUCAUGUUUCCAUUCAUACAUAACUAAAUUCAUUAAAUCAAAAUUUCUUCUAUUAUUAUUGGAUGAUUGUUUCAGUUCAUGGGGGAAUCUUUUUGAACUUAGAAAACGUCUUGUUUGUAUAUGUUAAAACCGUUUGUAUAUAUAAUACACUAUUACCAGUAAAAAUAAAUAAAUAUUUUUUAGAUGGUUAUAUAUGUACUUUCUAGGGAUAAUAUAGUUUUAAUCUCUUAUUAAAAGUUUAAUUAAGUCAAGUUUUAACGUUCCUCAUUAUAAAAAAGCACUAUGACUCUUGAGUAAUUUAUCUCACUUUAUAUUAAAAAGUAGAGUCUUCAAAAUAUGCAUUUGUCAGUUUUUUUUUUUUUGAAAUUUCUUUAUUUUUGUUUUAUAACAUCUUAUCUCAAACAUAUAUUCCAUAUUAUAACUUACUCGAUGAAAAAUAUUAUUAAACUAUUGUGAAUUUUUCAUUUUAGAACAUCCUAUAAAAGAUAAUUUUAAAGUAAACUUUUAGAAAAACACAAAAGUAUGAAUUGGAAAUAUAAUGAAAAUAGUAUUUUUGUAGUAUUCCAAUCAGCACGAGCUUCACAAAAGAUAAAAGAGCUUAAGAAAAGAAUUAUUAAAAGUUGAAAAAGGCAAUACUUAUUGAACUCAUAAAAAGAAUGGGAUACACUUUUUGUUUGUAAGUGAAGGAAAGAGAUUUUAAAAGUGUGACCCAAAAUACAAAUUUUAAGGUCCAAAUAAAGCAUCAUCAUAUAAAAUGCAUUCAACAUUAAUUAACUUUUGGGACCAAAAAAUAACCUUAACUUUACAUAUUAUUUUUUCAAUUCAAGAUGGAAUAAAUCUACAAAAUUCCUCAAUUCUAACGCAUAAUAACUAACAAUUAUGUUAAUUAAUUCACUCACUUUAUUAACCGUUUACUUCUAACCAAGCAAUAAAUAUGCAUAUAUAUGUAUGUAGAGUAAACUUUUAAUAUCAUAAACCAAAAUAGAAAAAACAGCUUAAAUUCAUGAAUGAAAGAGAACAAAAGAAUAUAUAAAUAACGAAGAUUCAUCUAAAAUUAAUCAAAAUUGAGAUAGAAAUGAAAAAAAAAGGCUCUUAUUAAUUUUGAACAAAACAUCUUUUAUUAAGAGAAAUAAAAUACAAUUAUUGUUUUCCCAUCCUUGCAAAUAACUCAUAAUUUUAGCCUAAUAUAUUAGAAUACAAAUAUUGAAUUGUUCAAUUAUGAAAAAAUAAUUUUUAAAGAAAAAAAAACAUAAAUAAUAAAUUGAAGAAAUAAAUGCAUUGGACAUAAGAGAGAGAAAGAGAAAGAAUGUGCCCCUAAAACCCCAAACUAAGCCCCCAACCCUAAAAUAAAAGCUCUUCAAUCUUUCCCUUCCCUCUCACACACACUUACAAAUUUCCCUCUUCACUUUCUCUCUCUUCUUUCUCUCUCUUAGCCUAUGCCACUUUCUCUUUCACCCUGAAUUUUUUCUUCCUUCACCAUUUUCCCUCUCAAUCAAAUGGGAAAGUACAUGAAGAAAUCUAAAAUCUCCGGUGACGUCGCCGCCCUAAUCAUGGAGUCACCGCCGCCGCACUCGCACCUUGGCGUCCGUACGCGCGCCAAAACCCUCGCGCUCCAGAACUCGCCCCAAACUCCCGACUCCGCCGUGUACCUCCAGCUCCGCAGCCGCCGCCUCCUCAAGAUACCCCCUCCCAUCCCGGAAAAGCCCCGACGUUGUGCCGCCGCCGAUUCUGCCCCCAAUUCCCGCCUCUCCCAAACUGCGCUCUCCAAAACGCCUUCGUCCCGCUCCGCUGAAAAGUUCGCGCCUUUAGAUGACGACAACGCUGAAUGCUCCUUUGGUCAAAAUUUCCUAGACGUCGAAGGCAGAGACGAAAGGUAUAUUCUCUUUCUUCAAUUUCCCCCCUUUUUUUCUUCCUCGGUUUUUUCCCUUGAGUUUUUGGAUUUUGUUUUCUUCGUGUGUUUUGUUAAAAUUUCAUCCUUUUUCUUUGCAACGUGAUUCUGAUACUUUUAUUUGAGUUUUUUUAAAUAUUUUAUUGGCAUGUUUUUCUUUUAGGUUUUUGCUUCAGAAUCUUACUGGUUUUUUCUUCAUGCAUUUGUUGUUGAUUUUUUGGGGGCUAAAGUGUGUAUUUGUAAUAAAAAAGAGUAUUUCAAAGUUCGAUUAUAGUAAAAUUUAGAGAUUUUAAAGAUGGGUUUACUCAUGAAAUUUGACAGGAAAAACAUAAGAACUUUUUCUAUAAGCAUUAUUUUUAAGACUAACAUCUUAAAAUGAUUUCAGGGACUAUUUUAUCCUUUUUCAUCUGUUGCAUGCAACUGUUACCUUGAUUUUUGUGACUUUUCACUAGUGUGUUUAUAUUUUCUUUUCAUUUUUUUGGUAUUAUUUAAUCUUCUAUUUUCUCCCUAUUGUGUUUUUAGUUUUUGAAUUUUAGUUUGCUGAAUUCUGGUGAUGCUAAAAUUGUUGCAUUCUAAGUGGAGCGGGAACCAUGUGAGUUGGUGGAAGGAUAUUAUUCAGUAAAAAAAUGAUAUUCUGUAUUGAAAUUUACCAUUCUUUUGAUUCUCUUGUGUUUUUAGUGUAGUUUUCAUUAUUAACCUUCGUUCUUGAACCUCUUGAGGUCUUGGUCCCUUAAUUUUGGGUUAUUUAUUUCUAUGAUUUGACUCUGUCAAGUCUAGGCACUGAGAUAAAGCUCUGUUUGUACAACGAGUCGCUGAGAUUUGAGACUUGUGUGUGACUUGUGAUGGGUUCUGCGGCAUGCAUGUCCUCAGGAUAGUAACUGCAACUUGUAUUUAUCUGCAGUAUUAAUGUGUGUAUGUCAUUCUUUAAUUUCUACAACUAUCCUGCGUAUUGAAUCCUUCGAACCAAAAAUGUUGUGCAUUGAUAAAUUUUCAUUUUUUUCCAGGAAAAUAGAACCCACUAAGUGGAAAAUAAGUUUCAUAAAUUGAUUAUAAAAGGAAGAACAUCUCCAAACUCCAAAUUGAGUGCAAUUUGAUGUUACAUUAAUUGCCUCUGCAGAUCCAGUGUGAUUUGACAAUUUUCAUGCAAUUAUGUUUCGACUCCCUUUGUUGUUUCUACUCCAUUUUUCUCAACAUUUUGAUGAACUUAAGAGCUUAGUAAUUAGAUAUGUUUCAGCAGUGACUCCAAAAUGCAUUCAGGCUUGAUUGUCCUUGUUUUACUUUUGAUCUGCAAGAACCUGCAUGACCCUGAAGCUUAACCCUCUGUAAAUGGUCAAGUUGGAAAAAAUUGGAUUUUAGUAAUAGGAGCAGCCGUAACUCUUAUGACUCGUGUUAGCAAUGAUGUGUCAUUUACAUGGGGCCAAGCAGCAGAUUGAUGUUUUUUUGGAUUCCUAUUUGGGUUUGCGGUGAAAUGAGAAAGAUUUGGCCGUCUCUUUCUUUGUAUUUUUUUAGUGCAUGAGCCCACCGAGUCAGAACUUGUCCCAAUAAAUGCCAGUUACUUUUUCAUAGUAGAAAAUUUUGUCUCUAGUUCCAUACUGAGCUGUAGGAGAUUGUUGGAGAAAAAAUGAUCUGUUUUUUCUCUCACUUAUUUUUUCUGUCAGCGGUUAGCAUGCAAUUUCUGGUGUAGAAACUUUUGAUUCCAAGUCAGCAUUUGUAUUAAUAUAUGGCUGCUAUUUUGUUUAUCUAUAAACUUAUCUUUAUUAACAUUUUAUUAUGUUUAAACAGAAGCACUAGGGAAAGCACACCCUGUAGUUUAAUAAGGGACCCAAAUGUCAUCCAUACCCCCGGUUCAACUACAAGGCAAAGGACGCUCCAAAAAAAGCAUGAUCACAUACAAAGGAACAUUCCACCGGCUCAUGAGUUGGAGGAGUUCUUUGCUUAUGCAGAGAAGCAGCAACAGAAAAUGUUUAUGGAAAAGUAUGUAUUCUUAUCCCACAAGUCCUUUUUUUUGUUUUUUACUUGUGGUUUUAUUUUGAUCUCUUAAUUGAUUUAUCAAUGUAAUUAUGUAAUGUGCUUAUGUCUAAAUGUUCUAUAUUAUGCAGGUACAAUUUCGACAUUGUCAAUGAUGUACCACUGCCUGGACGGUACGAAUGGGUCCCAGUACUCCACUAAGAUGAUAAGCUUCAGUGUCAUAUGGUGAUAAUAUGGAUUUCAAGGAUAUCUGACAUGUAUUGUAACAACUAGAAGCUGUCACUAACCAUUUACUUUGCUUGAGGUUAUUGUUCAAGUAGCUACUAGGGAAAGGAUGUUUAGGAAUUUAUUAUAUCUGAGUAGUUUAGAGUUUUUAUGUCUUUCUGAUUUGUAGGGGGUAGGGGGUAUAUGGUAUAUCUAGUUGCAGCUCUUUAAUGUAAUUUCAUUUUCUUGUGUUUAUAGUUCAGUGGGGAUCAGAUCAGACAUCAUGUUACUUUAAAGUGUUCUCAUCAAUUUAAGUUCCUCAAGUUUGAAAUUUGGAAUACUGUUAAAUUUUAAUCUUGGGGACCAUCUACUUGUUCCAUGGUCCCACAGUUUCAUGCAACCAGUAAAAAGUUCUUCUGCAUAGCCUACACUGGUGCAUAAAUUAAUAUAACUUUUUAUUUUGAAACAGACAUUGAUAUAAUAAAUAGCUUUACCAGCAAGCAGAAGAGAGAACAGUAAGGUAAAUAUAUUUUUUGGUAGUAAUAUAAUAAACUGUUCUUUAUCUUUAAUAACAUGAAUUAAUAUUUUAUCUUCACUAUGCAGUGGUUGUUUAGUAAUGUGUUGUAGUCAAAUUCAUAUAUGGGUAAGAUUAAAAGGGACAAUCAAAGGGUAUAAGCAUUUAUGGAGAUUGGGAACUGCUUGUUUUGUUUCUUCCAAUGUAUCCUUUGCUAUAACAUUUAUUUUAAGAAUUUCUGCAAAUUUAAUGGAUAGACAUAUUUUUUAAAGGAAGAAAAAAAAAACUAAAAUUAAUUCUUGUAAUUUUUUUUUUAUUCUCUCUAAAUAUGAUUAUAUUCUUUAAAUGCUUUUACGGAGAGUUGAACUAAAUUUAAAUAAAACUAUAUUUUUUAUUCAAUAGUUUGAAGUAGAACUGAUUUUCAAAAUCCAAAAUACUGUCACCUUUUCUUUUAUUUGCAUUAGUGAUUAAUAAUAAUAAACUUUUAAAAGAUUAAGUAUAAUUUUAGUCUUUAAACAUGAAAAAUUACAAUAUUUUAAAAAUUUUAUAUAUUUUGGUUUUUAUAACUUAUUAAACAAUGUUUUAAACUCAUUUUAAAUUAAAAUGAUACAAACAAUUUAAUUAACAUUGACAUUUCAACAAAUUUAACAAAAAAAUUUAAUAUAAUAGAAUUAAUGUAACAUUACAAAAAUAUAGUAAACAUAUAAAAGAGUUAUCAUAGAUCUAAUAUGAUAGAACAUUUUUUAACUAUAGUAUAAAGUAUAAAAUUACACUUAUUCAAAAACAAUAAUAAAUAUUGUUCCAAAGAGGCCUUGUCUUCUUCUAUUCACACCCACAGGAUGAUCAUUGCAAAGAAAAAAAAACCGCACAUACAAAACACAAUCACAAACAACAUGAUAAGUUAGUUUAAAAUAAAAGAACAAUUAUUAUAUUCAUCAACUAUAUUACAUACAGUCACACAUAGUCAGUCAUUCACCGACACAAAACACUUUAUCAUGAUAUUACAAUGAAUUGACCGUCCGGACUUAGAAUGAUUGUCGAGCUAUGGUGGGUUGUGCACUUAUAGUGGCUUUUACUACUUUGCAAAGCCAUUGCCAAUGAGUUUCACCCUACCACACUCACAAGGUUAGUCGGUUCCACGCCUUGGAGCAUACUAGAAGCUCCCAAGACUAACAUCUCCUGCUACUCCUCACGACAUGGAUCAAUCCUCUCUACUUGAAAAUGAAAGACCAUUGGAGUUUCAGGAUAAUCCCCAAGAUUGAGCUCCCGCAUUCAUUCUAAACAUACUUGAAUCUCACCAAGAGAUCCUACUAUAUAACUUACUUUCACCACCUUGAAACCAUACUUUGGAACUACAUACUUUCACUUUGAAUCUCAACUCAUAACUUUUAUACUUAGAUUAACACAUACAUAAUCAUACAUCAACCACAAUGAAUCAAAGUACAACUCAAAUCAAUUCAAGAACAAAGAAGUAAAGUGUAAACAAAAACCUGGACCAGUCGCUCAGCGACCACUCUUGUUAGGCGACUACAGAGUUCUCUCGCUCAACGAUCUAGUUCGUUGUGCGAAUAAAAUGACAUUAAUCCUAGACCCUAACCUCUAGCUCACCGUCUCAGCUCGCUAUGCGAAUAAAAUGAUAGUGGUCCAAACCCCCAAACCUCUCGCUCAGCGACCUUACUCAUUAAGCGAGUCUAGAAACAGUGGUCUAAACCCUACAACCACUCGUCCAACGACCCAACUCACUAGGAAAAUCUUGAGACAAUAGUCUAGACCUCUCAACCACUCGCCCAAUAACCCAACUCGCUAGGCGAAUCCUGAGACAGUGAUCCAUACCCUUGACCUCUCGUUGAGCGACUCCACUCGCUCAACGAGUUUGCAUAAUUCUACAGCAUGAAAACUGUAGAAUUUUCACCUUAGACCACUCUUAACCAGAUUUAUAUAUUUUUUCCAACUUCUAACCCUCCUAGAUCUUGUUAUACAUUUAAUUAUACUCAACCAAGGGUGUCUAAACCAUUCUAAACUCAUUUUAAACAAGUGACUACAAGAUUUCAACCAAAAACUUUUAAAACUUUAACUUAGAGACCCAAAUUAAAUUCUACCAUUUGUGACACAAUUUCAAGCAACUUAAAGACUCUGACAAGUCCCAUAUGAAUUACCAAGACUUUCCAAACUGACCAUUUGAGCACAGGACACCCAACUCAAGUUUUCACUAGUUCACUUCCUCAAAAACAAGCUUUAAUCCAAGGUAAACUAUAUACCUAUAUCUCACCAUACCUUCUUAUCACAUAUUUAAUCCAUUUCAACACUUUAACAACUCAUAAAACAACUUAUAAUAGACUUCACAUGCUUUAAACCAGUUCACAACACUUCUUUCACAAUUCCACUACCUAAGACCUCAACUUUAGACCAAAUAACCUACAACCAAGAUUAACCCUUUUCUUCCAACAAUUCAAUCAGCACAACUGACUUCACUGACAUCAAAUCCAACAUCACAAAUACACAUACAAACAGAUUCAACAUGUUAUACAACAUCCAUCUUCAUACAAAGCAUCAAUUUAUCCUUUUACACAUAAUUCAAGUCUCAAUUCAUACAAAGUCAGAAAAUUGAUAUUUUUAACCACAUUCCUAUAACCUAAUUAAUUCAUCAACUAAUCUAAUCAUCAAGACAGAGUCACUAGCUUUUCUUACCUCAAUAAGACUUCACAAUCCUAGAAAAUACUCUAACAAUUGCUUCCACCACAAGGAACCUUUAGAACGACCUACAAAUCAUCGAUUGACGAUUGGAGACAAACCUUAGAACCUAAAUUGAGUAAAUAAUUGAAGAAGGACACAAAUUGACACAUACAACAGAAACUUCUUUCAUGAUCAAGAAUCAAGAAAAUAUCACGAAAAAGGAAACUAAACUUACUUGCUCUAAUCACCAAGCUAAUCGGUCAGAUAGGUAGCUCUUGACAUAAGGAUCAUCUAAACACCUCCUGAUCAUCGAAUAGAUAACUUAGGAACAAGAAAUUGUAGAAAGAAGUGUGAAGAAAUGAAGAGAACGAGUUUUAGAGAUAUAUACGAUAUUUAAGAUAAUGAGACAAGCUUAGAAAAUCUUAUUUUAUAUUAUAAAGUUAUUUUAUAAUAAAACUUUCAGUCUCAUUAUUUUAAUACAUUUAUCAACUUUAAUACUCUAUUUUUUUAAGGUUCUUACAAUUAAAAAUGUUAUAUCAUUUCUUUUUUAAACUUAACAACUAAAAUAUAUUAAAAUUAGAGAAAGAAUGAAAUUUAAAUUUCGAUUGAAAAAAAAUUUAUUUUAUUUUAAAAUGUAACAGAAGAGGUUAACUUUUUGUUGUAUAUUGUCGGAUAUAUUUUUCUCCAAAGGAAAGAAUAUACUAACUAAAUGCUGACUAACAACUCAUGAUUAAGGGUACGUUCUUUAAAUUCUUUUAAGAGAAUCACAUUUUUCAAAUAAUAACCGGAAUAUUUAUAUAGUUUUCAUGUGUUUGUUUUAGCAUUUUAAAAUAAUUAAAUUUAUGUUAAACAAUUUCCCAUAAAAUCAUGUUUCUUAUAAAAAACAGUUGUCUUUUAUAAUAGUAAAAAAAUAAAGUAAAAUUUGCUCAUUUCUAGCUGGUUUCAGUCUUUUAAAAAGAAGGGUCAUACAGAAGGCUUAAUGAUCUCAAAUAUAAAUUCAAAAAUAGUUUAAAAUUAUCAUGAUAUGAAUUUUAAAUAAUAAUUAUAAAAGUUUGUUUUGCCCCUCUAUGCCUACUGGGAUGAGAUUGAAUAAGAGUUAAAUUUCCACAAACACAAAAAGCAUUACAUGAUUAAUCACUUAUAAAUGGUAGUUAUUUUUAAAAUAAAAAAGAGUAUUAUGUAUAAAAAAAUGAAAUUAUUAAUGAGACUCUAACAGAAAACAGACAAGAAUGACAGUUAAAGGACCCAUUCCAAAGCAUUUAUUUAUCUAUUUUUCUGAUCUCUAAGUUUUGACUAUGAUUUUUCAGUAUACUUUCAGAUAUGUUCCAUUCUUUUAAAUAUUUAUCUAUAAAAGAUAAGAGCCACAAAAAUAAACACUUGAAAAGAAAGAGAAAAAAGAAAAGAAAAAAUUGGAAUUGAAAUCAUAUGGGUUUAUUUUAAGAAUAUCCAUUGGAAUUAGAUAUGGUCACAUGUCACAUGUGGUUUUUUGUAGCAAACAUCAUUCUCAAAUAUCAAACAAUUAUUAACACCACAAUCACAAUCUAUGUCACUAUCUUUGUAAGUAUUUGAAAUAUGACAAGGACCCAUUAUUAGAGUCACCCAAAUCAUUUUCUAGAUUUGGAUGAGAUUGCAUCCAAUAAUAAUAAUAAUAAUAAUAAUAAAAGUGUAAACAAAUAUAUCAAAGAAUAUAUAUUAUCAAUAUUCUUUCAUUAUUGAAUACUUUAGUAACCAUUCUGUCCUUCUCUAUCAAACUCUUUUCUUUUCUUUUUUUUUUUCAGUAAGAAAAAUAUAGUUUCACAUUAAUAAGGACUUUAUAAUAUGGUGCAUACUAAUUUGUUUUCUUGCAUUAUAAUUGUUAGAAAACAGAUUUUCAAUGAAUUAAAUAUCAAGGGUGUCAUUUUUUAAAGUAAUUAUCGAAGUGAGAGAUCUUAAAAGGACGAAGAUCUAGUUUCAACUUCCUCAUCAUUUUACACUUUCUUUUUAAAAAGAAAAAAUUAACAAAAAUCAAUAUUGUUAGUGAUUAAAAAUGUAUAAUUAUUUUAUAUUCUUUAUUCACUUAUAAGGUAAAAGUAAUAAACUCGUCCAUAUAAUCUUAUGACGUCUGAAAAAUAGAUUCUGAUGCCUUUACAGUUAAAAAUACUUUUAGUUUUAGUAAGUUAUUUUAGCCCUCCAAAAUUAUUUAUCACAAUUCUGUAAAAUUUAAUAAUUUUAUCAUUUUAUAUGAUAGAUUAUAAUUAGAUGAGAGUGCAAUUUAUUAUGGAUGUGUUUAAAUUAAAUUGAAUGCAUUAUAUAAAUUAAAACUCAAAUGCUUUAAAUGGAAUUAACCAAUACUAAAGUUGAAUUCAGUGAAGAAAUUCUUUCAAGAUUUCCAAUCUCCCAUUACUUUUUCCCUAAAGUCUUUUCCUAUUUUUUUUAAAUUUAUUUUCUUUUAAUUCCUUUGUAAUAUAUUUCUUAUCUAUCUUGCCAAUUUAAUUUGUUAUUUGCUACAAACUUCAAAAGAAGUAGCACUUUUAUGUUCUGUAAGCCUUUUCCUUCAAGAUGCACAUACCAACAAUUUGGAUUUAAUUUGGUUUAGUACACAAAUACUAUCUGUACGACACUUUGGCACAUCUAGUAAGCAACUUUUUUUUUUCCUAAUAACACAUAAGUUUUCAUUAUUUUCAAACAAAAUAUAUAUAUAUAUAUAUAUAUAUAUAUAUAUAUAUAUAUAUAUAUAUAUAUAUAUAUAUAUAUUGUACCGGAUGAAUCGGACAGCGAGACGUUGUACUCAGGACGGACGGUCAAGCAGAUAAAAUAGUCUGAACUCAAGUCGUGCUUGUCUCUCGACAAAGCUCUCCAGUGGAGCGGGCGGUAUGGGCGCCCGGUGGAGGUCGCCGAUUAAGGUAUAGUAAGCAUUCAAGAUUAAGGUAAGACCAAAUCAACCAUGGUGGGUCUAUGAUUGGGCCGUAAUUAAGGUUCCACUAAUCAUCGGCCCAUGAAGAAAACUAUAAAUACGAGUCAAAGGUGAGAGGUAGGUAGACACAUUAAUGCACAUUUAUUUCAUUCUCUUUCUAUCUCUAUCCCUGAUAUUAAAAUACCGGACACUGACUUGAGCGUCGGAGUGCCAUUAGCAGGUACCCGACCGGAUCCAACGGAAGACGUAAUAUUCUAAAUCAAAGGACAAUUGAGUGGGAAAAGUACAAGACCGAACGACUGACGGUGAGAAAUAGUGUAGGAGGACCCGAAGACACUCACAGCAAGAACAUUUUGGUGCCCACCGUGGGGUCGGAGGAUUAUAACCAAUGGUGACCACGAGAAAUACGAGCACUGACGAGGCGAGUGGAGUGAUUCGAGCUCUAGAGAUGAGGAUGGAGGAAAUGCAGAGAAGGCACGAGGAAAUGCAGAAGAAACAUGAGGAGGAAAUGACGACGGUACGAGCCGAAUGCUUAGCUCAUCUAAGAGGGGGAGGGGAGAAGGAGACUGGUGAAGGUGAAAGAGAGGCUCAUAGUAGCGUCCGGGGCCAGGAGGACCGGCGUCGGGAGGAGGAGAAGAAGGGCACGGAGGAGGAAAAGGAGAAGGGAGAAGAAAGCUUGGUGCUGAUAAAGCCGGAGAUACCGUCGGUCCCGGUACCCUUCGUGCAGGCGGUAAUGGAUGUGCGUAUAUCAGACCAGUUCGUCCCCCACAGUUCAAGACGUACGACGGCACCACUGAUCCUGAGGCGCACAUCAAGUCGUUCACCAACGCCAUGGCGUUUCCUACGGGGUGCGAUGCUAUAUGGUGCCGGGCGUUCUCCCUGUCCCUUGAAGGAGAGGCCUUGGAGUGGUUCAAUUCCCUCCCCAACGGCUCGGUAGAGAAUUUUAAAAGCUUGAGUGGCAUGUUUAACGAGCAGUUUGCCGCGUGCCGAGUACAGGACGUCACUCUGGUAGACUUGAUGAAUCUGAAGCAAGGAAAGGAUGAACCACUCAAAAUCUUUAUGGACCGGUUCACGAAGACAAUCCGGCGGGUUAGAGGCCUAAGCUUGGAGAUGACCAUACAGUAUGUGAUGCCGGCUUUGAGGCCGGGACCGUUCAAGGAAAGCGUCUGUCGUACUCCGCCCAAAACCCUGGAGGAACUACGCCAACGCGCGGCAGAUGAGGCCCGGGUAGAAGAAAUGAAACAGAAUUACCGAAGAGAGGUACAUGAGGCGAAGGACAAGGGCGAGGGGAAGCGAGAGGGACAAUCCCACCGCCCGGGCACUUCGAAGGGGCGAGAGGGGCCCAGAGGUCCCCGCUUUCCACAGUAUACCCUCUUAAACGCCCCCCGAGCCCGAAUAUUGCAAGAGGCUCUGAGCACGCAAGUAAUGCGGGCCCCGCAGAAACGCCCUACCCCGCCCGGUGCCGACAACAGUAAGCAUUGCCUAUACCACCAGAACAUGGGCCACGACACUGAAGACUACAUGACCCUAAAGGACCGAAUAGAGGAACUAAUCCAAGCCGGGCACCUGAAGCAUUACAUCCGGACGUAUCAGCACGAAACAUCUCUUGCUAGACACCCUUGUCUGCAAGAGAGGAGUCCGAAAAACUUGCCGCAGGCCAGAAGGACCUUUAAGGGGCACGAUAAUCGUUACGACCACCGGAACGAUCGCCCACCAUACCAACAAGGACAGACCGGUAGAACCAGAAGUCCCGAAAGGAGAAAUAGAGAUCGAAGCAGAAGUCGAAGUAGAAGCCGGGAAGUGGGGAACGGUCGGCCGUUGAGAGGAGUGAUUAACACUAUCUCAGGAGGAUUCGCGGGAGGGGUAGCGUCGUCGUCGGCACGUAAAAGAAGCAUUCGCCACCUGCGAUCUAUUCACGCAGUGGAAGUUCCCAGGAGGACGAUGCCCCCUAUCACUUUCUCCAACGAAGACUUUCAUGCACCUGACCCUGAGCAAGACGACCUGAUGGUCAUUACGGUAGGGAUUGCCCGGUACGGGGUGAGCAAGGUGUUGGUGGACUGUUGACGGAUUGGCAAGUGUACCAAAUCGUACAAGUAAUAUAAAUGGUAAGACCAAGUAUCGUUUUUCCCAAGAGACUCGUAUGACUUUCUCUUUCGCGUGAAUUAAAAUAAUAAGACUUGAAAAAUAAAAUUUAAUAAAUUGGAUUUGAGGAUAAAAGUAUUAACAUGCAAAAUAAAUGUUGAUUCAAUUGACAAGUGAAAACAAUGGAUGGAUAGAUGUUGUUGGGUACUAACAAUUUCAUCUAUUCCACUCUCUCUUACAUACUACCCUUGAUUAUUAGAUUGAUUAAAUUGUUAUGCGACUUUCUUAGCCUCCUUUUUAACCCGAUCCCUCGGCGAAAAUGGCCUAAUAUCAAUUACCGGCUUGCUAUCCCUAGCCUCCCCUAGUAAUUAAUAUCGCAUUAUAAACAGAAGUUAACGCAAUUGAUCGUCCUACCCCUAUCCCUAGGUGGUAUUGCAGAAUCAAGAGAUUACUCACCAGUUCAUGUCAUUACCGCACGUCCCCAUGUCAAUAACGACAAACAACGAUAUACCGAAUGAGUUAAACGAUAAAAGCCUUAAGCACAGAUGAUAACCCAACAAUAAUCAAUCAAAACAUAUGGAGACCAUAUAAAUAAUCAAUAGUUUCAAUAAAAGAGAGUAUCAAAAGAUUACAUUGUAUUCCCCAACAACAAUAGGGUUUAGUUCACCAUGGACAUAGUGAAACUAGAUGAAAAAUGCAAGAAGAAUGAAAGAGCAAACCCUAGAAAAUAUGAAAAGGAGCCUAAGCAUCCAAGAGAUCCUCUCCAGAGAGCAAAAUUAGGUCUGGUCGUCUUCCCCUAUCAAAAGAAUGACUCUGAAUUCGUAGUAGGGGUAUUUAUAGGUAAGGAGUGCGUCAAAAUCAGGCCCAAGUCCAGCGUGCUCCCGUCGGGCGGUUUGAGUGUGCCGCUCGGCAGUUUGCCACAACCUGCCGCCACCACCCGACGGUUUCCCACGCCACCGCCCGGCGGUUCCCCUCACCACCGCCCGACGGUAAUCGCCAGCGCCCGGCGGUUUCUCUCAGCUUGAAAUGCUGCCUACUCCUCGUCCUAGACCGCCCGACGGUUUAAGUGUGGCGCCAGGAGGUACGUCGACUCUUCAAAACUUCAUUUUUCUGUUCUUUUCUUGAGUCAACGACCUGUAUCUUCAACUCCAUUUUCUACUUUUCUCAAAUUAGCUUCAAAACAAUGCAAAACAAGCAUAAAAUCGCUAAAAACAGCUUUUGACUCUCUCCAGACUCAUUUAUUGAGUUUUGCUUGAUUCUAAGCUCGUUCCGAGUAGUAAAGGGUGUAAUUUGGUUCAAAUUGACAUAUGAAAAUCACUGUUUUUCAACCUUCAUCAACACCCCAAACUUAGAAUUUUGCUUGUCCUCAAGCAAAACAAAACAAAACCAUCACACAAAACAAAACUUGGCUUUAUACUGUUUCAUCCAAUGCCUCAACAAUUCCAACGUACAUGACAAAAUCACUCAAAUCAAUAUUCUUAGUGAAAUCCAAAAUAAUAUGCAUGCAUGCUUUCAAUCCAGAGAUUGCACAAUAGAUGUUAUACACUAUGAAUGAUCAAUCCACUAAGCAAGAAUGUACUCAUGAAAUUUAACAAUUCAUACCAAGCAAGUGUUUCACUCAAUCACUCAAGUGUUUAAGGUGACACUCCAACUCUCUAUUGUUCACAAGUCACAUGAAACAAAAUUGUCAUUCAUAUCAAACAAUCAACAUCUUUACAUGCAAAUGCCAUCAAAAGGACUUUUCCAAGGCUUGUAAUGAGGUUGGGCUAACAAGAAAGAAUUGGUUUUUCUAGAAUGCAAAAUCCUUAAGUCAAGAGAGCUAUUAAAAUAUUCAACAAUUAAGCACAACUCUCUUCCUUACCAAUCUCUCUCAAUCCCAACUUUUCCCUUUUAUUUUUGUUUUCUUUUGCAUUGAGCUCUUCUUCAUGCUUUUCUUCUUUUCUUUUCUUUUUCUCAUGAAUUUUUCUUUUCACAACAUUUGAGCUNAAUGCUUUUCACUUGCUUUUUCAACUUUCCCCCAGCAACCCCAAACUUGAACCUUUUUAUCACAUACAAUUAAGCUCAUCCCAACUCAAGGUAAAGAAUUUCAAAACAAGGGUUCACACACUGUUUAAGGCUAAGGUUCAAAAAGGGUAAAAUAUUUUUAAGCAGAUUGAGUGAAAAUUUGGCUAGAGAAGGGUUUUCAAAAUGGCCUUGAUCAUAUGACAUUCACAUGCAAUUCAAUCGAUCAUCAAGAUUAGGGCAAUAUCAUCCAUGUUUUCCUGCGAACAAUACAUGCAACAAUAAAAACUCUGGAGCUCAAAAUCUCACACACAUGCUUCCUCACACACAAUUCAUUCAUACACCAUGCCUAGCAUNNNNNNNNNNNNNNNNNNNNNNNNNNNNNNNNNNNNNNNNNNNNNNNNNNNNNNNNNNNNNNNNNNNNNNNNNNNNNNNNNNNNNNNNNNNNNNNNNNNNNNNNNNNNNNNNNNNNNNNNNNNNNNNNNNNNNNNNNNNNNNNNNNNNNNNNNNNNNNNNNNNNNNNNNNNNNNNNNNNNNNNNNNNNNNNNNNNNNNNNNNNNNNNNNNNNNNNNNNNNNNNNNNNNNNNNNNNNNNNNNNNNNNNNNNNNNNNNNNNNNNNNNNNNNNNNNNNNNNNNNNNNNNNNNNNNNNNNNNNNNNNNNNNNNNNNNNNNNNNNNNNNNNNNNNNNNNNNNNNNNNNNNCAGUUAGUCAAACAUUUUCAGAACAAGUAAUAAAGCCAAGAAUACACACCAAGAUUAAAAUUCAACCUAUUCUAGGAAAUUAAAAUGCAAGAGUGUAAGAAGAAAUUCUAGGUUGCCUCCUAGUAGCGCUUGUUUAACGUCGCGAGCCUGACCCGAACCUGGAUGGCACUCGUCAGUAAGUGCACUAUCUUCCACCACCCAUCAGUAGGUGUACCGUCCUGAUAUCCAUCAGUGGAUACCAAAAAAAAAUUUAGCAUUCCUCAGUAGAUGCUACCCAAAAAUUAUUCAGAAAUUUCAAAAAGUACAGGUUCCAAAGAAAAUAGAACCAAAAACCAAAAAAGAAAAUUGUUCCUAAAAAUACAAAAUUUUUCCAACAAGUUCAGCCCUUCUUUGCAUUGGGAUCUUCAUCAUCCCACCAGCUCACUUUUCUUCGGUCCACCUUUUUGGUCACUUUUGAAUAUGGUCUUUGAAUCUCCACCAUUCCUUUUUCCUUCAGCUCCUUGACCAUCCAUUCCUUUCUCUUAAAUCUCACCUUGCUCCCUAGUAGGAGUGAAUCUUCUUUUGCUUUUGGAUGAAUGGUUCUUCUCCCUUCAUUUUCAGGCACCUGGAAAACACAACAGCUGUCAAAAUAAUCAUCACCUGUUAAGCUUUCUUCUUGUUCUUCAUUCACCUCUGGCUUCUCAAAUGUUGUUCUUUUCAUUGUCUUAAUCUCAUCCCCUUCACGACCAAUAUAGAGAAAUAAAUACUUCAAAUCUCUCAUCAUUAUUCUUCCAUUAUGAACAUCAAUAAACAUCUUUGAUGUUGCCAUGAAGGGUCGCCCAAAAAUCAUAGGAUGCUCAUCUUCUGUUUUAACAUCCAUGACAAUGAAAUCUGCUAAAAACUCAAGACAGUCUAUUCGUACAACAACAUCUUCCACCAUUCCUACUGGCCUUUUUUUAGAACCGUCUGUCGUUGUUAUCGUCAAAUCAGAGGGUUUCAACACAAGUCCACCGAUUUCCUUCAAAAGUUUCGUGGGUAUCAAGUUGAUGCUGGAUCCAAAAUCUAUCAUAGCUUCCCCAUCCCAAUCAUUCAAGGAACAUAACAGUGUUAAACACCCAGGAUCUUUAGCCUUAGGAGGAUAAUUACUCUUUUGUGGGUGAAAAACAAGAUCAUCUUCUUCAUCAGUAAGCUCCAUCUCAUCCUCCUUGUGAUUUUUGAUUCUUUCUGAAUGGGGAGGACUCUGCUCAUUUUCUAAAGGUGACACCGUCACUUCACCAACUUCUUUUUCCUCAAUAUUUUCCUCUCCUUCAUCUUCACUACUCAUGGGUUCAAAGAAUUCACCCAUUAACGUCUCUUCUUCUUCACUGUUAACCACAUGGAAUGGUUCAAUAUCUUCCUCCCAACCAUCUCGACUGUCUUUGUCCCAACCACUCUGACUUGUCAUAAUCUUGCACUCCCUCUUAGGGUUAGCCUCAAUGCUGGCCCUAAACUGAUUUUUUUAUGUAAUAUCUAUCCUUGUUGCCAGCAACCCAAAUUGUGACUCCAGUGAUUUAAAGUUGGCCUGAUUGUUAUUUACUUGCUGCUCAUAUCUUUUGUAGAAGUCAUCAAAUCGAUUACUCAGGGCUUUGACAGACUCAGUCAAAUUACUUACUUGCUGCCACAGAGGUAAUGGUUGUUGUUGUUGGACGUUUCCUCCUUGACCCGAAGAAGCAUUCUGGCUUUGCCCAAUACUUGGAUGAUUUUUCCAACCUUGGUUAGAGUUACCGUGGUUGAAAUUUCCCUAUUUGUACUGAAAUUGGGCCCCCAUAUAAUUUACGUCCUGCUGCAUCUCUUCUGUAAAAGCACAUUGACCAUUAAUAUGGUCACCACCAUACAAAUCACAUAAUUGUUGUGCCUGGGAAAUAUUUCUGAGUCCCCGAGGAAGUUCAGAAACGACCUUUAGCAACUUGCCCAAUUUCUGACUGAGGAGGUGAUUUUGUGCUGUUGCUGCGUCUUCAGUGGGAAAAUGUAAAAGUCCUCCUUUUUGCGUGCCUCUUUCAUUCUGCAACACUUCAUUGAGAAUCAUCUCUUCAAUUAAGUUGUACGCCUCAUCCUCUGUCUUUCUAUUAAUGCUACCUCCAGCCGAGGCAUCUAUCAUCAUUUUGGUCUGAGCGCGCAAACCUCUAAGGAACGCUAGCAAAUAUGAAACUUUAUCAAACCCAUGAACUGGGUUGCUCUCAACAAUCCUUUGAAUCUAUCCCAUGCUUGCCCUAGUGUUUCUUCCAUUCCUUGUUUAAAAGAAGAGAUUUCUAACUUCCCCUGAUUGAUCUUUGGUGGUGGGAAGAAUUUAGUAAUAAACUGUUGGACCACUGCUUCCCACGUCCUGAACGUUCCCUCCGGGAAAGAAUUCAACCAGUCUUUUGCAUUUCGUCCCAGUGAGAAAGGAAACAAACUGAGUCUGAUUCUAUCAUCCGUCAACAACAACAAUAGGGUUUAGUUUACCAUGGACAUAGUGAAACUAGAUGAAAAAUGGAAGAAGAAUGAAAGAGUAAACCCUAGAAAAGAUGAAAAGGAGCCUAAGCAUCCAAGAGAUCCUCUCCAGAUAGCAAAAUUAGGUCUGGUCGUCUUCCCCUUUCAAAAGAAUGACUCUGAAUUCAUAGUAGGGGUAUUUAUAGGUGAGGAAUGCGUCAAAAUCAGGCCUAAGUCCAGCGUGCUACCGCUGGGCGGUUUGAGUGUGCCGCUCGGCGGUUUGCCACAACCUGCCGCCACCGCCCGGCGGCAAUCGCCACCGCCCGACGGUUUCCCUCGCCACCGCCCGACGGCAAUCGCCAGCGCCUGGCGGUUUCUCUCAGCUUGAAAUGCUGCCUACUCCUCGUCCUGGACCGCCCGCGGUUUAAAUGUGCCGCCGAGGGGUACGUCGACUCUUCAAAACUUCAUUUUUCUGUUCUUUUCUUGAGUCAACGACCUGUAUCUUCAACUCCAUUUUCUACUUCUCUCAAAUUAGCUUCAAAACAAUGCAAAACAAGCAUAAAAUCGCUAAAAAUAGCUUUUGACUCUCUCCAGACUCAUUUAUUGAAUUUUGCUUGAUUCUAAGCUCGUUCCGAGUAGUAUAGGGUGUAUUUUGGUCCAAAUUGACAUAUGAAAAUCACUGUUUUUCAACCUUCAUCAUGGACCAGGGAAGCUCCGUUAAUAUACUCUAUUGGAAAACAUUCAGGCAAAUGGAUAUUUUGGACGACCUCAUAGUCCCCUACGAUGAACAGUUAGUGGGCUUUGCCGGGGAAUGGGUCGAUACCAAGGGGUAUCUAGACUUGUGGAUGCGUGUGGGGACAGGGCGAGAAGGUGAGGAGAAAAGAAUAAGAUACUAGGUGGUUGACACCAACACAUCCUACAAUGUAUUGUUGGGACGCCCAUGCCUAAAUUCCUUUGGCGUUAUUGUUUCUACCCCCCAUUUGGCAAUGAAGUACCUUACCAGCAGGGGCACAAUUUGCACCAUCCGAGCCGACCAAAAAGUAGCACGGGAAUGUUACGCCGCAGGGCUUAAGAUGUAUCCUCGGGAGAUAAGAAGGACAGGUGUCACGGACGUCGCGAUGGCCGAUCUAGAUCCCCGGACCAACACGGAAGAUCGCCUUGAACCACUGGGGAGACCCAACGUGUAAUCGUGGGGAAAGAUCCCACUCAGGUCACCACCAUUGCCCGGGGACUAGAGGAGGAAGUGGAAAAGAAACUGAGAGCAACUUUGUGGCGCAAUAGAGAUUUGUUUGCCUGGACGGCCGCCGACAUGCCAGGGUUACACCCCUCCAUCAUGUCACAUCGCUUGUCGUUGUUUAGAGAAGCCCAACCCAUAACACAAAAGAAGAGGAAGAUGGGCGAGGAGAAGAGAAAGGCGGUGCGAGAAGAGGUGAGGAAGUUAUAGGUGGCCAGCUUCGUCCGGGAAAUAACGUAUACCACCUGGUUAGCUAAUGUGGUCAUGGUCAAGAAAGCUAGCGGCCAGUGGCGAAUGUGCACGGAUUAUACUGACUUGAAUAAGGCGUGUCCGAAGGACUCAUACCCCCUGCCUAGCAUUGACGUCCUGGUGGACGGGGUGUCCGGUCACUGAAUUCUGAGCUUCCUGGAUGCCUAUUCUUGUUAUAAUCAGAUACCUAUGCAUGGACCGGAUAGGGAGAAAACGGCCUUUAUGGCCGAUCAAGGCAACUUCUGUUACGAAGUCAUGCCCUUCGGUUUGAAGAAUGUCGGCGCAACUUACCAACGACUGAUGAACCGUAUAUUUGCCGAGCAGAUAGGUCGCUGCAUGGAUGUCUAUUUUGACGACAUGGUCGUACGAUCAGCAGAAGGGAAUCAACACCUGCAUGACUUGCAGGAAGUCUUCAGGCAGAUACGGAGGUACGGGAUGAGGCUCAACCCGGCUAAGUGCACAUUUGGUGUGGCGGUCGACAAAUUUCUGGGUUUUAUGCUAACAUCCCGCGGGAUCGAGGCUAACCCAGACAAGUAUGGAGCAAUGUUAGACAUGCAGAGCCCUGACACUGUGAAGGGUAUUCAAAGACUUAUCGGCCGUCUUACGGCCCUAUCCCGUUUCAUACCAAAGCUAGCCGAACAAGCCAGUCCGAUACUGAAAAAGAUGAAGAAAACGUCGACCAACACAUGGGAUGAAGACUACGAAGCGGCAUUUCGCGAAAUCAAGGGCAUUCUCACCCAGCCCCCGAUCACGAACCGACCCACUCCGGGGGAGGAGCUGCAGGUUUACCUAGGCAUCUCCGACGCCUCCGUGAGUGUCGUUCUCUUGCAAGAGAGGCCUCUCCAAAGCUGGUUUACUUUGUCAACCGGACGCUUACCGAGGUCGAAACGUGGUACCAACAGGUAGAAAAAGUAGCUUUGGCCCUUUUGCAUGCCUCCAGAAGGCUCCGGCCGUACUUCCAAAGCCACCAGGUGGUGGUACGCACGAACCAUCCUAUCUCGAAAAUAUUGAGAAAACCCGACCUGGCUGGAAGAAUGGUAGGAUGAGCGGUAGAGUUGUCUGAAUUCGGAAUAAGAUAUGAACCGCGAGGAUUGGUGAAGGGUCAACAUUUGGCUGAUUUUGCAGCUAAAAUACCUCUGACUGGCCAAGAAUAGUGGAACUUGUAUGUAGAUGGUGCGUCCGGCCGAACGGUCAGUGGGGCUGGAGUAGUCCUUGAAGGACCAAAUGGAUUUUUGAUGGAGCAUUCCUUGAUCUUCAAGUUCAAAGCGUCAAACAACCAAGCAGAGUACGAGGCGUUAUUGGCCGGUUUGCAACUGGCCAAAGAUAUGGGACCCGCAGAGUGACAUGCCGGCCCGACUCACAAUUGGUAGUGGGACAGAUGAACGGUGAUCGGCCAAAGAAAAUUUCUAUUAGUGGCCGUCGACUACUUUACCAAAUGGGUGGAAGCGGAACCCUUAGCCACCAUUACAACCUCUCAGGUUCAGAAGUUUUGCUGGAAGCUGAUUUGCAGACCCCCUUUAACUUAACCUACGGAACAGAUGCCAUGUUGCCAGUAGAGUUAGGGGAACCCUCUUUGCGAAGGAAUAUGGAGGACCUCCAGCUGAAUGACCAGGAGUUAAGAGUGGAGCUAGACACAGUCGACGAACGGCGUGAUCGAGCGGUCCCGAGGGCCGGGUGUCACAUACCGCAGAGUGACAUGCCGGACCGACUCACAAUUGGUAGUGGGACAGAUGAACGGUGAUCGGCCAAAGAAAAUUUUUAUUAGUGGUCGUCGACUACUUUACCAAAUGGGUGGAAGCGGAACCCUUAGCCACCAUUACAGCCUCUCAGGUUCAGAAGUUUUGCUGGAAGUUGAUUUGCAGACCCCCUUUAACUUAACCUACGGAACAGAUGCCAUGUUGCCGGUAGAGUUAAGGGAACCCUCUUUGCGAAGGAAUAUGGAGGACCUCCAGCUGAAUGACCAGGAGUUAAGAGUGGAGCUAGUCACAGUCGACGAACGGCGUGAUCGAGCGGUCCUGAGGGCCGGGUGUCACAUACCCACCAGCUUCCGUCUGGUUCGUCCUCGAACCACACCGUACUGGGAGAGGCUAGGCUCUGAUACCAUUUGCAACGCCCCGACAUCUUACAGGGACUGUUGACUGCCCCACACAUCACCACGAGACUUUCCAGUGUGCUUUGUCCUUACUCACACACUUUCCGAGAAAACUUCCCGGAAGGUCACCCAUCCCAUAAUUACUNUAGNNUAAGCANGCUUAACCAUGNAGUUNUUAUGAGUUAGGCUACCGAAAAGCAAAUGCAUUUGUUGAUAUGAGUAGUCAAAUCAAUUCCUUUAAGCUAUCAUUCAACUGUAUAGUCCCAUACCUAUACAAUCUCCAGAUCCCUCUCAUUCCGAUGUAUGUUCGAUUCGUCCAUGUGCCCCUUCCACUCGAAGCCUGCCAGGAGCCGCUCCUUGUCCGUGCCCCCUACACCAUGCUUCUUGCACCGACGAUCAUUCCCCGCCCUCGUUAGUGCCCGGGUGUCACAGACGGCCGCCACAUCACCAAUACUUGGAAUGCGUCUCAUCUUAAGCUUUAUUUCAGUUAAUAAUGUCUUUCAUGUAGCUUCUCCAGUACUUUAAUGAACAACAAGACGCUUCCACAUUAUCCAGUUAGUUCGCAUUCGUUCGUCAGUAAAGGCCAAGUUAACGAAGGGAAUUAUCCUAUCAACUUGGCUGGGCGGUAAAGGGUACAGCCCGCCGUCCCCCAGCAAAGGCCAAGUUGACGAAUGGAAUUAUCUUGUCAACUUGGCUGGGCGGUAAAGGGCACAGCCCGCUGUCCCCCAGCAAAGGCCAAGUUGAUGAAUGGAAUUAUCCUGUCAACUUGGCCGGGCGAUAAAGGGCACAGCCCGUCGUCCCCCAGCAAAGGCCAAGUUGACGAAUGGAAUUAUCCUGUCAACAGGCCGGGCGGUAAAGGGCAUAGCCCGCCGUCCCCCAGCAAAGGCCAGGUUGACGAAUGAAAUUAUCCUGUCAACCUGGCCGGGCGGUAAAGGGCAUAGCCCGUCGUCCCCCAGCAAAGGCCAAGAUGACGAAUGGAAUUAUCCUGUCAACUUGGCCGGGCGGUAAAGGGCACAGCCUGCCGUCCCCUGUGAUGAUGACUGGUCUAGUCCACGUCAGAACAUAAAUGACAGUUCACUCUCUAACUGCACAUUUGGACAUCUCACCGUUAUCAAUUUAGACGGAGUUAGUGAAAAGGACUUAAUUGAACACCAAAUACGUUCUUUGGGACUAAAUUGAACACAAAAAAAACAUGGGGACCAUUUCGAAUUUUUCCAACCAAAAUUGGGACAAAAAAGAGCUUUUAACCUAAAAUAAAAAUACACCUAAUAGCGAGAAGUAAAAGAAAUUCCAUUCAUAAAAAAGGAGGGGAUACAAAAAAUCAUAUAACUGGACGGAAAAGUAAACAACACAACACGCUGUUUACCGUCCGGCCGGUAGGAGAAUGAAUUCCCAAUCCAAAAAAAACAACAACUUAUACUUAAGCCUAUAAUCUAAACCCUUGCAUCUUUUAGAUUAGUACCGCUAGCUGAACCGACAACGACCUCGGCCGCACCCUCAAGCUCAGCGGCUGUCUCACCCGGCUGUUCGAUAUCCAUCAGAACGCCCCCAUAAACGUCCUUGUACAGGUCAAAGCCAAGCUCAAGAGGCUUUUUCACAUUGAGCAGCACUUCAGCCUGGCGGAGGGCUUUGUAGAAACCAUCCUCAUGUUCGGCCACCAAGAUGUCAUUUAGAGAGGAUAUUUUCUCUUAAGCGAUUUUCAACUCUGCCCGAACGGUUUUCAAUUCGUUGUGCAGCUCCACAGUUCUCCCCUAAAGCCUUCGCUCAAUCUCCCUCUGCUCAGUGGCCGCCAGCUUCAGUUGUUUACAUUCCUCCUCUAGGUUGGCUUUGACGGUCUUUUCUUCUUCUAAGUGUUUGGCCGCCUCUUCGAGCUUCGUUGCACCCUCGGCCACCCGUUGCUUUUCUUCCUCCAAGGCUUUCUUCGCACCCGCCAGCUCUACCUCUAAAGCCUUGAUUUUUUCCUCCCCCUUCAACAAGAGGCUCUUCACUUCUCUGGACCCUCGGAUGUCGCCGAACUCGCAAAUAUAUUCUACCAUAGAGGCCGUUCGGGAGGCCAUCUCGAAUACGGAAUCCAACAUGGCACGGCCCGGCAGCGAUUCCAACAUAGUAAGAUAGGCCCGUCCCCUAUGGAAAUCAAUGAACCGACUCACAUUGUACUCAGAGCUAAAGACACCACCUGGGAGAGGAACGGCCGACUCUUUGCCCUCACGGCGACAUUUCUUGGAGGAAGACUUGCUUCCUUUCCGAGAUUUCCUCUUCUUGUGAGCGGACGCCGUGACUGGCGCCGACUCAGAAGCCACUUCGAUCACAGGGUUGUUGCUAGCUGCGGUCGACUGAUCGACCAGAGGGACAACAGAGUGAAUUUGGACGGGAGCGGAGCUACCUUCCCCAAUUAGGAUACGGGUAGCCUUGGGCAAAUUGGCACUACUGUUCGCGCCCGUCUGGAGUCUGAAGGAGGCAACCGUCACCCGGGCAGAUGGAGGAGGACGCAUAGGAGGAGGGAUGGCUUGCUCUUGGCCGGAACUAGCGGCCCGAGCCGAGGCCUUCUUGGCGGCCAGGAAGUUGAAUUGGCGGGGUCCAGGAGUAGCCAUACAAUCUGAAAGAAAAUAGAAAAUUCAGCUACGUUACGACCCCACUAAAAACGGAAAAUGGAAUGAAUCACAUACCGAGCGCUCUCUGAGCGCAAUCCUCGAAAGGAAUGCAAUCGACCAGUCAACGCGCUGGGACGCGGCGUGAGAGGGUGUCAAUAAUGUCUACCACACAGAAGUCCUCCAUUUCCAACUCCCGCUUAGCAAGAGCCUUCAUCUUGCGAGGAUUCUCCGUCCAAUACAGGGGAAACAAAGGAGAACCCUCCAGGUCAAAGAAAUCCUUACGGUCGGCUUCGGUGAUAAUGACCUUAAAAAACUGGUCUUUGAAGUUCUUGAAUGAUUCGGCAUAAGGCUUGAAUAAAGUACGACCCCCCACCGAAGACAAGGAAACCCAACCCCCCUUUGGGGGUGGACGAACAUCGAAAUAAUGUAAGUAAGAACGGACAAUUGGAGAGACACCGGCCACCAUGCACUCUACGUCGAAGGCUUGAAUGACCGCCUAGGCAUUCGGGUGCAACUGUGUAGGCGCUACGUUCAACUCCUGUAGCAGAUCGGCUUGAAAGUUGGUAAAAGGGACACGGAUAUGCAACUGAGUAAACAAGUUUGCAUACAUGAAGAAAUGAUCUUCAGAACCGACACCCUUCCCGUGGCAGACCCGUUCGUUCUCCCGGCUAAUCGCCGCUCUUAUCAGCUGAGCGUCUGCCGUAUCCCUAACCAAAUAUGAUCGGUCUAUAAAAUCUUGGAGACUGGUGUAAGAAAUGCUAGACACUUGGGUAUUUACAUCGAAGCCGGCCCAGUCAUAACCGUCGAUCUGAGGUAGGCUCCCGACUGGAACGAGGGCGACCGGAUCCACAGUGACACCCCCUUGCAAUAAAAAGAGGGGGGCCCCAUAGAAGAUCCAUCCACUCGCAGUCGCCGGGGCGGACCCCUGAGCUACAGUCCCAACCUCCUCCAACACCGGCGGAUUAGACGGACCCUCGGCUUCCCCUGAAAGUCCCUCGAACGACAAAUCAUUGUCAGAUCCCGACGACCCAACUAACGACGAUGCACCGCUACUAUCACCGUCACCCAUGCCCCUACCGUCUCCGCCGCGGCCUGACGACUCUAGAGAUGACUCAACACACACAAUCACCAUUUUAUUACUUGUGCAAGUGAAAGAAUAAGGGAUGAAGGUAAGGAAAAAAGUAGCCAUAGUACAUUCUCCACCCCUAUUUAUAGACAUUUUUUCUGAAAAACCGCAACAAAUCCCCACCGUCCACAGCCACCACGAUGAACGACCCAGAUCGAGAGACGUUACGGUUACCAUACCUACUUUCACGCCACGUGUCUUUUCCCGCCUAAAACCUCCUCAGUCUGACGCGACGGUUCAAGGAGAUGUCUCCCGAACGGGAUGCCCGCCUUCCCAGCACCGCCACUUCGACGACCAUCAACAUUGAAACCCUACGGCGAACCAUUGCCUUGGGCUUGGGGGGCUUGUGUACCCUAGGUAACCGUUCGGACAUCAACCGAACACAUAGAGAUCCGACAUGACGAACAAACGUGAUCCACAAAGGGUUGCCAUCUUGGCGAUAACGACAGAUCCGCGCACCCUUGGAAGGCGGGCGGUAACCGAUCAAACCGAAGGGUUUUCACAUAUCGAAACACCCUCAGUCCGUCACACAAGCUAAGACGCUGGGCAGAAAUCGAUAGCGACUGGUCGUGUCUGCAUGACUUACCCGCCACAUCGCGUGGGCCAAGGCAUUGGGCGGCAGUCACCCGUCCCUCAGCCUUUAAGGAACAAUGUCGCGUGGUUAUUGAGAUUCUGAAAGCGAAUGUUGUUAAGCCACGACAGAUUCCAUGACCACGCUGAUCAGAAUCUUCUUCCAAUAAUAGCAAGUGCGAGGCCGAUUCCCCGAGUUCAAGAAGCAACUUUAUAUGGGAGGAAUCUAGUGGAAAACUAUGAUGGUGCCCAAUAAUCACAAUCGGGCGCAACCUCCGUUUGUAAGAAAAACUUUGAAGAAUUCACAUGGAUACUGAUUACCGGGAAAGAAUCACGUGACCUCUGCGUCAAACCUUUUCUUGUCUUAUACGUUAGGUAAACCUUUAUGUCUCUACAUAAAAGCCCUACAACAACAAAGUCGCUGAAGGUCAAGCAGAUAAAAGAGUCUGAGCUCCCGGAUGAACCAGACAGUGAGACGUUGCACCCGGGACGAGCGGUCAAGCAGAUAAAAGAGUCUGAGCUCAAGUCGUGCUGGUCUCUCGACAAAGCUCCCCAAUGGAGCAGGCGGUACGAGCGCCCGGUGGAGGUCGCCGAUUAAGGUAUAACAAGCAUUCAAGAUUAAGGUAAGACCAAAUCAACCAUGGUGGGCCUAUGAUUGGGCCGUAAUUAAGGUUCCACUAAUCAUCGGCCCAUGAAGAAAACUAUAAAUACAAGUCAAAGGUGAGAGGUAGUUAGACACAUUAAUGCACAUUUAUUUCAUUCUCUUUCUAUCUCUAUCUCUGAUAUUAAAAUACCGGACACUGACUUGAGCAUCAGAGUGCCAUUAGCAGGUACCCAGCCGGAUCCAACGGAAGACAUAGUAUUCUAAAUCAAAGGACAAUUGAGUGGGAAAAGUGUAAGACCGAACGGCUGACGGUGAGAAAUAGUGUAGGAAGACCUGAAGACAAUCACAGCAGGAACAUAUAUAUAUAUAUAUAUAUAUAUAUAUAUAUAUAUAUAUAUAUAUAUAUAUAUAUAUAUAUAUAUUCUUAUAUCAGAAUAAUUAAAUCGGAAAAAAAAAAUUCUAUUAAUUUUUUCAAAAUCAAAAUUUUAAUAUUCAUAUUUCAAAUAACUUCUUCCACAUUAUAUAAAUAUUUUAUUACAAAAAGAAAAAAAAAACAUGAGAUACCAUACUAAAUCUAUGCUAAAACUAAUCAUACAUAAAGAAAAAAAAAAACCCUAAUAUAAAAAUAAGUCUAUGAUUUCUCAAUCCUUUUUUUUUUUAAUUUUUAGAUAUUUAUGCUUUAAAUCGUUAUUAGGUUUUCUUUUAAUUUAAACUUUCUUUGAUGAAAAUCUUCCUCCUCUUCAAGCAUAUUAAUCUAUUUGAGUUACUUUUAGUUUAUGAAAAAGUUUGAUUCAUUUUUCUUAAAUUUUCUUUUUUUCAUUCUUAUGAAGAAAUCUAUUCAACUAACUCAGCUGAAAUCUUGAAACCUAUUUAAAAGGGUGUUUUUGUCAUUGCUCAUCUCCUCAAUGGGCUAAGAAGGCUUCAUGGGGGUUGAAGUUUCAGGGCUUCAACGCAAAUGCUUUCACAUAUUGAACAGUUGUUUUUUCACCUCUAUGAUUUAUUUGUUAUUAUGUUUUCAUGGAAGUGUUUGGAAAAGUCUAAAAUCCUCGUAUAUUAGACUUUAGAUGAAUUCUAUAAUUCAGAAUGUAUUUUCAAAUUACACAAAUUAAAAAAACAUCAUAAACUAUAAAUUCUGGAAUGCAUUUCUAAAUUCCACUGUAAAUAAUACAAUAAACAAUACGUUUCCAAAUUGUAUAAAAUAAAUAUAGAAUAUAUCCAAAAAUGUAUUUUAAACUAUACAUUCUAUAAGACAUUUUUAGAUUCUAUAAUCCAUAAUACAGUUUUGAAUUCUAAAUUAUUUAAUUUAUAAUAAAUUUUCAGAUUAAACAAUCCAAAAUAUUUCCUUCACCCUUCAUGACUGAUCGGUUUUAAACAAAACAUAGGUAUCAUUCCUUAUGUGCUGACACAAUUCUUUAAUUCGUAUCUUAAUAAUAAAUUGUCAAAGAAAAUCUGAUGUUUCACUGAUAAUCAUAAAUGUAUUGGGGAAGGAUGAAGCAUUUUACUUUUUAGCAGAAUCUCUACUGUUAUAUUCCAGUCAUUGUUUCUGUGGUGAUCAUAUAUAUUCAAGAACUAACCAAAUUAAACUGCCCCGGGAGUUAUAGGGUGUGAUAGAAAGAGCUGCCAGAAAAUUACCUUUUUAUAAAAUUUUAGACAAAAUCUGGGAGGUGACCAUGACACCAGUGGACCACACUGUUCCCUCUGCUGCUGACAGUUAGCUUAAACACAGUCCAUCCACAGAUUUGUUUACACUAGCAGUGAAUUUCCAAAGCUUCAUUAUUCACCCUAACGGUCAAAAAUAUCAUAUACACCAAUUAACAGCACAGACAGAAUAUUGGUAUUUUUAUUUUUAUUUGGCUGUGUAUGAUUUGAGCCUACUAUAUUAGUGAGGUAUGCAAAGAACAUACUAAAGCAGUGAUAGUAAAGUAAUGUAGACAAUAUGAUCCAUACAAUUAUGUGAAAACUGAGCAAGAGAGAAAAUAGCAAUUUUUAAUUGAUCACCACGGGGAUUCUGAAAUGGAGUUCACAUGUAUUUGCAAUAUACAAGUUACCACCAUUGUAAAUACUAUAUAAGAAUAACAAAAAAUGCAUUGGUCCCUUCUGUAAUCAAUAUAGAAACUGAAGGUCUGUGAACCGUGUACACUGCAAUGAUAUUUGUCCCAACUUUAGGAAGAAAGAUAUCAGAUAUAGGUUUUAACAAUUUGUUAAAGAUCAAUAUAAUUGAGUAUUUUCCUCUAAUGAAUGAGUUGAUCAGGUGAGCAAAACAAAAUCUUUUUUCAUACCCCAGGCAACUACAACGGUAAGCUUCAGUGAUAUUGAUAGUAAACUAGACAACUUGACCAUGAUAAGGAUUCUUUUUAUUGUAAACUAUUUGGAAGAUUUAUCAGCAGAACCCUUUUCAAUCACUUUGGUAGAGCUUGAAGAUUCUUCAGCUUCAACAAGCUUCCGAAGUUUUUCAUGCAGAGUUCUUACUCUGUCCUCGGUUUUGCGAAGCUUUCUCCAUCUAUAGGCAGUCCAGAGACCAAGGCCACCAUAUACGACAAUAUAGGAAGCCCAAACAUAAGGGUAUGUUUCUGCAUGCUCUUUGACUUUUAGAUAUUGAUUUUGCAAUGACUCUUUCAAGCCCAUUGCAGUACUGGCUGCUUGAUCUUCCUCAAUUUUCUGGAUGGGAGGAGCGGAGCUUGUUGAUUGUUGGUUUUGUUUUGGUUGAUUUUCCAUGUCUUCUACUUGUAUAGUUCCAGAAAUGGAUUAUUUAGAGAAACUGCAAAAACAUUGACAUUUUUUAAGUAUCACCUAUUUUGGUAAUGAAAACUCAUUUAGCAAAACUAAGCAACGGUUCCUAAUGCAUGCAUAAUUCUUCAAACCCAUUGCUUCCCCAAAACUGAAUUGCUUGUUUCAAAUAUUUAUUAGCGAAAAAUUCCUAAUCCAACAAAUCCAAAUACAUAAGCAAUAAAAUGGUCGUAUUUCUAAAGUUUUAAUGCCCAGCUUUCUCCCACUGAGAUGUCUUCGACUGUUCCUUCUAUUUUAGAACACAAAAAGCCAAAAGUCUCAAAUGGUGACAUUUUCCUCUAUGAAGAGCCAAGGAAGCAUGGGGAAAAAGGGAGAAUAAGCAAGCUAAUUUGAACACUUAACAUUACGAAACAUGUCAAGACAUAACAAAAUACAUCUCAGCCUAACAUACGAUAUACCAAAAAACCAAAAGGAUGAGGAAGGAUGUACUCGCAUAAACGAUGGUAAUGUGGAAUAUUGCAAAUAUUUAUUUGAAAAGAUAUGAAACACCAGGCCAAAAUACAUCCCAAGCAGACAUAACACAUUUGGUUUCCCAAGAUUUUUUAGCAAAAAUGUUUUCAGAUAAAAGGCCACCAAUGACAACGAAGCUAGUAAACCUCAUCAAUUGUUCAAAUGUUUGGAAAACGUCACCAGGAACACAAAGCUCCUGAGUCAACCAAAAAAGGCAGUUUUAUAUAAGCAGAAUGAAAAAUCUCAUGCACAAUACACAUAAGGAAUAGGAGAAGGGUGAAGGAGAUAUUAAAAAGAGAUUUAAUUGUUCUGUCCGUAGUUCCAGAUAGUAUAGGACUGUAAUAAACAUUCAUACAAUAUCACCAAGCAUUGUAUUUCCCGUACUUGCUAAAAAUUAACAUAAAAUGGUAUCAUAAAGUAUGAUUUUUCUGGUUGCUAAUCUUAGCAUUCCCAUAAUUUACAUGUUAACUAUGUGAUCUAGAAAUAUACUUCCACUAUCCCGGCUGAAAAGACAGUGCAGAAGGUAAAAAAAACUAAAAAAUAUAAACAAAACCACAGAAAUUGGCAAAAGCAUUCAACCCUGAUGUCAGUGUUGAAGGACAAGCUCUACAUCAAGUGCAGGGCUUCAUUUAACUAGCUUUCACUAAAAUAGAAAUUGAUCCAUAGUCCAGACAUGACUCAUUCAGAAUAGUUUAAAGAUAAUCUUGCCGGCACACAACAUACCAACAUACUGCCUAAAUUAUAAAUUGUUAUAAGUGUAAAAAUAAAAUUGAUAACUCUCAUAAUGAGAAGCUUCUUUGAUCACGAAAGGCCCUAAAUAGAUGUAUUAUAAGUUAUAAAUUCUAAACAUGUGAACUCGGGAAACAUUUAAAAGAAUGCAACCUUAUGUGCACCAUACCAAUCAUCUUCCAAUGUAUACUUUACACUGACAUUUAUCCCUUCAAAGUUACUUACUACAAUGCACAGAUACAAUACAUAUAUCGGAUAUGACAUAUCUGAAAAACCAAUAGGUUUAUUUUGAAAAUAAUAAGAUACUAUAUGUGAUAUACACAUAUUGAAAAGGGUUAGAAAAAACAAUCAUAAAUAUAUGAUUGUUAUUAUGUGAAUCCAAAUUAAAAUCAUAUGUAUUAAACACUGUUAAAAUAAAAACUUAUAAAUUAUUGUCAACAUAAAAGUAUUAUUGGUAAAGUAUCCACCAAGUAUCGGACACAAAAACAUGUCAGUGAUCCGUGACCCAAAUUGAAAUAUUGGUGCAUCAUAGGUUACUAAACUAACAUAUACUGUCUUUAUGCCACAAAAUUAUGCAUAAUAGCAUAUAUCUAUUGUGCACAAUGGUAUCAUACAUUAUGGAACUCAACAAAAAAACAACUUAAAAUCAGCAUAUAAAGAUGAUACUAGUCAUGUAACAGGGGUAUUUCGAGGUUCCAAAUCACUAUUUUUAAGAAAAAAGUCAUCAUUCCAAACUCUUUUUUUUCUCUCACAAAUAUUUCAAACCAAAAUUGUUUUCCUACCAGAAUUUUUAUCAAUAAUUACAAAAGGAAGAGCUUCCACAUUAUACCUAUCCUAUAGCAUAACUUGCAGAAAUGCUGCGCAUCCGUAUUGACCAUCAAGUAAAAUUUCAUUGCGGUUUAACAGUACUUAAAAAGAAAACUCAAAUCCAUCAAACAACCUAGGUUAUGAUUAAUAACAACUCAAUUUCACUUUAACAACUCACGAGUCUAUUUGGAUCAAAAUCUCAAACAAAAAAUAAAUUACGAGAAAAAUGAAAAAUAUUAAAAAUACAUUAAAAUUAGCUCUUAAGCAAGCUAAUUUAUAGAAGCUUUUACAUAUCAGUUUAAUCUUGUUUUGAAGUCAGCAAGUUUCAGUAAAGGGUUAGAAAAAGACAUAUUUGAGGCGAAAAUUUUCUUUGUUGAAGUCAGCAAGUUUCAGUUAAGGGUUAGAAAAUGACAUGUUCGAGGCGAAAAUUUUCACAGUAACAUUGAAAAUGUUUGCUCCGAACCACAGAGAGAUACAGAAUCACCAUGAGAGACGACAAAGAGAGGUACCUGACGGUGAGGCCACGGUGGCGAGCGGCGGAGCUAGCUUGGUUGUGGCUAUUGCAGUGCGGCGAGGAAGCUAGGGGUUUUGGUUUUGGGCACUGGUUAACGCCUAGGUUCAAUUUCCAUAAUUAAUUGGAAAAUUGUUAUAUUAAAAUUGUUUUUAUUGGUUACAAAAGAACGUUUUACAAUACAAAGACUUUUUUGUGUAUACACUGUAUUAUUAUUUUUAUUGAAGAAAUUGUUUUUUAUUUGAAUGAAUUAUUUGUUAACUUUUUUAGCACUAUAAUAUCACUUUUAUAUCACUAAAGUAUAUAAGUUUUAAAUAAAAGAAAAGACUGCUAAUAUUUGAUUGAAAUUUAUCUUACUAUUGUAAUAACAUUGUACUGUAAUUGAUUUUUAAUUCAAAUUAAGUAUGUUUUCCCUAGGAAACACAUUUGAAUAAUUUGAAAAUUCAAAAUUAUAAAUGUAAAAUUAAAAAAUAUUUUAUCAAGAUUUUAUUGAAAAAAGUUGUUAUAUAGUAUAUUAUAAAAAAUAUAUUAUAGUACAAUAUACAUAUAUAUUAUAUAUUAUACUAUACUAAAGGUGUAUUUGCGAUUUUCUUUAAAAAAUAUAGUAUACUAUUAAAACAUGUAGGCUUCUUUAUACACCAAGAGGGGGUGAAUUGGUGUUAAUUCAAAAUUAAAAUCUUUUUCGCAAUCUUGGUAUGGAAAAUUCAAAGCUUUUUAUCUUUCCUUUAAAUGCAAGUUAUUGAAAAUGUAAUGCAGUGGAAAAAAGCAGUUGACUGCCUAGCAGAUAUAGUCGACUGGAAAAUAAAGAGUGUAGGGAUCAGAAAUUCAAACACUGUGUUUAUACUGGUUCGGCCAACAAUGCCUACAUCCAGUGUCCUUCCAACCCAGGAAGCAAAUGCACUAUAAUGNUUGCGGUUUUUACAACAAGGAAUUUAUAGAAGCACCACGCAAAAAUAUAAAUCUCCUCUCUAACCCAAAACCAAAUAUAGUUGCACACAAAACUAGAAUUGCAGCAAGAAUCCCCUCUCAUGAAAUCUGCACCCACAUCGAACAAUCCUCAACGUGUCACCAGCACUCUUCACAAGAUGCCAAGCCUAUCACAGCAAACUUCACAGGUUGCCAAGCCUAUCACAACAGACUUCACAGGUUGUCAAGCCCUCAGUCAAAAACCAGCAGUCUUUCGCAGGAUGCCAAGCCAAUCAAGAUCAACCUAGAAGCACCUCUCUAUGCGGAUAUUGAUCAAACAGUGAGAACAAUGUCUUCUCCUUCUGAAUUUAUCUCAAGCAAGAUCACCACCGUCUUCUUGGAGAAUUCUUGCAACUUCUAAUGAAUUCAGUCUGAAACAAGAAAGUGAAAAUGUUAAAUCACAAAAGUCACAGAACAAUUUGCGUUCUGUCUAUUUAUAGUUUUCUGUUUCAUCAUAUUGGUUCAUAGUGGAAUAGCCUACUAAUGGAGUUGACUGUAUUAAAACAGUUAUAAUAGAUAGCCAACAUAAAGGCUCCUCAGUCAACAGAAUCAAGACUCAUUUAUUACAGUUGACCAAGUCAUACAGUUUUAACUAACUUUUGAAAAUAUAGUUGUUGGAGCUUGUAGGCUUAACAAAAUUUCAAACAGAACAGCAACACAGUCAAAUAUGCUUAUCACAAUGUCGACUGACACAUGAAAAAUCACUUUGAAAUUCUUUUCAUCUCAAAAUCUCACACAGCGCAUGUUCACAAAAUCUGUACAAAGAUUUUAGCAUAGUCGAAUCCAUCAACAAUGUAUUCGAUUAUCAAAAGGUUUCUGUGAUCUUUUCUUUUAGAAAUGUGUAAUGACUAAAAACAUUUUAUCUCAUAUUUCAAUACAAGAAUGUUCCACAAAUAUAACACUCAAUCAAGCAUAGGAACAUACAAUGUUAUUCAAUCAAAACAUGUUCAACAGAUUUGACAAACAUUAUAGAAUAAGAACAUGUAAUACUGGAACAUAUGCACUGUUAUUAAGCACUGAGUUGUCAUCAUCAAAAACAAGUUUGAUAUAGAGUUUGUGUUGUCAACAAUCUCAACAUAAUUGAGUCUUAGGACUUGACGUCCAUGUCUAUGGUUUUGAUUUUUGGAAAUUUGAAAAAGCAUGACCUCGAGUUGAAUAAACUAAGUGCUAAGGAAGACCAAGGAAAGAAGAAAAUAUUGGCCUUCAAAACUAAAAAUUCAAAAGGCAAGACUUCAAAGAAGGAUCAGGAGUCUAGAGAUGAAGAGUCAGAUGAAGAAAAUAGGAGUCAAAUGAUUAGAAAAUUCAACAAGUUCAUGAAAUCUAAAGGUAAGGAAAAAUUUAAAAAAGAUUAGAAGAAGAAACAAGGAACUUCCUCAAAUUACAGGUGUUAUGGUUGUAGAGAAAAAGGACACGUUAAUGUGGAUUGUCCAAACAUAAAAAAGGAUGAAGAAAAGAAGUUUUUUCAAGAAGAAAAGAGCUCACAUUGCUUGGGAGGAUAAUGCAUCAAACACCACUAGUUCAAGUGAUUCCAAUGAAGAAGCUAACUUGUGCUUCAUAGCUAACUUGUGAAACUGAUUUGCAAAAAUCUUUUCUUGAAUUAUUUGAUGAAUCUUAGAAAUUGGAUGUUGCUCAUAAAAAUUUGAAAAAUGAGUUUAAGGAUUUGCAAAUUAAAUAUGAGAAGGCAUUAGAUGAAGAAGUUAUAUUAAGAAAUAUAAUAUGUAAUUUAGAAAUGAAAGAGUUUUCUAUUAUUGAAACUUCUGUUGAAUGCCUAUCAUGUAAGAGUCACAUGUUUGAUAUUGGUAUUCUUGAGAAUUUGCUUAAAGAGACUACUAAAAAUAAAAAACUUGAAAAACCAAAUAUUGAUAAAAAGUACUUUCAUAAAAAUAAGCAAGCUCUUAAGAAUAAGAAUAAAAGAACCCAUAGGGUAUGGUUGAAAAAGGAAUUGCUUUUCAUAGAAAUUCAAAUGUUGUCACAUGUUUUUACUGUAUGAAAAAGGGGCACAUUUCAAAUAAAUGUAGAAUAAAACAUUAUGGUGUUCCAAAUGAGAGAUAUGUUUGGAUUCCUGUUAUAAAGUAAUCUGGCUCUAGCCUCAAAGGACCCAAAUGAGAUUUUGGGGACCAAAACCCCUGUAUUACGUUUUUGCAGGUUAAGUUUUCAAAAUGAGAUAUUACGAUAAAUUUUAAGAGCUUUAAAAUGAUUUUUGAAUCUUAGACAUGUCUUAAGUGUCCAAAAAUAGUUAAAAUAACAAUUUUCGAAAAUUAACGUGCAAUAAUCGAUUAUCAAGGUCAUUUUCACUUCAACGUACAAAUUUGGCUCGACAAUAACCAAUUAUCAAGAGUGAUAAUCGAUUAUCUUAAGUUAUAACGUAAAAAAAAAGAAAAAAAAAACUUCUUUUAAUCUGUUUUAGAUUUUAAAGGGAAUAUUACAUUUAGAGGGAGUAAUUUUAAUAAUUUAAAAGAGAACUAAAUUAUUUUUGAAUUAACUAAUUUAGGAAGAGCAUAAAGAUUAGAUGAUUCUUUGAUUAUGAUAAAAAAGGGGGAGAAAUUUUUUGAUUGACAUCUUCUUGUGAUAAUUGGUAACUAUUUGAGGGGGAGAUAUACGAGUAUGUUGAUCUCUUGUUAUUUAUCUCUAUUUUGGAUCAAUUACACUUUUCCCCUUAGUUUUCAAUUAGGAACAUGACCUUUAAGAAUAUGGCAUAUCACAAGCCUUCAAAAAAAUUUGAUCAUCAUCAAAAAGGGGAAGAUUGUUACAAAUGUGAAGCAUUGAUGCUUUGAAGAGAUUUUGAUGAUGAUGCACUUGAAGCCUUGAAGAAUUAUUUACAUACAUUGUUAAAGCAUUUUUCUAGAAAACCUUGUAUUAGGCUUUUGCUUUCAUUUGUACAUCGUAAGAAGACAUGUAAAUUGAUUUUUAGUAUAACUAUUGUUAAAAUAGAAUGACUCAAUUUCUCACACCAAGAGGAGGGGGGGGGGAGGUGAAUUGGUGAACUACAAAAACAAAAGCUUUUAAAAUAUUUUUCGCAAAAAUGACACCUUUAUACUUUUCUUGAAAUGCAAGGUAAAAGAUUUUCAAUGUAGUGGAAACUUAAUUGAAUAAGUAUAGAAAGAAGUCGAUUAAAUGUAAAAGAGAAGGGAUCAAAAAAUUCAAACACUGUGUUUUUAUACUGGUUUGGCCAACCUGCCUACAUUCAGUGUCCUUCCAACCAUAGGAAGAAAAUGCACUGUAAUGAUCAAGGUUUUUAUAGUAAGGUUUCUACAGAAGACCUCACGUCAAAAAUGUAAAAUACCUCUCUAACCCUCUAAUCAAAAUAUAGGCAACACAACUAGACCAACAACAAGAAUCUCCUCUCCUGUCAUUUAAACCCUUUGAGACACUCUCAAAGUCAAGAACACAUAUGUUCUUCUUCCUGUAGUCACAAUAGGGAACCUCAAACCAACCUUCAAAAGAUUGCAGAAUUUGAUCGCGCAAUAAAAACCAAAUGUGCAUAUUGACCAGCCUUUGAAAACGCAACAGUCUUGCUCUUCAAGUAGUUGAUCACCACGACCAAUCUUGUUUCUUGGAGCUUUUCCCUCUUUUUGUAAGAUCACAACUUUCUGUAAAAGAUAUCAAAAUGUUAGAAUUACAAAAGCUCUUACAGAAAUCAAAUUCGCAUCAAUUUAUAGAAUAACACAUUAUAGACGUAUUUUAAUCGACUAAGCUACUAAUGUAAUCGAAUAUAACAAUUCUGUUAUAAUAGUUAGCAGCAAACACAACAAUUAAUUGAAUGCACAAUUAAUGCAUUCGACUAUCAUUUAAUGCUUGGUCAACAUAUUUAAAAAUAUGACCGUUAGAUAAUUAUGUCAAGCAUUAACAAAAUUUCAAAACAAUAACAGACUUAAUCUAAUACAGCACGCAUGCAAUCGAUUAUGUAACAUUGUUAAGCAUAGUUUUGAAAAACUUUAUCUUUGAAAAAUCUCACAGCACCAUUCAAAAUAGUUUGUGCAAAGACAUGAGUUUUAAUCGAUUCAACCCAUAAUGAAAUCGACUUAAAACUAUUGUUUUGUCACACAAUUAAAGUUCAACUAAAGUGCUUAUGGUUUUCCUUUUCCAAAAUCAUAUGUCAUGCAUUCACAUAUAAAAUCACAUAUGUAACACAAUGAUAUGCAAUGAAAAACACAAUCAUGUUCUCAUAUAUUCUUAAUCAGAUUCAAAACAUUGAUCAAAAGCAUAUAAUAUGUAAACAUAGAACAUGUAACACAUAAUACACACGUGUUAUUAAUUAUGCGUUGUCAUCAUAAAAAACACAAAUAUUACUGAGAUUGUGGGUUCAGCUAAACCUGUGCUCCCCUAUGAACAAUCUCAACAAUCUCCCCUUUUUUUUAUGAUGCAUAACCAUGAUUAAUAAUCAACCAUGUUGCACAAAUAAAUACAAAUUAUCAAUCAAUUACAGAAUCAUCAUAAUUCUUUGCCCUUGAGGAUUAACAAAAAAGGUAAGCACAAUGUAAUUGAUAUUCUGAUAAUCAAUCACAUAGAGAUGCAUCAGAUAACAAUCAAAACAAAUUAUGAUGCUCCCCUUGACAAAGAUAUUCACAUGUUUUAAGAUUUUCUCCCCCUUAAAUGAAGACAAGUGAAACAUCUCAAUAAUAUGCAAUACUCCCCCUGCCAUUAUGCAUGUUUUAAUCUCAAAACAUAAAUGCACAAUUGAUAAAGAUUGAAAUACCGUUAUUUUUAUACUUAAUUUUGAUACUAAAAACACCUUUUAUGACUUAGAAACUAGCUCGAAAUCAUACUUUUUUGCUGAAGUUAGAGAAUAAGAGAGUUAAAGGUGGUAUUAUUGGUUUUAUGCUUGGUUUUCCUUGCUUUGGCAGGACAUAGGAGGAAUUGAAUGAAGGAAAUUGAAGUAGUAAGGAGUUGGACUCAGGAAAGGAAGGAAAAUUUCACAAAGGAAGAAUCGUAGCCACCACUCAGCGCCACUUUGUCGCUGGGCGCCAAGAUCACUGUAGAGUCCACUGUCUGGUGCCUGAGUGAUAACGGUUGAAAAAUUGAUAUCAAAUACACCCUUUAUGACUUAGAAUUAGCUUGAAAUUAUGCAAUUUUCUUAAGUUAGAGUAUAAGAGAGUCAAAUUAGGUUUUAUUAGUUUUAUGUUUGGUUUUCCUUUGAUGUGGCAUAAUUUAUCAGGAAUUGAAUGAAGGAAGUCAAGUAAGGAAGGAAUUGGAUGCAAGAGAAGGUGGAAAACUGAAGAAAAGAAGAGUCACAGCCACCACCGGGUGGUGAAACCACCACUAGGCGGUGUACUCUCUAGGCAAUUCUCUGUUAGACGCUUAAGCGGCACCGCUAAGGGGUGAAAUUGAGUAUCGCACUCACCGCCGGGCGAUGAAACCCACCACCGGGCAGUGAAACCCACCACCGGGCGGUGAAACCCACCACCGGGCAGUGAAACCCACCAUCGGACGGUGGACUCUUCAGUAAAUUAUUUGGACGAUGCUUAAGCGGCAACGCAGGGGGUGAGAUCAAGUGUCGUGCCUACCGCCAGGCGGUGUACUAUUGGGCCUGAGCUAAAUUUCUGAUAUUUUUCUGAGUUAUAAAUAGAUUUGCACGAAUCAAAGAAGCUAUCUUUUAACAGAAGGAGGCGCAAAAACACUAUUUUCACCCCUUGGAGGAGGAUUUUGGAUGCAGGAGCUCCAAUCUAUCAAAUCUAGGGUUUAUCUUUUCAUUCUUUCCAUUAUUUUCAUCUAGUUUCACCAUGAUUAUGGUGAACUAAACCUCCAUUGUUGUUAGGGACUUGAUGUAAUCCUUUGAAACUCAUAUAUUGAAUUGAGGCUUUAUUCAUAUGCUUUUAUUCAUUAAUUGUUAGGGUUUUUCCUCCAUUAUAUUUGCAUGCUUUGUUUAAGACAUUAUUCAAUAGCAUAAUCUUUGAUUCUAUCUAUAUGGACAUGUGUAGGUAGGUCUAGACAUGAGGGAAUUCUCUCAAUAGCAAUAUUACCUAGACAUAGGGAUGUGAGGACCAAUUGCCUUUAAGCUUCUGUGCGAAUGUAAUGCAUGAUCAAUUGCUAGGGAGACUAGACAUAGUAAACUAGUAAUUAGGAGUAGUCUCUCUUCACCAAGAUAUUGGGAAUAGGGUAAAUUAGAAAGUGUCUUUGACAUUGAUGAAAAAGUCAAAUUCUUAGAUAUAUGAGAGUGGAUAGGAUGAAAUCAUAAACCCCAACAACACAAUUCAUUAAUACAUCAUUCACUUGCGUUAUAUUUUGGUCAAUUGAUCAAAACCUUUGCAUGCAUAUUUAAUUUUGGUUUUUGCAUUAUAAAACCCUAAUUUUCGUUAUUCAAGUCUUAAAUAAUCAAGAAAUCGCAUGAAAGUUUAGGCCUAAGAGUCUCUAGGGAAAUGAUUCUCGAACUUACAUUUUAUUAUUACUUGAUACGAUUCAGUACACUUGUCGGACUCUUAGCACUAAGCACCAUAGUUGAGGGGCAAAUACAAGUGUUGUACUCACCGUUGAGCGCCACUUUACUGUUGAGCGCCAGUUCUGCUGAAGAGUUCACUAUUUCUCGUCUGGGCGUCAACGCUAAGCAUUAUUCUAAGUACCAUGCCUACCCCUGAGCGACAAUUCUAACGUUGAGCGUUGUCAGCGUGGGCCUAGCCCAGUUUCCUGUUACUUUUAUGAGCUAUAUAAGGAUUUAGUCGAGCUAGAGGGUCUAUCUUUGGACAGAAAGAGGCGUAGAAACACUCUCUUCACCCCUCGGAGGCAGAUUUUGGAUGCGGAAGCUCCAAUUUACAACUUUUAGGGUUCUAUCUUUCAUUCUUUUCAUUAUUUUCAUCUAGUUUCACCAUGUCUAUGGUGAACUAAACCUCCAUUGUUGUUAGGGAAACGAUGUAAUCCUUUGAAACUCUCAUGUAUUGAAUUUAUUCUUGAUAUAUAUGCUUUACUUCAUUAAUUUUUAGGGUUUUUCCUCUAUACUCUAUGCAUGCUUUGUUUAACUCAUUCAAUUGCAUGAUCAUUGAUUUUGUCGAUAUGGACACAUACGAGGAAAUCUAGACUAGGGGAAAUUCUCUCGGGAGCAAUAUUACCUAGACAUAGGGAUAGGAGGACCGAUUGCCUUUAAGCUUUUGUGAGAAUGUUGUUGGAAACAGGAUGACUCAGUUUCAACACCAAGAAGGGGAGUGAACUGGUGAGGUUUAAAAAUCAGAGUCUUUUAAAAAUCUUUUUCGCAAAGUAUAAACCUUUACAAAGUUUCUUGAAUCGCAAUGAAUAAAAAAUUCAGUGCAACGGAAAUGUAAAGUUGACUACGUAAACAGUAAAGUCGACUUGAUGUAAAAGUGUAGGGAAAGAGAAGGCAAACACAGAGUUUUUAUACUGGUUCGGCCUCAAUGCCUACAUCCAGUGUCCUUCCAACACCAGGAAGCCAAUGCACUAUAUUAGUCAAGGUUUUUACAACAAUAUUUCUACAGAGACCUCCACAUAAAAAAUAUAGACAAUCUCUUUAACCCACUAACUAAAAGUAUAAGCAGUCAACACAAAGAUAUGCAGCAAGAUAUCCCCUUUUUGCAAUCUUCAACCCACUUUAAACAAUCCUUAAAGUGUCAGAACUCCACGAGUCCACCUCCUGUAAUCCCAACAGGAAAACAACAAUCUUUCCAAAUAUUCAUAGAAAACUUGAUCAGUAUGAUGACACCAAAUGUACAGAUCUUGAUCAAACAGUACGCGCAAUACACUUCCUCCUUAAGAAACUCCUGCAAGAAAGAUCUAUGUCGUCUUCUUGUUGAGUUCUUAGAGCCUUUUCUCAGAGAUCACAAUCUGUAAAUCAAAUGAAAGUGUUAGAAUAUCCAAAGUCAUUAUGUGAUAGACCGAAUCACGUCUAUUUAUAAUUUUCUAUAAAUCAGACACUCCUAUAGUCGACUGUGCUACUAAUGAAGUCGACUGUCAUCAAACAAUUAUAACAGUUAAGUCAAUUAGCAGCAGUCAUAACAACCAAAUUGAUUUUGCAUUAAAUACAGUUGACUCUCAAUUAAUGCUUUAGCAUAGAGUUGAAAUAUAGCCGUUACAGCACACAAGCAUUAACAAAAUUUCAAAUCAAAUAACUAACUAUGUGGAAUUCAUUGCGCAUGUAGUCGACUUAGACACUUUAGAUCAAUUUGAAAAUCUUUUCAAUGCAAAAUCACACACAACACUACUUUUGAAAAUCUGAGCAAAGUCAGGAGUUUUAAUCGACUUACUUCAUAAUGAAGUCGACUUAAAACUUGCACUUUUGCCACACAGUAUAAGUUCAUCAAAGUGCAUGUGGUUUUCCUUUCUUAAACAAAUGUAAUGCAAUCAUAAAAGAUGUAUCCAGUAUCAAAUCAGUGAAUAUGCAUACAUGUAUCAGAAUCAACACAAACAUGUUCAUUAAGAUAUCAAUCACAGUAAAGAAUAGAACAUGUAACACAUAACAAUACAAGUGUUAUUAAUAAUGUCUUGUCAUCAUAAAAAACUAGAGUACUGUGAGAUUAAGGUUCAGCUAAACCAGUGUUUCCCUUAUCAACAAUCUCAACAAAUCUAAUGCAUGAUUAGUUGCUAGGGAUACAAGACAUUGUGAACUAGUAAUUAAGAGUAGGCUUUCUUCACUUAGACAUCGGGUUUAAAGUAAAUUAGAAAGUGGCAUUAACAAUAAUGACGGAGUUGAAUUCUUAAAUACAUGAGAGUGGAUAGGAUAAGUCGAAAACCCCAACAACAUAAUUAAUCCAUACAUCAUUCACCUGCGUAUUCUUUGGUCAAUUGAUCAACACUUGCAUGCAUAUUUACUUUCUGCAUUAUAAACAUUAAUUUUCGUUUUUCAAGUCUUAAAUAAUCAACAAAUGACAUGACUUUCUAGGCCAAUGAGUCUCUUGGGAAAACGAUACUUGGUCUUACCAUUUAUAUUACUUGAUACGAUUCAGUACACUUGUCGGAGUCUUAACAACAAUGUAGUACUUACAGUAUAUAGUAGAGCAUAUAUCAUCAUUGUAUCAGAUUAGAUAUAUCAAAAUAAUAUUAGAGCAAUAUUGAUACACUUUUACUCAUAAAAAACAGUUUAAUCUUUUUAUCAUCUCAAAGCAUGUAUAUCAGUUGAGCAAAGAGAUAUAAGAAGAAUAAACAGUUAAUAGCAUAUAAAACAAGAUUUAAUGAUAUCAUAUAUUCCAAGUUUGGAAUCUUUAAACCCUUGUUAUUACUCAAUCGAUUUGAUCUCAGUCUUAAUCGACUUUAUUGUUGUCCUGUAAAUUGAUUUUCCAGUUUCAUCCAACCAACAAGUAAUGUUCCUGCAAAACCUUUCAAGAUCAUUCCAGAUCAAGAAUUUUAGAAACAAUAUAGUACAAGAAUUAUCAUAGAUAUUAUAUGAGUAUGCAAAUGUAUGAAUGUGACAGUAAACAAUAAUUUGUUCGCAUAUAAGCACACUAAAAUCGAUUUCAUGCUGAUUAAAUUAACUUCACAACAUAGAUCGAUUUAAACAAACUCUGAUUUCAUUGAUGUAAAUCGUGAAUUACAAUCAGAUCAACCAAAAUAAUAAAUGACAUAUAAUGCCAACUAUUACAAACCAAACAGAAGACAUAACACUACAAUUAAAACAAAACAACUAAAUCAGAACAACUAAAAAACUCUAAACUGUAACCACAAGACCUUUAUUCUAUUUUAGGUGACUCUACAAUCUUCUCAUCUACAUUAUUCUUCUCCCUUUCAGAAUCAUCUAUAAAGGUGUCACUAGAUGCAUUUAUCCUUAAUGCAUAGUCCAUCUUCCAGUGCAACUCAGUAAAGGAUCUUUGAUGCAUUACCAUUUUCUCAUCAAGUCUCUUAAAUCUUUCACCUUCAAACUCCUCAAAUCUUGUUUGAGGCUAGAACUUAUAUCUUGAUGUGUCAUCAUUGAUAGGAUUCACCUCAUUAGUACCAAGAAAGUAUUCGUCCUUGAAAAUUCAGCCUUCUUUACUUUUUCUGAGUCCCAUGUGGUCCAUAAAUAAUUUUUCAAUCACAUUCUUUUUGUUACAGCUAAUGGUGAUCUCGCUGGUGGUGUCCAUAUUUUGUAGUCUCAGAAUCAUGCUAAUGAAGACAACGUAUGGUAAGUGGUAUUCUUUCUGCUUUGCAACCUUCAUCAUUGUUUAAACCCUGACAAGUGUACCAGAUCGUAUCAAGUAAUAAAUAAACGGCAAGUCCGAGUAUCGUUUUCCCAAGGGACCCACGAAAGUAAAAUGUUAUGCUUUUGCUUAACAAAUUAAAACUAUAAGAACAAUAUUUUGGGGUUUUUGAAUAUAAAGUGCGGAAAUAUAAACAUGAAUGCAGAUCAAUUGAGGUUAAACACAAAAGUGGAUGGAUGAUGUUGAUAAUAUGAGAUGAAUAUGUUAUUAGGGUUCAGAUUUCACCUAAUCCUUCUCAUAUAUCCACUAUUCUUAUUUGUUAUCAAUGUUCAUACAACUUUCUAAUUUACUCUAAACCCAAUUCCUCAGCGAAUAGAGCCUAUCACCAAUUCAUAGUUUACUAUUCCUAGUCUCCCUAGUAAUUACUAACGCAUUAAUGACAAAAGCUUAAAGCAAUUGACCGUCCUAUUCCUAUUCCUAGGUAAUAUUUCACAAUCAAGAGAAUUCUCCUCAGGUCUAGAUUUUCCCGUACGUUCCCAUAUCGACAAAAUCACUCAUGACAUUGAAUGAGUUAAACAAUGCAAGCUUUAAUCUCAGAGAAGAAAACCCAAAACUAUUGAUAACACAAGUAUAUGAAUAAAAUAAGAACUUCGAUAUAAGAGAGUUUAGAUGUUACAUCUUUCUCUAGCAACAAAUAAGAUUAGUUCUCCAUCGUCAUGGAGGAACUAGGUGUACAAUGGAAUGAAAGAGAUAGAAACUCUAGAAAGAGAAAAGGAGAGUUGUCAAUUCCCCAAAUCUACCCCCAAAGGGGUGAAAAAUGUGUUUUUGUGCCUAAGUCAUCAAAAGAUACAAACCCUAGAGUGUCUAGGCCUUUAAAUAGGUCAUAAAAAUAACAGAAAACGGGUCCAAGCCCAAACAUAUCAUAAAAAUCGCAGAUAAUAUAUCAAAUCACGUUCUGGUUGACUCUUUUUGGAUUCUAGUUGACUUUUUUGCACUCUGGUUGACUGGUUGACUAGUUGACUUUUCUGCAUUCUGUUUGACUUUUCUGCACUGCAACCCUUUGAUACUUCAACCCUUCUUUCAAAUUAUUCCAAUAACCUAGAAAAUCAAGGGAAUUUAUUGAUAAAAUCAUAAAACAUGUCCUUAACUCUUUCAUUCACAAAACUAAAGCAAAAUCAUGAGUCAAAGCAAGUUUCUAAGUCAACAAGGGUGCAUUUGAUAUCAAAAUUAAGUAUAAAAAUAACGAUUUUUCAACCGUUAUCAAUCAUAUAAUCACCGAUGACAGAUGCCCAAUCUGUUUGUGUUUUUGUUUGCAAUGCAUAUAACAGAUACACAUCUUCUCCAUUCAACAAUGAUUGAUCAUUACCUCUUGGAAGUAAAAUCCAAGUGAUCACGUAUGCGCAUAUUCUUUCCUCUUUACUUAGAUAAUCAACACAGAAGGAAUCAUAUUUCCCUAUCAUAUCUGGAUCUCUGAAAAAUUUGUUGUAUAUCUCAACUUUGUUGAACCCUGAUAUGCCAUGAUGGGCUUUCAGUCCUUUAAGCUGAAAUCCAACAAUAUAUUUCCAUAUGGAAUCAUCAACUUGGACAGUCACACCUUUUACUCUAGAAACAAGAUAGUUCAUGUCCCCUUUAAGUUUGCAUAGAAUACUUUCACAAGAUUUGGAUAGCAGUCACCUUGAAAUUCAAUAAAUUUUGUAUUUUCCUUUUGAAACUCCAACCUUUCUAUAGUAACAAUUUCUAACAUUGUGACCAAUGAUGUUGCAAUAAAAACAAACAUUAGUAACAGGUUUACUCAGAUCAAUAAAUUUCUUUAAAUCUAUUCUACUUCUCUUAGCCUUAUAAUCAAUGCCUUAUCUGUUAAUUGGUCUUCCAGAAGCUCUUAGCACAACAUUUAAGUUUUCUUUACCUUGUGUAAAUUUUGCUAGUGUGCAAGUUAAGUAAUCAAUUUUUUCAAUAUGUACCGAACAAUUAUCACAUUCUUUUUCCACAAUCUUUGUCUCAAUUUUAACUAUCUUAGCAGACUCCAAGGCAAUUUCUAACUCCUUUUUCAAUUUUUCAUUUUCCUCUACCAGAUAAUUGAUUUUAUACUCAUAAUCAUUUCUGUCACAGGUUAAUCGGUUUACCUUGUACUGGAGUCCCAUAGGUUUUGCAUGUAUCUCCUGAAACGUGUCUAACAAUAGAUCAUACUUCACUUCUAUUGGCUCGUUCUCAAAUUAUUCAUUACUAUCUUAACCAGUGUGUGUAGAGUCUGCUAAAAAGAAUAGAUUUGACUCCUCUUGGAUGCUACAGUUGUACACACUUGAAGAAUCGGAAUAGCUAUUUUUCCAGGCAAUGUAUGCAUUCUUUUGCUUUCUGCUCUUGUCUUGUGGAAACUUUUUGCUUGUUUUUUGUUUCAUCUUCAAAUCUGGACAUUCAGGCUUGAUAUGUCCUUCCUUUCCACACUCGCGGCAUUGAACAAUAUUACUUCUUGAAUUCUUUCUGCCUCUUGCAGCACCUACAUUGUCAAUGGUAAAACUUCUACUUUUCAUAAAUCGAUUGAAUUUUCUUACCACCAUGUUCAUGAUUCUUUGUCUUGUAGUUCUGCUUCUAAGUUAGUUUUUGGCUCAAGUUUCUUUGAGGCUUUCUUGCUUGUGGCCUUGAGGGCAAUUGAAUUCUUUUCCUCAAUUUCUUCUUCCUCUUUUAGCCUACCAAGUUCCAAUUCGUGUUCCCUGAGUUUUCCAAACAAAGUUGCCAUAUUCAUGUUAGUUAAGUCUCUUGAUUCUGUUAUGGCUGUAACUUUCAGUUGCCAGCUUCUAUUGAGGCUUUUCAGGAUCUUGAUGUUCAUUUCCUCUUUGUCAAACACCUUUCCGAGAACCAUGAGAUGAUUUGCUAUGUGUGUAAAUCUUUUCUGUACUUCAUAAAUUGUCUCAUCAGCUUUCAUCCUGAAUAGUUCAUACUAUUGUAUAAGAGAGUUCUUUCUGCCCUUUUCAUAACGCUUGGGCGCCCUAAGUUGGGGCGCUGAGCGUCGAUGCGUGGGCUUGGACUUUUUAUCUGCUCUAUUUAAGGACUUGGACGUACUAGGGUUCGUAUCUUCUAGCAGAAGGAGCGUAAAUUCACACUUUUCGACCCUUUGGAGGCAGAAUUGGAUGCGGGAGCACUCCUCUUCGGUUUUUAGGGUUUAUCUUUCAUUCUUUUUCCAUUGUACAUCUAGUUUCACCAUGACAACAGGGAACUAAAUUCUAUUUGUUGUUGGGGGAUGAUGUAACCUUGUGAACUCUCAUGUAUUUGAACUGAUUGUUAUUAAAUAUGCUUCUUUCAUUAAUUGUUAGGGUUUUUCUUCUUCGCUCAAUGCUUGUUAUGUUUAACUCAUUCAUGGCAUGAUGUAUGAUUUGCAUGAGUAUCGGGAGAUAUCUUAAAAUUCAUGAUCUAGAGAAUUUCCCCAAAAAGCAGUAUUGUCCAAGGAUGGGGAUAUGAGUUUUGGUUGUCUUAAGCUACUAAUAGUAAUGCAGAAUUAAUUAUUAGGGAUUGUGGUCUAGUAAUUAAGGAUACACUUUCUUUGCCGAGAGAUCGAGUUUUAAGUAAUUUAAAUAGUGACAUUAAUAUUAAUGAAGAAAUAGAAUUCAAAUAUACAUGAGAGUAAACUAGGUGAAAUCUAAACUCCAAUAACAUAUUCAUCUCAUAUUUUUAAUAUCAUUCAUUCGCCUUUGUGCUUCUGUUCAUUUGAUCAAAUUGCAUGCAUAAUUAAGUAAUCACAUGAUUGUUUAGUGUCGUGAGUCUCUUGGGAAACGAUACUUGGUCUUACCAUUAUUUUUAAUUGAUAUGAUUCGGUACACUUGUCGAGGUCUUAACAAAAUCCUGAAAAAUUCAUCCAUGGUUAGUGUAGACAUAAUAACAUUUCUACCUUUUACAUCAUACUGCGCUCUACAGUUUUCAUCUUGAGUCCACUCUGAAAAAAAUUUCAAAACAACUUUUCCAUUUAAAACAUGAGUGGGCUCACAUGGACCGUUUAGAGUUGCAUCCCAAACUUCUUUAUCUACAGAUUCAAGAAAGAUUUGCAUCCUUAUUUUCCAACAGACAUAAUUUUCUCCAGCAAAUAAUGGUGGUCUAUUUGUGGAAGCACCUUUACCAAAGGUUUGAGAAUUGAAAGCCAUUUUCCAGGAUUAUUCGAGUAAUCAGAAAUAGUAAUGGACUUGUUUUUCAAAUAUUUUAUGAAAACCAACUCUAGUGCCAAUUGUUAAAAUAGAAUGACUCAAUUUCUCACACCAAGGGGUAUUGGUGAAGUAUAAAACAAAAGCCUUUAAAAUCCUUUCUGUAAAAAUGAUGCCUUUAUACUUUUCUUGAAAAACAAGGUAAAAAUUUUCAAUGCAGCGGAAACUUAAUCAAAUAAGUACAGAAAGAAGUCAAUUAAAUGGAAAAGAGUAGGGAUCAGAAAAUUCAAACACUGCGUUUUUAUAUUGGUUCAGCCAACCUGCCUACAUCUAGUGUCCUUCCAACCAUGGGAAGCAAAGGCACUAUAAUGAUCAAGGCUUUUACAACAAUGUUUCUAUAGAAGACCUCACGUUAAAAAUGUAAAACACCUCUCUAACUCUUUAAUCAAAAUAUAGGAGUUACAUAACUAGACCAGCGGCAAAAAUCCCCUUUCUUGCCUUCUAAACCCUUUGAGACACUCUCAAAGUCAAGAACACAUGUGUUCUUCUUCUUGUAGUCACAAUAGGGAACCUCAAACCAAUCUUCAAAAGAUUGCAGAAUCUGAUCGCACAAUAACACCUAAAUGUGCAGAUUGAUCAACCUUUGAAAACACAACAGUCUUGCUCUUCGAGAAAUCACAAGUAGUUGAUCACCAAAGUAAAUCUUGUUUCUUGGAGCUUUUCCCUCUUUCUAUAAGAUCAUAGCUUUCUAUAAAAGAUAUCAAAAUGUUAGAAUUACAAAAGUUCUUAUAAAAUUCAAAUUCGCGUCAACUUAUAGAAUAACACAACACAAACGCAUUUUAAUCGACUAAGCUACUAAUGUAAUCGAGUAUAACAAUUCUGUUAUAAAAGUUAGUAGCAAACACAACAAUUAAUUGAAUGUGCAAUUAAUGCAGUCGACUAUCAUUUAAUGCUUGGUCAAGAUAUAUAAAAAUAUGACCGUUAGACAUGUCAAGCAUUAACAAAAUUUUAAAACAAUAACAGACUUAAUCGAAUACAGCACGCAUGCAAUCGACUAUGUAAUAAUGUUAAGCAUAGUUUUGAACAAAUUGCUCUUCGAAAAAUCUCACAACACACUUGAAAAAAGUUUGUGCAAAGACAUGAGUUUUAAUCGAUUCACCCCAUAAUGAAAUCGACUUAAAACUGUAGUUUUGUCACACAAUUAAAGAUCAGCUAAAGUGCUUGUGGUUUUCCUUUUCCAAAAUCAUAUGUCAUGCAUUCACAUAUAAAAUCACAUAUGUAACAUAGUGAUAUGCAAUGAACAACACAAUCAUGUUCUCAUAUAUGCUUAAACAGAUUCAACACAUUGAUCAGAAGCAUAUAACAUUUAAACAUAGAACAUAUAACACAUAAUACACAUGUGUUAUUAAUUAUGAGUUAUCAUCAUCAAAAACACAGAUAUUACUGAGAUUGUGGGUUGAACUAAACUUGUUUUCCCCUAUCAAUAAUCUCAAUAGCUAUGUUGCGACAAUAAUCGAUUACCAUGAAGGAUAAUAAAUUAUCAUGUGAAAAACGAGAAAACACUUCAAAUCGCUAAUAAUCGAUUAUCUCUCGAGAUAUCGAUUAUCACCUAAAGUUAUAAUUUUCCAGGGUUUGACAAUAAUUGAUUAUCACUAAGGAUAAUCGAUUAUUACGUUUUUUGUCAAAACCCAUAAUGACCUAUAAUAAUUGGUUAUCACUUUUGAUAAUUGAUUAUUACUAGCAGUUGGGAGCUGCCUUUUUAGUUUCUGACAUUGCAUGAACCUUGGCUUAUAAAUAGAGUUCUCCACCAUUGUUAGAGGAAAAAAUGUUCACCUAAGAGUAUUAGAGUUGUGUGCCUAAGGAAAACUCUGCAUGUUUGUGAAAAAGGGAGCUUGUGAACUUGGUGCUUGUAGGAGGAAGUGCUCUUUCUUGGUGUGUCUAAGUGGUGGAGUAUACCUAUAUAGCAGAGUCAACCUGGUCAUCCUUUUAUGCGUCAAAAGGAGGUGUCUUUCAUCUCUUAUCUGUUAAGAGAGAUGGUUUCUAAUCUUGAUCCUUAUUUCUCUAUUGUAAAUUUUUACCAACUCAGUGGAAAGAUCAAUCACUCUUUUAUAGUGAUUAACAACUAGACGUAGAAUCUUUUGAUUCAAACCAGUAUAAAAAUUCUUUGUGCAUUGUUCUUGAUCUCUAUAUCUCUUGAUUAUAAGCUAUUCGACGAAAGUCCUAAAAGAAAUCUAAAAUUUUUAAAAGAAUAAAUUCACCUUGUUCCCUCUUGGUUAUUUUUCACUUACACACUCUUUAAAAACGUUCCGCUGCGCGAUACCAAUCUCAGCAAAGUAUUCUCACGACUCUUGGUUCACCUAGUCAACACAACUAAUAUGAGUUUAACCACUCAUGGUUUACACGUAUUCUAACCACUUUUGAUCUCAAGUAUUCUAACUACUUAUGGUCUUAACCCUAUACAACACAUCUAGACAAGUGUUUUAAUUCUCUUCAGAAUUUAUAAUGCAAAUAGUAUUAUAAACAAAGGUACAAAUUGAAAUACACAGGGCAACAUUAGAAAGUGAAUAGUGUUUUCCAAAACUUUUUGCAAAGGGUGUCUAAAGAGUUUAAAAGAGAUUACAAAAGAAAGAUAUUCUUUAGAUGAUGACAAAGGAAACUAAAUAAAAGCUUUUAAGAAAGGAAAACAAUAAAACACAAUUUUUAUACUGGUUCACCAAAUCUAAGCUACAUACAGUUCUCCAUUAAGAACUCUUGAGGGGUUCCACUAAAUUUUUUAAGAUUACAUAAGUUUAACCCAUUCUUGGUUGUAAGUAUUAUUACCACUCCUAGUUCCCGUAGUCAAUCCUAAUUAGUCCAAGUUUACCUACUCCUGGUUUCAAGUAUUAUCACCACUCGUGGUUCCCUAGUCAAUCCGAACUAGUCUAAGUUUAACCACUCAUAGCCAACACGUCUACACUGAGUUUACCCACUCCUAGUUCCAAGUAUUAUCACCACUCCUGGUUCCUUAAUCAAUCUUGACUAGUCCAAGUUUAGCCACUUCUAGAUCUAACCUAGAAAACACGUCUAGACCGUGUUUACCCUGGUUCCAAGUAUUACCUUUCACUCUUAGCAUCCCUAGACAAUUGUCUAGCUACAAGUAUUUUAAUUCUCUCCAGAAUUUAUAAUAAAUUCAUGAAGAAUUUCUUACAAGAUACAGAUUAAAAGCUCUCAAUGAGAGGAUACAUUUUUUAGUACAAUACAAUCUGAAAUCUUGUUUAGCUAUAGACUUGAGUAACUUUCUAAAAGAGGAUAUAUGUAUUGAAGUGUAGUUUUAUAAAUAGUGAGGUUGUUCCUUUGGAUUGAAGAGCAUCAGACAAUGUAUACUUGUAGAGUAGAGUGUAUUUCAAUCAUAUUUAUGAUGCUUGCUCCUUUCUUCUUUUCUUUUCUUCUCUUCUGCUUCUACCUUUCCUUUCAUUCUGAAAGCUUCAAACAUUGUAAGCUUGGAGAUGUAGCAGAAAGCGAGAUAUGACUAUAGCUUUCUCUUCAUAUUUUCCUUUGGUCGAGCUUGCUUUCAUCAUUUUUCUAUGAGUUGAAGAUCAUUAGACGAUAUAAGAGUUGGGAUAGAGUAGAGCUGAUAUUUUAUGAUCUCUCUUAAGCAUACUCUCUUUCUUUCUCAUCUCUUACUUCUUUUCAUUUCUUCUUCAACAACCUUCUUCUCUUCAAUUGAUCUUCUUUAUAUAGUAUUUCUUAAGAGAUUAUUGUUGAAUAAAGAGUUGAUUUCAUCAUAGGCUUUAUAGCCAUUAUAGGAAUAUUGAUCAAACUCAAGUCUACGUUAUAGGCUAAUAGUGCUUUUUCCCGAAGAUAACUUGUAAGAUUCUUCUAGGUUAUUGGCCUUGAAUAGGUUUCCUUGUUUCUCAAUGUCUCUUGUUUAGAUCUCUUGGACAAAGCUUAGUGUUGUCAUUUCCUACACAGAUAAAGAGGAUAAGGCAUACAAGUACAAAUACACUUUUUCGUACAAUAUUAAAUAUUUUAUCCAUUGGUGAUUGUAGAGUACAUUAUGUGUUUAGAACAUUCUUGCAUAUGUCAACAUCACUUAAUUAAAGCCUCGUUUAAUGGUAAAACAUAUAUCAUAUGUAAUCAUCAGAUGGUGUAAACCUAAGAUUUUUUCUCAAAGGCUAUAAUGUUUAACGAUCAUUGAUCAGAUGAUGUUUUCUCAAGGAAGCUUUGCUUGAUAUAAACCUGUAUUGAAUAAAAAAUUCUUUUAACCUUAAUGUUAUGUAAGAGACAAAAUUUUGCUUUCAUAAGAAGUCAACUAGUUUUGCUCAUAUAGUCUAUUAAAUUAUUUAAAUUUUAUAUGCCAACUUGUUUCAUUAUUCUAUUCUUUUUUAUCUUAUCUUUCUUGUGCUAUCAUUCUUGUCUUCUAUUCAAAACUUUCAUUUAUAUAUAGCUUUUCUUGAAAGAUAAUCGUUAGAUAAGGAAGUUGACUUCAGGAGAGUAGGUAGCCUUUAAAGAGAAGUCAGACUUUAAUAUACUUUGUAGGGGUCAGAGCUUUAUCAUAGCUUUUAGCAAAAUUAAGCAUAUAUGACGUGAUAGACUAUAUUACCGGUUAAUUCAUAAAUACAUCGUUUGGUAAAACAUACAACAUGUAUAAUCAUCAGAUGAUAUAAAAAUUAGAUGCUUCUUCAAAGGCUAUAGUGUUUUGCGAUUAUACAUUAGACGAUGUAUUCUUAAAACGCUUUACUUGAUAUAACACUUGUAUUGAAUAAAAAUUUAUUUUAACCUCUUAUAAAAGAGAUAGACUUUUUCUUUCAGAAGAUUCUAACUUGUUACUCAUAUAUUCGAUGAUUUCAAAGAGAGACACUUUCUUUUCUUAAACGUUGUUCAUAACUUUGUUGAUUAGAUAGUUUAGUCUAGAAAGCAUUGUUCAUAAGCUUGAUUUCAUUUAAAAUAGAUGUUACAAAAUAUUUCUUUCUUAGACGUUAUUUCUUUUUAAACAACUUUUCAUACAAAAGAAUAUUUCGUUUAAUGUUUUUUGUUAAACAUUAAAACCUAAGUUGUUUAGAUGGUCUAUUUUCUAGACGAUUUUUUCUUAACAAAAUGCAUUACUCAAAACUAGGGAUGACAAUGUAGGUUGGCCUGCUCCAUCCCUAUCCCACAUUUAAUCAAUAAAAAGCGAGUUAGGACGAUCUGCCCCACAUAAGAAAAAUGGGUUAAUUUCUCUUGCCUGCCUGCAUAACGUUUGGUUUGGCCCGCAUAAGAAUUUUAAUAGCUUUAUUUUUAUUUUCUUAAAUUAGUACAAAUAAUAAUUUAUAUAGACCCAUUUCUUAAAUAAGUAAUAUUCAUAAUUUUAAAAUUUAUAAUUUUUAAGUACAAGCUUUUUUCUAAAUAAAAAUGACUUUGAAGUGGAUUGAAACAAGGGAAGAAAUGUGUAUGAGGAAACUGCUUUUGGAUGGGCUGAACGAAAAUGAGCGAGCUGCUUUUGGAUGAACGAGAGAAGUAAGCGAAUGGGCAAGUUACUUAGAAGAAACACACACGUGUUGUGCUAGAGCUGUUAGAGUUUAGGAAUUUAAGUAAUGUGGGUGUUGAUAGGGGGAGCACAUUGUUAGCUAAACCAAAUCCCUGUUAUAUUUGUUUUUUAUGAUGAAAACACAUUGUUAAUAAAAACACAUGUAUGUGUAUUGUGUUAUGUGUUAUGUGUUAUAUCGUCACAUUUGACAUAUUAUGUUGAUUGAUGCAUACUAUUGUGUUUGUAAAGUGAUCAUAUCUGUGUAUGCACAAUAUAUGUUUUGGAAAUAUAAAACCACAUGCACAAAAUCAUAUCUGCAUGAUUUAACUGAUUACAGUGUUGUGAUAAUCAAUUAAGGUCAUUAGACAACUUGAGUUUUAAAUUAUGGCAAAACAACUAGUUUUGAAAUGAUUACAUUAGUUGGUAAAUCGAUUAAAACUCGUAUGUUUGCACAUAUCUUUUUCAAAUGUGUUGUGAUGAGUUUUGGAAAGAAAGUUUUCAAAAAUCAGCUAAGUGUUAAAGCUUAAUCAAUUACAUGGGUUAUGUAUUCAAUUAAGUCUAUUAAGAUUUGAAAACUAAUUUGUGCUUGUCAUAACUACUAUAACGGUCAUAUUUUUAAAUGUGUUGACUAAGCAUUUAAUGAGAAUCGAUUACAUUAAUUGAACAUUCAAUUAUGUGCUUUGACUGAUGUUACUCUGUUACAUGUGUUUAAUGUAACUGAUUAUAUUAAUAUAGUAUUCGAUUGAACUGCAUCAGAAUUGACAAAAAACUAUAUAUUGACGCAUUGAUUGAUUUUCUAUAAGACAAUUUAGAAUUACACUUUCGUAUCUGGUUGAUUUUUAUAUGAGAAGUUUUACAAAGUGAUUAAAGGCUCCAAGAAUCAAGAACAUAAAGUGGUUUACAAAUCUUGAAGAAUUCUUGAGAGACAAACAUGACUGGAUUGAAAAGACUGAUCGUUCUGCACAACUGAGGUUCUGUCUGUUUGAUCAGGAGAAGAAGACUUGUAAUCAUUGAUUUGUUGUUCCCUGUACGUGUUGCGUUAGGAAGAAGAGUGGUGUACUCUUGACUUUGAGAGGGGAUAUCUCAAAGGGGUUGUUGCGACAGGAAUGGGGUAGUUCUGUGUUGGCAGGUUUUGUUGUACUAUAUUUUGAUUAAGAGUUUGUGAGGUGUUUACAUUUGAGGGUUUCUGUAUAAAGCCUUAGUUGUAAUACUCUGAUCAUUAUAGUGGAUUGCUCUCUAAUCUAAAGGUUGAUUGGGAGGGUGACUAGAUAUAGGCAUUGAGGCUGAACCAAUAUAAAAACUGAGUUUAAUUUUCUUCUCCCUAUCUCUUUACGUAAUCGAUUAUAUUUGUCGUUGCUUUUACACGUAUAUUGUUACAUUACACGCAUAUUGCUUACGACACAAGAAAGGUUUCAAGAACUAUACCAUUUGCGAAAAAGAUUUGAAAAAUGCUUAUAUUUAUAAAACACCAAUUCACACCCCCCUCCUCUCCCCUCUUGGUGGUGAGAAACAAAGUUCAUCAAUUCUAACAGUGGGCUUUGCUAGUUGAAUGCAAGUCAGCUCAUUAUUGACCCGUAUGGGUUGCAAGUUAUGUGGGACAAUACUAAGUGAGCUAAAAAACUGAAUUUAUCCCACACUUUUUCUUUCGAGCCUACCAAUCGUUGUCAUGCCUUUCAAACCUUCCUUCCUACAUAUUUAACCUUUUUUACACAUUAAUAAAGAAUAAAUUAACAAAGUUCAUCGAUUCUAAUAGUGGACUUUGCUAGUUGAAUGCAAGUCAACUCAUUAUUGACCCGUAUAGGUUGCGAGUUAUGUGAGACAAUAUUAAGUGAGCUAAAAAACAGAGUUUAUCCUACACUUUUUCUUUUGAGCCUACCCAUCCCUUUCAAACCUUCCUUCCUACAUAUUUAACCUUUUUUACACAUUAAUAAAGAAUAAAGCAUAACAUGAAAAAUUUGAUUAAUUUAAGCUACGUUAAGUUUAAGUUUUGACAUAAAUAUAUUUUUAAUUGAAUUUCUAUUAAAACUUUUAUUAAUUUUAGGCUAUUUAAAAUUAUUAUAUUGUUUAUCAUCUUGCUUACUAGUCAUGUUCAAAAAUAUCAAGUUUUAUUAUUAAUAGAAAAUGACAAGUGACUUUUAUUUCUUUGAUGAAAAGAUGCUAGAAAACAACCUAGAUCAAUGAUGAUGAUAAUGACCUUAUUUCUUAUUUGUGAUGACAUGGAAGUCUUAACAAAACAUAAUAACCUCGUUAUAAACAUAUCUUCAAUGAAAACAAUGUAACUCAUCUGAUAAUUGUAAUAUCAAUUUAUAUUAUCCACAAGUCCUUACAUUAAAACAAAUAACUUAGAUGAUAUGACAACUCAAUUAAAAAAUAUAAAAACUUUACUUAUUGAACAGAAUAAAAAAAAUUAAUAAUAAUUCAAUUGAAAAUAUUCAAAUUUACGAUGCACUUAACAUUUAAUUAAUCUUUAAUCUUGAAUGAGAAUAAUCUUAAGGAAAUCUCACUUUGAAACACUCUUCUCCUAUUGUAACAAGAAAGACCAAAAUCACUUCCUUCUCAUUUUCUAUGAUAGAAAAAUUACUUAUUUUAUUUCUUUUUUAUCGUCUUUUAUUUUUAGUUGACAAAGCAUUUGAUGAUGGCCGUAGGAAGUUCAAGACUCUGAUGAGUAGGCAGAGGUCAAAAGAUCUUAAUCUACAAGUUAAGAUAAUAAAACGAGAUAGAUAGAUAACAGUACAUGGCGUAGAAAUUGAGAGACUUCACUUAUUUUACAAAACACAAAAGAAUCUCAAAAGAUAAUGACAAAGAAUCAUGUACAUAUUACCAGCCAGAAAAAUAAGCAUCCCUUCAUCGUUUUUUGAUUUCUACGUUGAAUGAUACCUUGAGUUUAAGGUU
rnacentral:lncRNA from 1 species